CCAUGUGCAUAUACAGUAAGUUAAUAACACAAAAUCCGAGUAAAUUUAUGCCACAACAAGGUUUAUUAUUGUUAUUUCAAAUAACUGAUGCGACAACAAAUAAUAUUAAUCACGGACAUCAUAUGAUAUUAGUAAGGCGUUGUUGAGGAUGAGAAGCAUGUACAACUCCUCGUUUUCUUUGAUGAGCGCCUCCGCACCAGGCAUAUCUGGAAGCUCUAACCAACACAUGAUGAUAGGGUUGUAAUUAAUAUCCACACAGUCGAGCAGAUGCAAGAACUGUUGCCCACUCUUGUCACCUUGGUAGUCCUUGAUCAGGCCGUGGCACACGUUGAGGCGUCUCACCACACCUUCAUACUCCAUCUCACAAUAACUAAGAACGUGCAUUGCCACUGUUCCCUUCUUGGCAUCUUGCAGCUUUUGCUUGAUCUUACCACUAGCGGCAGUGACACGGCUCUUAAAGAUGUCGACAGUGACAAGCACUAAGUCAUGGAGGUCCUUAGCCUCGGCACUUCGAUUGUCCGACUGAAGGGUGGACAAACAGAAUUCUUGCGUGAUAGAUUUGUUGCAGGGGUUGUUGAUCGAGGCCUUCUUGCAUGCUUCCACCAUGAGCUUGGUCGCCUUGGGCUUGCCAGUGUCAGAGCCACUAGCAUGAGUGGAAAAAAGGAAGAAUAUGAUGGUGGAGAGGACGAUGGUAGUCCUUGGCAUUGCUACCAUUACUACAGGGCUAGCUAGAAGCCUUGAAGUACUGAAGCGCUGAGAGGGAGGUGGAGAAAAAUAGACAGAGAAGGAUGUGUAUUGCAGAGAUGGAUGGGUGGAUGGAGGUGAUGUACAUGAGGCUGAGAAUUCUUUAUAAUGCCUGCAAUGGGGUAUCAUAAAUGCAGUAUGCAGCUUUGGUCCAGAAUAUGUGUACUAUCGGUGUCCAGUAAAUGUUGAAUGCCCAUUUUGGAUCUCUACAUAUUAAUGCUCUCUCUAUGUUCACAAAUACACAGAUGCUCACUAUAGAUCUUGUUGUAGUAACACAUAUCUUACUUAUAUGAAUCCAUUAAUGCAACGUAGCUUGAUCAAGGAUAUCCCAAAUGAUUAGUGUGCACCGAAUGCCCAUAGAUAUGUUGAUGCUCAUUUUGGUACGUCUUAUUUGCAUUGGUGUUUUCUAAACAUCAUUUUGUAUAACUGAUUUGUUACUUCUACCUCCCUUUGGGGGACGAAUAUAUUUUCCCUCAUCAAGUCUAUAAUUGCUCAUUUUUUCUUUGCAAUUUUCGAGUAGUUACAAAUAAUUCUCAGGGAGCAGGCACUUAGUUAACUUGGUGACACAAUAAAUAUUUUUGUUAAAAUAUCAAAAUUUUAUAUCAUAAUUUUUUUUAUUUCCAAGUCGAUUAUUGUCUGAUGGAUUGACUUUUACAACAGUUGUAUUCCCCCAGUUAAAAAUCACAACUUAUUUUAGGGAUUAAAUGAUGCCAGCCGGACUAACAUAUCAUUCGUAGGCACUGUCAAAAAAUAAGCAUGUUUACUGCCCACCGCCUAAGAAAAUCAAAAAAAAAUUACCAAUACCAACACGUCACUGUAUGGGUUUAUUUGGUUUCGAUUCUCGUUACUAUGUAGUAGGAAGGAAAAAAAAAGAGCUAUCGAUCAUAAGGAGGUAACCUGUAUCAUAGGUACAUGAUGCGCACGUACACGCCGGUAUCUUAUAUUUUAUAUUUUAUAUCUUAUAUUUACUAAUUGGAAGCACCUUUCAAGCCUUCUCAUUAAUCAACAUUAUAAAAAUUAAUUACACCGUUGUAUUAUAGAAUUUACGUCUAAGAUGAAAGGAGAACUUACGUAACAUAAACUUGGAAGGGAAAAAGAUAUAGGGAAAGGAGAAUAAAAAUAGAAGUAAAACAAAGAAAAUAAUUUAGAUGGGCCAGCCCAUUAUUGUUUGCCUUGUGCGAAAUUCUGACUAUUUAUGGCGCUGUGCGGAAAAUAGAGUUUUUGCAGCUGCAUGGGCAGAAAAAUAACUGGGCUGGCUUUGCUGGGCCACCGCGCGUGGCCCACGUACAACAAUUCUUUUUCUAGCAAACAAACGCAUAAGACCUUUGUACCACCUCGGGUAGAAAGAUUGUUUUUUCGACGGUGAACAGAUGAAAAUAUAGGCAAAACGCACCUUGCUUCAUUAGUAGUAGCACAUAUGCCCGUGCAUUGCAACGGGAGAGAUGUUUCUUUGGAGAAGCAAUAGGAGAGAUAAUUGAUGUCUCCACCAAAAAUGAUCUUCAUAGCGGUGUGAUAGAGAGAGGAGUUGUGGUCUUCUAGCGGGUCAUGUUUCUCCCGCCAGAUAUUGAUAGUGGUGCGGUUAGUCGGCAUAGCGGCAACCAUACAACUCGUGCAUUUUUUUCCUUUGUGUCAGUCUCUGUCUCGGGGUUGUGUCUGCCUCUACGUUUGGUAGCUAUGCGGCGACCUUCAGAGCACGGUUGCUUCGACCACUCUCUCUUACGAUGGCGUAACCGGAUGAAUUACUAAUUGUAGCGCUUAAAUCCUGUUUCAUUAGCAUAUAUAUUUAGCGCAUAACCAGAUAUCAAUGUCCCUUCUUUAUUAGGGUUUAUUUUCUUUGAUUAUUUUAGCGCUCACGUGCCCACAACUAUUUUAUUCGAGCCAAACCAACAUAUUCUCUUUUAUUGGACCAAGAAAAAAUUGCUCCCUCAGACGACCCAGUAGGGAGUGUGGUUGAGGCCCAAUACAGCCUAUAUGACGCUAGUUGCGUAAAAUAAUGUGUGAGAUGCACAUCAGUUCGUGUAUGGACCAACACACUGGUAGGCGCCAAGACGACCUAUGUUAGGAAGGCACGGAAAAAUCCAAAAAAUAAUGAGUUGAAGGAUCAAAAUCAUGUCCUGAAAGAGCCGACUACGUGCUCAUUGCCACUCGAAGAAACGAGUCCUACCAACCAAUGGCCAGCUCAAACCUUUAAGAUCAUACUCCAAUGUGAGAUUGGAUACAAUUUUUUUAACUGUUUAAAAAAUAUAAAUUGCUGAAUAUUCCUGAAAACAUGAAUAAUUUUUAAAAUCACAAACACUUUUUGAAAUUCUUUACAUUUUCAGAAAUACACAAAAAAAUUGGAAACCCUUAAAAUUCACAAAUUUAUUUGAAAUCAUAAACCUUUUAUAAUAACAUGAACACGUUUUGAAAAUGCGAUUUUGUUUGAAAAAGAAACAUAUUUUGAACAUUCAAAACAUUUUUUGAAAAUGUGUUUCUAUAAACUUGGACAUUACUUUGAAUUUGCGAACAUUUCACUAAAACAAAAAUAUUUUUCAUAUUUGGAACAUUUUCUAAAUGCAUUUUUUUUGGGAAUAUCUCAAACAACUUUGGAAAACACAAAGAAAAAAUGGAACAUUUUUUGAAACCUGAACGAAUUUUGGAAUGAGAACAAAGCACUAUUGGGAAAAGGCUAAUUAGUGGCGCACAUAUUUUUGCUAUUAAUGGCGCACUCUUGGUGCGCCAGUAUUAUCACGCCACUAGUAACAAAUAGUAAUGGCGCACCUAUAGUGCGCCAUUACUAUGCCUAGAAGGUGCGCCAUUACUAUCUGACUUAGUAAUGGCGCACCACAUAGAAGUGCGCCAUUACUAACAAUUUUUUUUAAAAAAAAUAUCCAAAAUUUUUCAAAUAUUUUUCCCUUUUUUUCUUAAUCUCAGGUCAAUAUGCUUAAUCUCAAGUCAAAUCGAUCCUAUUAAACCUUAUUGAUGUCUAGGACUUUGUUUAUGUUCAUGAGUGUGAUGAAAUUUCAAACUUCCCGGUCAUAUUACGUAUCAUAUUUUUUUUUCUGUUACUAGUGGCGCACCUAGCAAAUGGUGCGCCACUAGCAAGUUUGAUUUUUUUUGUUUUCCCCUCUCUAGAUCCUAAAAGCCCCGUAUCUUUCAUUCUGUUAGGUUUUUGGGGAUUCUGAAAAUCUUGUAACUUUUCGAGUAGAUGCUUUUUCAUAUAUAAAACUUUUUAAUCCGAGUUCGUAUAUAAAAGUUAUGUCCAUUUUACUAAAUUCCAGAGAGAUUUUGCAAAUAAAGUCGAAAUUCAUAUUUGUAAAUUUUCCCAACAACUAGACCACAUAUCACAUGGGAAACUUAUUUUCUUUUAUUUUUUUGACAUUUCCAUCAUUUUCUUUUAUUUUUUCUAAAACUGAAAAGACGGUCCAGGGGGGUGGGGGUGCAAAGAAAGUUAGUAAUGACGCACCUUCACAAAGUGCACCAUUAUUAUGUGUAUGACUUGGUCAAAUCUUGGUCAAAGUUAGUAAUGACGCACUUUGUGUAGGUGCAUCAUUACUAAGUUUGACAUACUAAUGGCGCACCUAUGCAAAAAUGCGUCAUUACUAAGUUUGAUCAAGGUUUGACCCAGUCAUACACAUAGUAAUGAUGCACUUUGUACAGGUGCGCCAUUACUAUGUCAACUAGUAAUGACGCACUAUCCUCUAGUGCGCCACUGCCAACAAUUUUUUUUAUUUUUACUUCAAAACUAGUACUAGCGCACCACACACCAGGUGCACCACUAGUAAUAUGUCAAUAAUGUCGCACCUGUAUCUAGUGCGCCACUGCAUACAUGGUGCGCCAUUAAUGUCCACAUUAGCUAUAGCCCUUUUCCUAAUAGUGAAGAUUUAAUGUUCUGAACAUUUUUCGAAAAGGAAUAUUUAUUAACAUCCCAAACAUUUUUAAAAAACGGAUUUCUGUGAUAUUAUGAGUUUUAUUGAAAAUUUUGGUUUUACGAAAAAAGGGGAGAUAAAGAAAUAAACUUGAAAGGAAAAAAGAAAAAAGGAAAGGAAAGAAAAUAGAAACCAAUGGAGAAAGAAAAAUAGAAACAUAACACAGAACAAAAAAACGGUUCGACCGAGCUCGAGCGCCCGAUGCGAAUUUGUGACUAUUUUGGAAUGAGAACAAAUAUUUAUAUUAUAAACUUUUUCAAAAAGAAAUAUAUUUAAAGUUCUGAACAUUUUUUAAAAAAUUGAUUCUUAUGAUAUUAUGAAUUUUUUGAAAAUUUUGAAUUUACAAAAAAAAGGGAGAAAAAUAAACUUGAAAGGAGAAAACACCAAAGAAAAAGUGAAAGAAAUGGAAAAAAAUAGAAACAUAUUUUAAAGUUCUGAGCAUUUAAGAAAAUCGAAUUUUUAUGAUAUUAUGUAGUUUUUUGACAAUUUUGAAUUUAAGAAAAAAGGAGAAAAAGGUAAACUUGAAAGGGAAAAAGACCAAACAAAAGGAGAAAGAAACGGAAAAAGAAAAACAGAAACAUAACACAAAACAAAACAAAAGAAUAUAUUUCAGCCCAGCUUGGGCGCCCAGUGCGAAUUUACGACUAUGUAACGCUAAUUGCGAUAAAUAGGAUUUUUCCACCUGCAUGUACACGAAAAUAACUGGGCUGGAUUUCCUGGGCCAAUACUGUGGGCGGCCCAUGUACGAGAUCUGGCGUUUUUCUUUUCUAAUAGACAAACGGACAAAAAAAUUGUACCACCUCGAAUAGAAAAAAAAUCUUUUCGUUGGUGAACGGAUGAAAAAAUCAGAGAAACACACCUUGCUUUAUUAGUAGGUAUAGAGGUAUAGAUAUAGAUAUAGAUAUAGAUAUAGAUAGUAUUGAUAGAAAAAUGAAAUUUUCCAUCCAUGCUAAUCUUAACAUAAAUUGUUUAAGAAUUCGUUGGUACACAUAAAAACAUCUAAUGUGAAUAAUCUAUGGUUCUUAUAGUAUUUGUUAGGAUAUCAUGUAUGUUAAAGGAAAGUCAUGCAUGCAUGUGUCCAUUAUUGUGUAUAGAAACAAAGUAUUUAUAAUUCUACCAUUCUUCCGUGGCAAAAACAAGCAUGUAUUCCUUCUUUUAGGUUAACUAAGAAAGGCUACAAUAGAACACUCGACCUUUAUGCCUUCUAGAAACUUCUAGAUCACGAGUGCAUGAUGCACACAAUAACUUUUGCGUUUGUAACUAUGUUUUCUACCAACAUAAAAAAUAUACCCUUAUAUAACUUUCAUAAAGUAGCACAUUGUUAUUUCCACAUAUCUUCUAUAAAUUUGACAUGAUUUUCCAUCACACAGCGAUAUUUUUAUACUUUCGUCACAAAAUUGGACAUAAACAAUCAAUCACAAAAUAGUCAAAGAAUUGUAACUUCAUUGGAUCCAAUGUGCAUGUGUAAUAAUAAUAACCUAUAUCCAAAUGAUUGUUUGAUAUUUAUAAUUUGUCAAAAAUAUGUUAUAUCUGAUAUUACAAUUGCUAGCCCGUGCAGGUGCACGGAUUGACGACUAGUGAUAUGUAGAUAGAAUUAAUUAUGAUUACCACUCAAUAAUUUUUCUUUAUGGAUAUCCAAAUUUAUGUUUAGAAUCAACAUUUCUACUUCAAUUUUUUCCGGGGAUUUUUUUACUUAGUAAACAUAUGGAUAUUUAGAAAUUUUUUGUGCUAAUUGUGUGCUCUCCUUAGCCUAUGUUACAAUGCAUGGUUUUCUCGGUUAUUUUAGAAAAUGCAUGUAUUUCUCUAUUGCCAACUUCUCACAGAUGCAGUUAAGUUUCGUAAAAGUUUAGAAUGGCAGCCAACAUGAAAAAGGAUAAAAGUAUCAUCAUUUGCACAUUUUUUUCACCUUCUUCAUUAUCUAUAUUUAUGGAUAUUCACUUUGCGAUUUAUAUUUUCCCAAUUCGCUACAAAAGCGCAGAACAAACAUUUUAGAAAAUAAAUGCAAAAUGUGUAAAAUAAAAUGUGUAGGUACAUAAUUAAAAAUCUUGGACGACGAUAACUGCCACACGUGUGGCAUCUAGGGGGUAUGUGCCGCACGCCCCGUGUGGCAUCGACACAGGCCCGCCCGCACGAGCACGUCCGCGCGCACCCCACCACAGCCCGCACGUUCGGUGUGCGGCGCAAUCGCCCGCACUAGCACGUCCGGGCGAGCGACCUCACAGCCCGCACGACCCGUCUCGGCCCUCGCCCCUCCCCGCCUGCGAGCCACACGCCCCGCGUGGCAGUAACCACGCGUCCCGCCGCGAUUGCCAUGGUCUGAACCCUCUUCCAUGUUCGUUUAACUGUAGUUGCCAUGUUGCUGAACUGCAGUUGCCAUGUCUGACAACUACAGUUGCCAUGGUUGCUCAACUGCAGUUGCCAUCUCAGGUCAAGUGUCGGAUGCCAUUUUUGGGCACCUGUAGCUGUUGCCAUGUAUGGUCUGGUCUACUACAGUUGCCAUGAUUUGAAAACUUUAGGAUUUGCAACCUACUAACACUAGACAGUUGCCAUGUAGCACUACAAAAGCAUGGCAAAAAACAUGUUCAGGUAAAAAAGAGAGUUGCCAUCUGCUUACAAGCACACUAGGGCAGUUGCCAUGUACCCUGCAAAAACACAUGGCAACUGAUAGCUUUUGGAGUGUGGGAGAGGAGACGGGCAUGUGGGCGACGGUGGUAUCUUUAGGAGUUGCCACCUACUAACACUAGACAGUUGCCAUGUAGCGCUACAAAACAGACGUGUCAACAAUAACAUGUUCGGGGUAAAGAGAGUUGCCAUCUGCUUAUAAUCACAAAUAGGGCAGUUGUCACACACUAGCACUGGACAGUUGCCAUUUAGCGCUACAAAAACAGACGUGGCAACAAUAACAUGUUCGGGGUAAAGAGAGUUGCCAUCUGCUUACAAUCACAAAUAGGGCAGUUGCCAUGUACCCUGCAGAAAACAUGGCAAAUGACAACUUGGUGUGGGAGAGUGGGAAAAAGGGCAGUCAUGGGAGAUGGGGAACAGAAGUCGUGCGCGGCGUGCGGGCGCGACAGCAGUUCCACCGCACGCCCCGACUCGCAAUCGGUCUCGUCCGAGGGAGAAACAGCGUGCGGGCGAACUACCUACACACCACACACCGGGCUUGUCCUACGUGGCACACCAAAUCCAACUUUUGGUGUCAGGAUUCAUGCAAAAAACAACCAACGACAAUCCAGGCGUGUGGGCGAGUUGAAGACGUUCCACGCGUGUAGGCGUUAGUGUUUCCGAAAAUCUUAUAUCUCCGUCUCAAACAAACAAAAGCCUCCUUCCAUAAGAAACAGCUCAUACGUGAAACUCUUCUCGCCUAUUAAAAAAAAGGAAAAGCAUCCCUCCCCGAAAAAAGAGAAAACGUCUUCACUAGCUCCUGUACUUUUUUAGGCAACCACGUCUCCUCUAUAUGGCCAGAUCUUUCAAGGCUUCUUACUAAUCAGACCACUACGUUGUAAAUUUAUAUCCAAUAAAGAAAACUUGCCGAAUCAUAGAUGGUCUCGUCCAAAAAAAUGUCAUGUGAUACGUCCAACGUUGUCAAAAAAACAUCCUCCAUUCCUUAAAGAGAAAAGAUAGCGUCCUUAGAAAAGCACUACCAAUAAAAAGAAAAGAAAGACGGAAUCCAAUUGAUAACCGAUGAAACUCCAUAAAUAAAAUCUUCUGUCGAUCGAUUUUAAAAGAAGAAACAUCUGGCUCAGUUCCUCUACAUGGCCGCAUACACCACUUCCUCUUCAAUCCGGCUCUCCUACAUGUGGCUGGUGGUGGCGAUUUCUCUAACCGAAGGAUAUACCCAACUCGCCAUCACCAUCAAGUGCGCUCUCCCACCAGCAGGGCCAACAACAAACUGCAAAGGAACCUGACGACAGGUGCUGCGAGGUAUGAUGCAAGAUCGACUGCGACCCCAAGCGGCAAUCGAUCUUCCUUAUUGUUAUUGUCACCGCGUCUCCUUCCAUCCACCCGGGCAUCAAAGUUCACCCUAUUUUAUGAUAAUAAAAAAGUCCAACUACCAAGUACAAGCUCUAAUAAGUUCUUCUUGGAUUCAUGCUCCGACAAGACUAUGAUCCAACUAUGAUAAUAAUGGAUUAAGGCGCAGAUUGCUAACACUUAUCUGCAUAUAUAGUACGUAUGCAUGUCUUUAUUUUGGUCUUAGAAAAAAGAGAAAAUUAGCUAUUAAAGCAUCUUUAAAUACAUACAAAUUACCGAAGUAACAAGAAAAUAUGGAUGUACCAUGCGCCACGAAGAUCUAAUAGACACACAAUUAUCUAUGUGGUAUAGGUAUGUAUACAAUAUGGAUAGAAAAUAUAAAAAAAUGACAUCCGUAUUAAAAAUAUAAGAAAUUCUUUAAGAAUUUGUUUGUUGAGACUAGAACUUAAAACCGGAAUAAUCUAUGGUGCUUAUAGUAAUGAGAAUAUACUACAAACUUUUGUUUGCCAUCACACAAUGACAAUAUUAAUGAGGUUGUCACACAAUUGGAGGCAAACAAUCAAAUAACAAAAUAGUCCGAAGCAAUGUAACACUGUUGAACCUUAUGUCUAACAAAGAUAAACAUGCAUGUGUGACAACAAUAACCCAUAUCAACAUAUUAUUAUUGUCUGACAUUUCUAAUUUGUAACAACUUUGUUGUAUGCAAUAUUAAAAGUGCUAGCCCGUGCAUGUGCACGGGUUGAUGACUAGUAUAAUAUAACUCUGAGACAUGCCUAUAUAACCUCUUAUUUGCAUACGUUCUUUUAAAACAUAGCAUAGACAAACCAUAUUAUAUUAUAAUAAUGAAUUUGUUUUUUCUCGGUGACAGGGUAACUGUUAUUUCUAUGUCGACCAGUUGUAGCUUGAAAGAAAGUGUUAUAAAACAAUUAUGUUACUCCCUCCUCCAUCACUGUUUUCAUUGACCAGAGCCCCCACUCCACACAUAUCGACAAGCUCGGAGUCCCGCUCAUCGAUAUGAUCGUAUGCCAUAUCCACACAACUGGCGAGCUCAUUGGAGCGUAGCCCGUCCUCGUCGCCUUGGUAAUCCCUGAUCAUGGCAUCACAUAUGUUGAGGAUGCUCACCACAGUCAUAAUCCGCCUCACAAAAACUAAGGACACGCAUUGGCACCGUGCCCUUCUUGCUUCAUGUGUCUGUUAUCUUGGCGCACCCAUUUCGUCCACCGCCAUCCGUUUGUGUCGGCGCGGACAGAAAAGUCGGCCCAAUGCGCCGACACAAAUGGACGCGCGUCCGAUUUCGUCCGCCUGCCUAUCCAUUUCCGGCCUAUUUUUGAGCCGGAUUUGCGUCGGCGGAGACAAAAGACGGACGCACGCGCUCACCCUCUCUCCUUUCCGGGCGCGCUGGUCGGUGGCACAUUGGCCUCUCCACAUCAAACAACACACCCUCGCCCGCCUGCUUCAUCGCUGACGCCGCCGGUCAUUUUUUCCGAUAGAAAAAUGAUACAUAGAUAGUUCUAGCAUACACAGAUAAAAAAAAGACCAACUACUCGUCGCUUUCCGACUUCGACUCGGUAAUGUCCUCCUAUGACGUCUAAAUGUAGGCGUCAGCAUGCUGAUCAUCUUCAAAGUCCCACCCCGACGUUUCUCGUAGCUUCAGUUUCAAUUGAGCGGCCUGCUUGCGCGCACGCUUGUCCUCCCGAUAGGCGGCUCGCUCCGUCCUCCUCACCUCCUUCUCCGUCCUCCUUUGCGUGUAGAACUGGCGCUCAUUGACGAUGUCCUGCAGAAAGCGUUCGCGCCACACCACCAUGGCUUUCAAGUCCAUCUCGGUGAUGGCGAGGCGACGCUGCCGCCUCCGGUGGACACGACGAUCCUCGUCGGUGAAAAGCCGCGGGAGAGGCGCGAGAUCCUGCGCCGCUGGCUCGACACGUCAGGAAAAUUCAUAUCCCAACGAGGCCUCAGGAGGCACCACGCCGCCGCGUCGUGCGCGUGGGCCGACUCCUCUACGGUGUUGAAGGUGCCGAGGAUGAGGCGUUUCUCGCCAAACCUGAUCUCGGAGGAGAAGGCACCAGAGCGGCGCUCGCGGACUCCGCGAAAAUUUGAAGCGCCCAGGCGGCGCAUCGACAUGGUGGCGCAGAGGCGGCGAGGCUAGUGAUAGGGGGCGACACAAGUGGGCGGCGGACAGAGUGUGGAGGGAGCGCCUUCUUAUAACGAGCGCCGGCCGCGGCGCGCGCGCGAACCUUUCCCGCGCGCUGGAGCACCGAAACCAGCACGCGCUAGGCCACUUUUCCCCCACGCGUGUGAACCUUUCCCGCGCGCUGGAGCGCCAAAACCAGGGAGACGGCAUGGCAGCUGGCAUGAUCGAAAGCGCGUGCGAUCAUGAAGUGGGUCGGCCCGUUGGACGCACUGCCGACCCAAAUCUAAAAGAGGGCGAACGGCGGGCGGGCGGCAGACCCAAACGUACAAAAAGCGGACAACAACGCCGUCCAUCUGGGUCGGCCCGUUGAAGUUGCUCUUAGGGGUGAAACCUCUGUCUCCCGUAGGGCCCCAUGUGUUUGACAACACAUGGGGUGGCCUGUUCAGCACGCUAGUGUGAAAAAUCAUGACACAGGCAUGAGGUAAUAGUUAGUGGUCUACUCCCUACGCCUGGGAGUUAUCACAUCAUAGGAGUAGGUAGCUCCAGUAGAUAAGUUUCCCUAUAUUGGAUAAAGAUCAAUGGAACGCCUCGUAGGUGUGAGUAGCGAGUUGCCAAAUAUAUAUGUUAUACGGAAUUAAAUUAUAGGAAUCCUGCUAGCUGAGCAGCUGUGAUUUUCCUUUUGAAAAGUAAGGAAAUGGAAUAGGGAGAAGAUUUUGCAUUUUAGAAUAAAGAAUCUGCUCAAGAUGCUCUAUAAUAUUUCCUGACUUGGGCACAUCAUUGUUUUCUUUUAUUUGAGACGCAGAUUGGAGCACAGCAUUUGCUGGUAAUUAAGCAAAUGCAUGAUGCAUGCCAACAUGAUACUUGGGAAAAUAACAAGACUACACUUCCUACAGUAAUACAGAUUCACGCGUAAGGUCAAGUCUAAAAAGAUGUAUCGGGAUCAGCUUCCAUUUCAUAUACUCCAUGGUGGAAUAUGAUGUCACGCUUGUUAUCAAGGUUUUGGAUCGGGAGUGAACAGUGGACUAGACAAACCAGUGUGCCAGGGUGGUCCAAUAGUAGAAAUCUUUACAUAAAUUUAUUUAUUUUCAAAGAAAUAAUUUUUCUACUACACUAUAUACAUGCUGUGGGGAAAAUUCAGGGUGGUCCAUGUCCACCCCCUAGCUAAGCCACUACGAGCGGACCUUUUCUCUAAAGGGGCACCAAAAUUCGAGGUUACUAAGGUAACCACGAAAUACAAAAAAAUCAGACGAAAUUAGAAAUCAUUUUAAGUUGAUAUAGAUAGUUAUUUAUCUUUACCUAAUAAUAAAGUAUAAAGUGUGUCUACCCGUUCACCAUCAUCCAAAUUACCCUCGAAGUUGGCGAGAAUUACCCACUAAUGCCACCUGUAAGUGGCAAAAAUAAUUCGCUUUUUUCCAUGCUGGUUCAAUAUGAAGCUAUCUUCUUAUGUGACACAAGUACAUGCGCAUCCCACCGGCUAGAGGUUCGAUCCCAUAUUCUCCCCAUUCUAUCUCCCUUUUCUCUCUUGUUGUUAGAGGGUUGAUUGCGCCAGCCCAGCACGGCCUUCAACUCUCUUUCUUUCCUUUCUUACAGACGGUUUUUCUUUCUUUCGGCUUUAUUUCGAAAUACUCUAAAUAUUUCUAUGCAUUAAAGAAAUGUUAAACUUCUCUACAAAAAAUAUUUCCACCAUGUAUAAACAAAUGGGUAGUUUGUAUGGAAAGCAAAAUUAGGAAAAUAAUAACGUAAGUUUCUGUUUUUUUGAAAAAAAUUAAGCAUGCAUUUAAAUAAAUUUAAAUGUGUACAAAAAUUGUUUAUGAUGUAUACAAAAAUAUACAAUAUGUUUAGAACAAAGUAGACAUAAAAAAGUAUAUGUCUUCAAAAAUAUUAAUCAUGUAUUUGGACGAUGUUAACUGUGUACAUAAAAAUGAUCAUGAUGUACACAAGAAAUAUAGAAUGCGUAUAGGAAAAUGGGAAAUCAAAAAACUUAUGGUUAAAAAAAGUUGAAAACUAAAUUGGAAAAAUGUUAUACUUGUAUAUCUAAAUGUUUGUCAUGUAUACAAAAAAAAUACUGUGUUCAUGGAGAAUAUAGAGAUAAACAAAAUAUUUUACCAAAUGUUAAUUAAUUAUUUAAAAAUGUAAUAAUUUAUUUUUAAAUUUCUAAAUGUGAUAUAAAAUGUUUCUGGUAUAUACAAAAAAAUUAUAGUGUAUAUGAGCAAACGUAGACAUAAAAAAUAUAAGUUCUCAAAAAUAUUAAUUAUAUAUUUAGAAAAUGUUAAACAUGUAUAUAAAAAUUGUUCUUGGCGUAUAAAAAAUGUAGAAAGAAAACGAACAAAAACUAUAAAAUUGAAAAAGAAACAAAAAAAGCAAAGAAAGCAAAAAAAAUAGCAAAACCCGUAAAACCAAAAGAAUAUACCAAAAAAUAAGAAAGAAAAAACAAGAAUGAUAAAAACGUGCUAUCAUUAAUUACUAACAUGUACUUUGUUAUCUUCAUCACACUACAAAUAUUUGUUGGGCAUCAUCAAGGACGAACGACAACAAAUGCGUAAUGAGAUACCUCCAACUAGGUAGAUAUUUUUGUUGUCUAAUAAGUUAAAAACAUCUUGAGUACACUUCAAAAAUCAUCCCAUUUUUAUAUUUUUACACAACACCACUUAUCAUGUUAUUUGUCAUGUGACAUCGUGAAAGAUUUCAAGGGAUUUACUAAUGUCUUGAGAGUGUGUAUGAGGGGUGACUUUUUCUCCCCCGUUGAAAGAACACAAAGCCUGCCCUUCUUCGGAAAACACACACACACACACAUACACACACAAAGCAAGCCCUACUGUAUUGGCUGUUCACCCUUAGCUGCCGCUUGGUCAAACGUCGCGAGUUUGACGUUCUUACCUUUUGCAUCCUCUAAAAGAAGUAAAAAUGAAAGCGACGAGACUCGAACCCGAGACUUGCUGCUGCGGAAAGCUUGGCUUUGCCACCUAGGCCAUGACCUGUCACGAUGUUCAAUAAGAGAUGCCACAUAUUUAACUAUGAGGUGAGCGUUUGAAUUCAAAAGUUUCAAAAUAUUUGAGAUUUUUCGCACGGUAUAAGUGUUUCUCGUGGGGGGGGGGCUAAACUCGAUAUCAAAAGAACAUUAUUAUUAUUAUUUCAAAUGGAAGUAAUGUUGGUUUUACAUGAACAUUGUUUCUGGCAGAAAAUCUUAUAUUUACUAAUUGGAGGCACCUUUCAUGAUCUCUCAUUAAUCCACAUCAUCAAAAUUAAUUAAACCGUUGGAUUGUAAAAUUUAUGACCAGGAUUAAAAAAACAACUUGUGUAACGCAGAUGAUGCUGUCCUAUAAAAAGUGCACCUGACACGUACAACUUUUGUUAAACAAACAAAGAAAAGACUCACAUAAAAAAACGAAAGCCACAAGUAAAAAAGGGAAAGGCCCCACCAGUUCCCACAAAUUAAGUAGAAAAACAGCCUCAUGCAAGAAAAAGAGGAAAGUCCCUACCGUAUCCCACAAAUUAAGAAGCAAAAUUUUCCAUAAGAAAACCUAACGAUAAGAUGCCAAAACAAAAUCCCAACGUUAAAGGAAAAAAAUCGACUAUCGGGCAGAUUGCCCGUGAAAUAAAAGAAAGCAAACUCGCGUAACAAAACUUAAACCUCCACCCAUCUGAACAAAUAAAAACACUAUGUACCAAACAGAUCAAGCCAAAAUGUACAAAAAAAAUAGAAGUCAUGUAAAGAAAAAGGGAAAGUCCUUAGCAUCCGCUACUUCUCAUAAAAAAAUAGGGUUCUCACCACGUACAUAUAAUUGAAGAUUAAGCACACGCCUUCCAAAAAAAAUAGUCCUUAGCAUACACGUUACUUCCCAGAAGAAAAACAAGCUACAAAAACAGUUUUCACCACAUACAUGAAAUAAAAUCUUACAAAGAAACAUACGACUUGAUCUUUGGUAUGGGACAUGACAAAAAAAGACACAACCUCAAAAAAUGACUUCGCAUUACGUAUGUGAAAUAAAACCUUGCAGAAAAAAUACAUACAUGAAAUAAAAGAUUAAACAUACAUGACCAAAUAAAAACAAGGAAAGCCUCACGUCAAUCGAAAAAGCAAAGGAAAAACUCCACCCGUUGCACAAAUUAAGAAGGAAUGUCUCUGUUAAAAACUCCAAGAUAAAAUGUAAAAAAAGUCCAAUGAUAAAAAUGGAAAAAUUCCGCGAUCCAGCUGAUUGACCGUGAAAUAAAAACUAGACCCAAUGGCUCCAUCAAUAAAAUAUUCUCCCGACAAAAAUCUGUGUCGACUCAUCUGUACGGCCGAUGCCUCCUCCUCUGCUUCAAUCCUGCUGUCCUACCAAUGGCCGCCGAUCACGAUUAUUUGUCACUGAAUGUGCUUUCCCACCUGCAUGGCCAUCGGUGAACCACAAAGUGUCACAAGGGCGGCCUAAUUUAUUUUUAUAUAUGCUACAACAAAAAUACCUCUCAUGUUUAGUUGGACAGUAUAUUUUUUAAAGGGAUAUUGAAGCUGAAGUUUGUCAACCACGGAUGUGGAGCUGGUCGAGACUGGUGGCUAGAUGACAAAGGCUCCGCUCGGCAAGGAAAGAUUUGCAUUGAGCUAAGACUCAUGACUAAUUGAUAUAAUCUAAGAGAUGAUGAACCAAGAAAAUUAUAUUAGAAUUAAGUUGGAUGUUAUUUGCAUUAUUCUAUUUUGAGGAGUAAAAUUAUUUUUUGGGAAUUACACAAUCAAACUAUUGUUAUGAUUUCUUGAACUGGCCAUAUAGGCCACAUAAAUUAUGAAAUUACUUUUCAUUGACGGAAUUUCGUUUGUGAAGAUAGCAUAGGGGCAACCGAUCAAUGUCCCCGGUAAUGAGUACUCAAUCACAUCAUGUUUGGUAGUACUACUGUAUGGGUGUUCUACAUAAAAGCAAAUGUAAGUAGACAACAUUAUAAUUAUUAAUUUUGUCCAUUAUAUUGCAAAGUAAAGGAUAUCCGUGUGGUCAAAAAAAUUUAGAUCAAUAUUGCACCACUAUAUGUCUUUUUUUCAAAUUUAAAUCCUGUUCAAGUUUAUACUGCUUUUCUUACUACUCCUAAUAAAUGAUCAGAACAAGGAAGCUUGCAGUUCUGUAGGGGAAGACCGAUCCUUGACGAGCAUUUCUAGCGUGACACAUAUAAAUAACAUUGGAUGGAGCGGCUCGAUGACCUCCUCAUGUACGCUGCCGGACGCUGGCUGCAUCCGAUGACGCCGGGAGCAAGGUAGUGGUGUCGUGUAAGUUCAUUUUAGAUGCUAAGGACUAUUAUGCACAACUUAGUACUAUUCUCUUGAAAGAUAAACUACUUUGUCUGACAUGCAUACUUGCGAUUAUGUAGACUUAACAUGUUUUUACACAGGUGCAGAUUACGAAUGCUAAUUAUUUGCACAUAUAGUACGGUUGCACAUCUCUUUUUUUUGUCCUGAUAAGUUAUAAAAAAUAUAACUAUUAAAGUAUCUUUAAUACACAUAAAUUUUUUUAGUAAAAAAUAAUGUGGAUGUUUCCUGCACGACAAAGAUCUCAUAUAAACAAAUGAUUAUGUAUGUGAUAUACAUAUGUGUAGCAAGGAUAGAAAGUACAAUAAACUUUCAAGCACAUUAAUCUGAAAAGAAAUCCUCUUAUGAUUUUCUUUGCACAAAUAUGAUAGUGAAAUACGAUUAAUCUAUCACACAACUCCAAUUCAAUCGUGAAAGAUUUUCUUUAAGAAUUUAUUGGUUAAUACAAGAAUAUAAAAUACAAAUAACCUAUGGUGCUUAGCGUAAUCAAGAAUUGCAGAAAUCAAACUUUUAUAUAUUAUUUGCUACAGUGUUACAUACUACUUCUCCAAAUAAUUCUUUUUAGUCUGCAUAUAAGAUUUGCCUGAAGUCAAACUUCAUAAAGUUUGAGCAUAUUUAUAUUGAAAAAUAUUAACAUGUACAAUACUAAAGUCAUAGAGUAUAAAAAUUAAGAUUCAUGCCGCAUUUAAUGAUAUUGAUUACACAUGGAGAAUAUUGAUAUUUUUUCUGUAAGUUGGUCAAACUUUACGUUGUUUUACUUCAAAUAAAUCUUCUAUACAGAGUAAAAUAUCUGGCGGGAGUAUUUAAUAUUAGAAGUGCUAGCCCGUGCUGAUGCACGGGUUGAUGACUAGUAGAUUAUUAACUAUCAAAGUCAUAUGGCCCUAGCAAGACAUUGUUCAGGCCGCCCAGCUUGAUCAACUCCUCGUUAUCGUUGAUAACUGUCUGGCUUUUCAUGGGAAGCUCAUGCCGGCAGUUGCUGACAUGGUCAGUCGCCUUCUCCACACACUCGGGCAAUUCAAAGAACCACGGGCCGUCGGCGUCGCCCAUGGGGACACGGAAGUCCCUGAGCAUGGCGUCGCAGAGGCCGAGGGUACCGAUAGCAGCAUCGUAAUCCACCUGGCAAUACCUGAGGCCGAGCGCCUCCUCCAUACCUUUCUUGGCUUUCUGGAGUGCUUCCUUCACCUUGCCGCCGGCAGCCGCCACGUGGAUCUUGAGGAUGUCAACGGCGACGAGCGACAGGUCGCGGAGGUCCUUGGACUCAGAGCUCCUUUUGUCGGACCGGAGAGUCUGCACGCAGAAUUCCUGGGUGACGUUCAGGUGCUUGUUGCGGCAGCUGCUCGAAGCGUUCUUGCAGGUUUCUACCACGAGGUCUACCACCUUGACCUUGUCGUUGCGCCGCCGGCAUGUGCGCCGAUGCACACAAAAAGGAGCAUGAUUGCAACCAAGAAGGCAGCGGUCGCCCGUGUGGUUGCCAUUGCUGCAAGGAUAGCUGCAAUUGUAUUGUAGGCUUUGUAGCUGAGAGAGAGGUGAAGAUGAAUUGAUAGUCAGAUUUUGUAGUGCAAAGAUGGAGGUGGUGUACGGUUCUUGUGACAUCUAUAUAGUGCAGCAGCAGGUUCAUAAAUCCAAUGCAGCUUAGUCACGGAUAUCCAAAUAAUUAGUAUUUCAGACACUAUAUGCACAGAUAUGUGUUGGAAAAAUGAGCAAAUUACUACGAGAUUUAAUCCGAAUAAAUAGGAAAUAGAUCAUGACAGCAAUAGCAGAGAUUAAACUAAUCAUGCGAACUAGCAUACUAGAUGAACAGAUCACAUCUAGGGCACAUACUAGAAACAUGAGUUCUACCACGAUCUCGAACAAGAAGGAUAGAAUAACAUACGGUGCCGCGGGUGCAGCACCGCCGGCGUUGACGUUGUCGCCCAUGUCGUCGAGGAUGAGGUUGCCGAGGUCGGGGAAGAAGUCGUCGUUCGCGAAGUCGUCGCUGCCAGCAGUCGCGCGAGUGCGCUCCCCAAAAACCUGAUCGCCCCUCUCCCAUACAGGAUCACGAGAGGCGGGGUUCUAGAGGCCUGCUGUCCCUUCUCCCGGUGCACGCCGAAAGGAGGGAUGGAGAAGACUUGCUUGGCGGCGCAAUGAUCUAGAACGGUGGUCAGAAACCAUACGAAGCGGCGGCGGCUAGGAUAGACGUCUGCCUGACUAUAUAGUGCGGGCCGGGUAGGUCGUGGGAGUAAACCUCACGUCCGAGUCAUCACGAUCCAAAAGAAUCGGAAAUGGUUCAGUAAUUAAUGAGUCCAUUAAUUAUUAAUUAAUGAGUCCAUUAAUUAUUAAUUAAUGACUCAUUAAUUUUUCCCGAGCAGCAAAAAUAUAGACAACGUGCAUAGCUCUGUCCUCGGCUUGGCUCAAUCCCGCGGCGCGGCGUGGCGAGGCGAGCGAGGAGGAGGAGCGCGCGUGUAGGUCUCCUCUUCUCAUGCUCAUACAAGUGGUAGAAAAGCUCACCUUAUAAAGAGGUGCAACUCUCUCUCAACUUCCGGGGUGGGACUAAACUUUAGUCUCACCCACUCCAGUCACAUGUGUGCAUGAAUGGGCCAAGAGAAUUUCAGAAUUUUAGUUGGGCUUUGGGCCAAGGCCUACUAGCAAAAUUCCAACAAUCCCCCACAAAGUCUCAUUGGCACUUCUCAUCAUUUAGUUCCAAAACAUUGUUUAUAUACCGGUGCUUAGUGGAGACUGUGAAGUUGAACUUCCACUUAAAGAUUUAUGCUACACUGGAUCACAACUUGAAUAGUGGACUAUGCCUUGAACUACAAGUUUUCUGCGAAACUAGUUUCACACAAAUUCUUGACCGAUACUGGGCUGCCGCAAGGCUUCCCCGCGGGUGGAGCGUAUACGCCAUACUCCAGGGCAUUUUCAUGAAUUUAUUAGAGAACACCCAAUUCUCACAGACUGCGACGUUAACAGUCAAAUUCAUAUAGGUGUGUUCCUCAGAAGAUGUUCUGCAGGACAACAUCUCUGCUUACCUGAAUAAGCCACUUGGAACACAUUAAGAUAAGUAUCAACCUGCCAUGCAGAUCAGGAGAGUAUUGCAUCUUCACGGAGUGGGAUAGUUAAUAUAGGGAUACUCUCCUCCCAGCUGACCAACAGCUUGUCUCCCACUUCUACUUCACGGGAUCUCCGAUCACAUAGAGUGGGUUACCACUAUGGACAACUCAUGCGGUGGGUCUCAAACCCAUCUCCAUCGAUGCAUUAUCUAUCACAUUAUGUGAUAGACCCUUUGUGAAGGGAUCUGCCAUGUUUUUCGAUAUUUGGAUAUAAUCCAACGUAAUAACUCCGGAGUUCCUCAAUUUUCUGACAGAUUUUAGUCUCCUCUUCACAUGUCUUGAGGACUUCAUGUUGUCCUUCGAACUGUUUAUCUUGACAAUCACAGUUUGAUUAUCACAGUUCAUCAGGAUAGGGGGUAUUGGUUUUUCAACCAUAGGUAAGUCCAUCAAGAGUUCACGAAGCCACUCUGCUUCAACAGUGGCAGUGUCUAAUGCUGUGAGUUCUGCUUCCAUAGUUGACCUCAUUAAGAUGGUCUACUUGCAAGACUUCCAGGAAACAGCGCCACCACCAAGUGUAAAAACAUAACCACUCGUGGGCUUUAUCUCAUCAGAAUCAGAUAUCCAGUUUAAGUCACUAUAACCCUGCAGUACCCUUGGAUACCCGGUGUAGUGAAUCCCAUAGCUCGCGUAGCCUUUCAAAUAGCGAAUAACUCUCUCAAGAGCAUGCCAAUGAUCAUCUCCCGGUUUUGACACAAACCGACUCAGCUUGCUCACAGCAAAAGAGAUGUCAGGCCUCGUGGCACUCGCCAAAUACAUAAGCGAGCCAAUAAUCUGAGAAUACCUCAGUUGAUCUCUAGCAAUCCGUCGAUUCUUUCGAAGCAACACACUAGCAUCAUAUGGAGUUGGAGAAGGUGUGCAGUCGCUAUACCCAAAACGACUCAAGACCUUUUCCACAUAGUGAGACUGAAGCAGUGUGAUCCCACCAUUCUCAUCUCUCAACAGCUUGAUGUUUAAGAUAACAUCAGCUACUCCUAGAUCCUUCAUCUCAAAACAGCGAGAUAAGAAAUCCUUAACCUCCUUGAUUAAAUCAAGUUUGGUUCCAAAGAUCAAUAUGUCGUCGACAUACAGACAAAGAAUAACUCCUUCACCCCCACCAUAGCAAUAGUACACGCACUUGUCACCAUCAUUUACUACAAAGCCGGCAGCAGUUAAUGUCCUUUCGAACUUCUCAUGCCACUCCUUAGGAGCUUGUUGAAGGCCAUAUAAAGACUUUAAUAACUUGCACACCUUUCCUUCCUGACCAGGUACUACAAAACCAUCUGGCUGAUCCAUGUAAAUUUCCUCCUUCAACUCUCCAUUGAGGAAAGCCGUCUUGACGUCCAUUUGAUGAACGAGAAGACCAUGUGAGGCAGCCAGUGAUAGUAGCACCUGAAUUGUGGUCAGUCUAGCCACAGGUGAGUAAGUAUCAAAGAAGUAUUCACCUUCUUUCUGGGUAUAACCCUUAGCCACAAGCCGUGCCUUGUUCUUUUCAAUCGUACCAUCAGGUCUAAGAUUCUUCUUGAACACCCACUUACAUCCUAAAGGUUUGCACCCAUAAGGACGGCCAGUGAUCUUAUGGGACUUGCGAGGUUGCUUAGCUUGCACACAUACUUGGCACUUAGAGCCUUUGACAGUAGAGAUUUUCAGAAUUAAAUUCAUAUUGGCUAGCCACGUCAUGCAACCAAAGUUAAUGUGACAAAGUCGUGAAUGCCAAAUAUCUGACUCAUUGCUGUGGCAAACAUUAUUAAUAACUUUAGUGCAAAUAUCUGACAAAGACAGGCGGAACAAGCCUCGGCUCUCAUAGCCUUUUCCAACAAAUUGUCCAUACUUAGAAAUUACAACAUUAUUGGAUUCGAAAACCAACUUAAAACCAUCUCAACAUCAAUGGGAACCGCUAACGAGAUUUUUAUUGAUGGACGGCACAUGAUGAACGUUCUUCAGACGCACGGUCUUCCCCGAAGUAAACUUCAGAUCGACCGUACCAACACCUCGAACGAUGGCAUGUGACCCGUUCCCCAUCAGCAUGGGAGAAGUCCCAGUGGCCUGGUAAGAAGAAAACUUGGAGGCGUCAGCACAAACAUGUACAUUGGCACCGGUGUCAAUUAACCAAUCAGGGGAUCGAAAUACUGAAAGGAUGGUAGGAAAAAUAUCGUAUCCUGAUUCCUUCAUAUCAGUAUCACCGAUAACAACAUUAGCGGACUUGCCGCUCUUGUCAUGUUCGCGCUCCUCAAAACGGUUAGGACACUUCGGAGCCCAGUGAUUAGGAUCACCGCAAACAUGGCAAAGUCCCUUCCCCUUCUUAUGAGAAUUCUUCUUGAAGUUGGUAGAAUGUGCUGGCUUGUUCUUUGUAUCAAACUUACCUUUGCCCUGAGUUUUGUUCUUGUUGUUUUUGAACUUUUUGGGAUGGAAGUUCUUCUUCUGUACCAUGUGGGCACUAGAACCUCCCUCAGCAACUCGAGCACGUGUGUCCUUUGCUCUCGCCUUCUCUUCAACAUCAAGAGUACCAAUGAGAUCCGCAACGGAAAACUCCUGUCUCUUGUGUUUCAAGGAAGUAGAAAAAAUUAUUCCACGAAGGUGGAAGCUUGGCAAUGAUGCCUCCGGCAACACACACUUGAAGUAAUCAAGUUCUUUUGCGAGUGACUAUAUCUCAUUAGCCUGCUGUACAACAAGGCGCUCAUCAGUCAUCUUGUAGUCAUAGAAUUGCUGCAUGACGUACAACUCGCCGCCGACGUCCGAGGCACCAAACUUGGCCUCGAGCGCAGCCCACAUGUCCUUGCCGUUGUAAAAUGACAUAUACGAAUCGAUCUUCUCAAAAGCUUCCAGCUGUGCUGGAUUAAGAUCGCCCUCAGGCUUGCCCUUGGUGGCGUCAUAGCAGCCCAUGGUCUGAAACCAGUAGACUGCUAUCGUGCGCCACCUCUUAUAUUGCGCCCCUUUAAUGGCAGGCAGCUUCAAAUGCGCAGCAAAAUACGAGAUUUAAUCCGAAUAAAUAGGAAAUAGAUCAUGACAUCAAUAGCAGAGAUUAAACUAACCCCGAGUAGGUCAUGGGACAACGUGCAUAGCUCUGUCCUCGGCUCAAUCCCGCAACCCGCGGCGCGGCACUCGUGUAGGUCUCCUCUUCUCAUGGUCAUACAAGUGGUAGAAUAGCUCACCUUAUAAAGAGGUGCAACUCUCUCUCAACUUCCGGGGUGGGACUAAACUUUAGUCUCACUCACUCCACUCACAUGUGUGCAUGAAUGGGCCAAGAGAAUUUCAGAAUUUUAGUUGGGCUUUGGGCCAAAGGCCUACUAGCAAAAUUCCAACAAUAUGUAGAUCCACAUUUUGGGUGUGCUAGUAUUAAUACGUGUGGCAUGAGUGUGUUCUUGUUUUAUGUAUUUCUAGAGUGAAUCUCACGUUAUUUCCCCAUAUCAUAAAAUGGAUUUGGGACAUUAAAGGAAGAUUAUGCGCAUUUUGCACUUGAUAAUCUAUCUAUCUUCUACAUUUAUAUAUCUAUCUAUAUCUAUCUCUAUAUUCAUCCCUAUAUCUAUACCUAUCUAUAUGUAUACUAUAUAUGUAUAUUUAUAUCUACACCUAUCUAUCUAUCUAUCUAUCUAUCUAUCUUUAUAUCUAUAUCUCUAUCUAUCUAUACCUAUACUUCUACUCCCUCCGUCCCAAAAUAAGUAUCUCAAGCUUAGUACAAGUUCGUACUAAAGUUAAUACAAAGUUGAGACACUUAUUUUGAGACGGAGAAAGUACUAAUUAGGCACUCCCUAGAAAUUACCAUGUUAAUCGGUAAAAUUCAAGAUAAUUGGAAACCCAUGCCCCUUCGUAAAUACAUGUAAUUGCUUACACCAUUUAGGAUAUGCUUGCAUGAUGGAUAUAUACGAUACACAUGCAUCAUUAUUAACCCGGAACACCUUUAAGAUUACAUUAAAAAUGGCAUCCAGGAGACACUAUAUUAAAUAAUACUGCCCAUGAUUAAAUAGGAGGAAAUCCAAUUCUCCAUCGAGGUAUAUGUGCAAAGAGUUAAACAUUGAUCAUUUGGAUAUUCAUGGGGCAUAUUGCAUUUGGAAACCCCUACUCAGUGCACUAUAUAGUAUAUAUAAGCCAUAAUCAUAGCUAUGUACUCCACCUCAACCCAUCCAUCUCUGCACUGCAGUUCCAUUUGAUCCAUUCAUCGUCUCCCUCAGUUACAAUAUAAUUUUCUAGCAAGCCUGGCAGCAAUGGAAAUGGUGCAAACCACCUCCUUAGCAUUCACUGGAAUUGUCAUCAUUCUCCUUUCCAUGGCCAUCACCAAUCAAGCUUCCGACACCAAGCCCAUGCCGUCAGGCAUCACGUUGGAAGCAUGCAAGAAUGUCUCGAGUGACUUCUUCAAGGUGCGCUCCACAUAUGACUUUUGUGUAUCAACGCUCCAGUCAGACAAACGAAGCAUCAACGCGAAGGACUGCCGCAUCCUAGCUCUUGUGGACGUCGACGCCAUGAAGCCCCAAGCCACGGCCGUGAUGGCCAAGGUUGAGAACUUGAUCCAUGGUGCCACCAAGGACAAGCUCGCGACUCGCGCCCUUGGGUUCUGCCAAGUGGACUACGGUGGCAUGGUGAGCACCCUCGAAAUCUGCCAUGAUAUCAUCCAGAACUUUGAGGUUCGUAAAGGCAAUGAAGGUCCGACGCCCUACGACCUGCCUGAUUGCAUUGCGAAAACAACCAAAGCCAUCAACGAUUGCUCUGACAAAACAAAGUUUACGUCGGUUACAAAAGGGCUAACAAAGGAAUAUGAGGAGUUAUCUAUGAUGAUCAGCCUCAGCAGCUCUUUGCCACAUCUCUACAUCACAUCACCCUGAUUUUUCUGGAAAAAUAUGAUUUUAUAGCAUCGGUUUUAGGGUCUGCGAGGCCACCAGGUGGGGACAACCCACCUAGGCGCGCUUGGAGGGGGCACGCCUUGGUGGGUUGUGCCCACCCAGGUGCCCCCCUUCCGGUGGUUCAUGGCUCCAGAAAUUCUCUUUAUUGAUAUAAAAAAUCCUUGCAAAGUUUCGUUCCAUUCCUAAAACUUUUAUUUCUGCACAAAAACAACACCAUGGUAGUUCUGCUGAAAACAGCAUCAGUCCGGGGUUAGUUUCAUUCAAGUCAUGCAAAUUAGAGUCCAAAACAAGAGGAAAAGCAUUGGGAAAAGUAGAUGUGUUGGAGACCUAACGGUGGCGGCGGGAAACAAAUGAGGAAAGGGUGGCGUGUUCAUAAAACGCCACCAAUCAAUGGAAACUUAGCAUAGAAGGAACAUUGAGCUAGCACAACGCGUGUGUGCACAUUGCUCACCCAAGGCUAUGAUCCAUAUACUUGUGUGCCCAACAGAGCACACUAUUCAUAGUAAAGAAUAUUGUUCUGUUUAUCCUAGUAGAGCAGUGGCAGCAAGCGACACAAGAAGAAGUAGAUGAUGAUCAGAUGAUGGUUUAUCCUAAUUAAUUAUGCAUGUAAUAGUUUACUUUGGCGUGUGGAAAUGUCAUGUGUACUAGGCAACUAUGUAAUUGGAUGUUUAAUUUGAUUGUGGAAUCAUGUCCUUAUAUCAUGAUAAAUGUUUAUUAUUCAUGCUAGAAUUGUAUUAACUGAAAACAUAAUACAUGUGUGAAUACAUAGACAAACAAAGUGUCACUAGUAUGCCUCUACUUGACUAGCUUGUUGAUCAAAGAUGGUUAUGUUUCCUAGCCAUAGACACGAGUUGUCAUUUGAUUAACGGGAUCACAUCAUUAGGAGAAUGAUGUGAUUGACAUGACCCAUUCCGUUAGCUUAGCACCGGAUCAUUUAGUAUGUUGCUAUUGCUUUCUUCAUGACUUAUACAUGUUCCUAUGACUAUGAGAUUAUGCAACUCCUCUUUACCGGAGUAACACUUUGUGUGCUACCAAACGUCACAACGUAACUGGGUGAUUAUAAAGGAGCUCUACAGGUGUCUCCAAAGGUACAUGUUGGGUUGGCGUAUUUCGAGAUUAGGAUUUGUCACUCCGAUUGUCAGAGAGGUAUCUCUGGGCCCUCUCGGUAAUGCACAUCACUUAAGCCUUGCAAGCAUUGCAACUAAUGAGUUAGUUGCGGGAUGAUGUAUUAUGGGACGAGUAAAGAGACUUGCCGGUAACGAGAUUGAACUAGGUAUUGAGAUACUGACGAUCGAAUCUCGGGCAAGUAACAUGCCGAUGACAAAGGGAACAACGUAUGUUGUUAUGCGGUCUGACCGAUAAAGAUCUUCGUAGAAUAUGUAGGAGCCAAUAUGAGCAUCCAGGUUCCUCUAUUGGUUAUUGACCGGAGACGUGUCUCGGUCAUGUCUACAUAGUUGUCGAACCCGUAGGGUCCGCACGCUUAACGUUUCGAUGAUAGUUAUAUUAUGAGUUUAUAUGUUUUGAUGUACCGAAGGUUGUUCGGAGUCCCGGAUGUGAUCACGGACAUGAAGAGGAGUCUCGAAAUGGUCGAGACAUGAAGAUUGAUAUAUUGGAAGCCUAUGUUUGGAUAUCAGAAGUGUUCCGAGUGAAAUCAGGAUUUUACCGGAGUACCGGGAGGUUAGCGGAACCCCCCAGUAACUUAAUGGGCCUUAGUGGCCCUAGGUGGAAGAGAGGAGAGGAGGCAAGGGCUGGCCGCGCGCCCCUCCCCCCUAGUCCGAAUAGGACAAGGAGAGGGGGGUGGCGCCCCCCUUCCUUCUCGUCCACUCCUUCCCCCUCCCAAGUCCUAAUCCAACUAGGAAAGGGGGGAGUCCUACUCCCGGUGGGAGUAGGACUCCUCCGGCGCGCCUCCUCCUAUGGCCGGCCGCACCCCCCCCCCCUUGCUCCUUUAUAUACGGGGGCAGGGGGGCAUCCCAUAGAUACAACAAUUGAUCGUUUGAUCUUUUAGCCGUGUGUGGUGCCCCCCUCCACCAUAGUCCACCUCGAUAAUACUGUAGCGGUGCUUAGGCGAAGCCCUGCAUUGGUAGAACAUCAUCAUAUUCACCACGCCGUCGUGCUGACGAAACUCUCCCUCAACACUCGGCUGGAUCGGCGUUCGAGGGACGUCAUCGGGCUAAACGUGUGCUGAACUCGGAGGUGUCGUGCGUUUGGUACUUGAUCAGACAGAUCGUGAAGACAUACGACUACAUCAACCGCGUUGUGCUAAGGCUUCCGCUUUCGGUCUACGAGGGUACGUGGCCAACACUCUCCCCUCUCGUUGCUAUGCAUCACCAUGAUCUUGCGUGUGCAUAGGAAAUUUUUUGAAAUUACUACGUUCCCCAACAAUGGCAUCCGAGCCUGAUUUUAUGUGUAGAUGUCAUAUGCACGUGUAGAACACAAGUGAGUUGUGGUCGAUAUAAGCCAUACUGCUUACCAGCAUGUCAUACUUUGGUUCGGCGGUAUUGUUGGAUGAAGCGGCCCGGACCGACAUUACGUGUACGCUUACGCGAGACUGGUUCUACCGACGUGCUUUGCACAGAGGUGGCUGGCGGGUGUCAGUCUCUCCAACUUUAGUUGAACCGAGUGUGGCUACGCCCGGUCCUUGCGAAGGUUAAAACAACACCAACUUGACAAACUAUCGUUGUGGUUUUUGAUGCAUAGGUAAGAAUGGUUCUUGCUAAGACCGUAGCAACCAUGUAAAACUUGCAACAACAAAGUAGAGGAUGUCUAACUUGUUUUUGCAGGGCAUGUUGUGAUGUGAUAUGGUCAAGACAUGAUGCUAAAUUUUAUUGUAUGAGAUGAUCAUGUUUUUUACCGAGUUAUCGGCAACUGGCAGGAGCCAUAUGGUUGUUGCUUUAUUGUAUGCAAUGCAAUCGACCUGUAAUGCUUUACUUUAUCACUAAGCGGUAGCGAUAGUCGAAGAAGCAUAAGAUUGGCGAGACGACAACGAUGCUAUGAUGGAGAUCAAGGUGUUGCGCCGGUGACGACGGUGAUCACGGAGGUGCUUCGGAGAUGGAGAUCACAAGCACAAGAUGAUGAUGGCCAUAUCAUAUCACUUAUAUUGAUUGCAUGUGAUGUUUAUAUUUUGUGCAUCUUAUCUUGCUUUGAUUGACGGUAGCAUUAUAAGAUGAUCCCUCACUAAAUUAUCAAAGUAUAAGUGUUCUCCCUGAGUAUGCACUGUUGCGAAAAUUCUUCGUGCUGAGACACCACGUGAUGAUCAGGUGUGAUAGGCUCUACGUUCAAAUACAAUGGGUGCAAAACAGUUGCACAUGUGGAAUACUCAGGUUAAACUUGACGAGCCUAGCAUAUAACAGAUAUGGCCUCAGAACACGGAGACCGAAAGGUCGAGCGUGAAUCAUAUAGUAGAUAUGAUCAGCAUAGUGAUGUUCACCAUUAAAACUACUCCAUCUCACGUGAUGAUCGGACAUGGUUUAGUUGAUUUGGAUCACGUGAUCUCUUAGAGGAUUAGAGGGAUGUCUAUCUAAGUGGGAGUUCUUAAGUAAUAUGAUUAAUUGAACUUAAAUUUAUCGUGAACUUAGUACCUGAUAGUAUCUUGCUUGUUUAUGUUGAUUGUAGAUAGAUGGCCCGUGCUGUUGUUCCGUUGAAUUUUAAUGUGUUCCUUGAGAAAGCAAAGUUGAAAGAUGAUGGUAGCAAUUACAUGGACUGGGUCCGUAACUUGAGUAUUAUCCUCACUGCUGCACAGAAGAAUUACGUCCUGGAAGUAUCGCUGGGUGCCAGGCCUGCUGCAGGAGCAACACCAGAUGUUAUGAACAUCUGGUAGAGCAAAGCUGAUGACUACUCGAUAGUUCAGUGUGCCAUGCUUUACGGCUUAGAACCGGGACUUCAACGGCGUUUUGAACGUCAUGGAGCAUAUGAGAUGUUCCAGGAGUUGAAGUUAAUAUUUCAAGCAAAUGCCCGGAUUGAGAGAUAUGAAGUCUCCAAUAAGUUCUAUAGCUGCAAGAUGGAGGAGAACAGUUCUGUCAGUGAGCAUAUACUCAAAAUGUCUGGGUAUAAUAAUCACUUGAUUCCAUUGGGAGUUAAUCUUCCAGAUGAUUUCGUCAUUGACAGAAUUCUCCAAUCACUGCCACCAAGCUACAAGAGCUUCGUGAUGAACUAUAAUAUGCAAGGGAUGAAUAAGACUAUUCCCGAGCUCUUCGCAAUGCUGAAAGCUGCGGAAGUAGAAAUCAAGAAGGAGCAUCAAGUGUGUAUGGUCAACAAGACCACUAGUUUCAAGAAAAAGGGCAAAGGGAAGAAGAAGGGGAACUUCAAGAAGAACAGCAAACAAGUUGCUGCUCAAGAGAAGAAACCCAAGUCUGGACCUAAGCCUGAAACUGAGUGUUUCUACUGCAAGCAAACUGGUCACUGGAAGCGGAACUGCCCCAAGUAUUUGGCGGAUAAGAAGGAUGGCAAGGUGAACAAAGGUAUAUGUGAUAUACAUGUUAUUGAUGUGUACCUUACUAAUGCUCGCAGUAGCACCUAGGUAUUUGAUACUGGUUCUAUUGCUAAUAUUUGCAACUCGAAACAGGGGUUACGGAUUAAGCAAAGAUUGGCUAUGGACAAGGUAACGAUGCGCGUGGGAAAUGGUUCCAAAGUUGAUGUGAUCGCAGUCGGAACGCUACCUCUACAUCUACCUUUGGGAUUAGUAUUAGACCUAAAUAAUUGUUAUUUGGUGCCAGCGUUGAGCAUGAAUAUUAUAUCUGGAUCUUAUUUGAUGCAAGACGGAUAUUCAUUUAAAUCAGAGAAUAAUGGUUGUUCUAUUUAUAUGAGUAAUAUCUUUUAUGGUCAUGCACCCUUGAAGAGUGGUCUAUUCUUAUUGAAUCUUGAUAGUAGUGACACACAUAUUCAUAAUGUUGAAGCCAAAAGAUGCAGAGUUGAUAAUGAUAGUGCAACUUAUUUGUGGCACUACCGUUUAGGUCAUAUCGGUGUAAAGCGCAUGAAAAAACUCCAUACCGAUGGACUUUUGGAACCACUUGAUUAUGAAUCACUCUCUACUUGCGAACUGUGCCUCAUGGGCAAAAUGACUAAAACACCGUUCUCCGAUACUAUGGAGAGAGCAACAGAUUUGUUGGAAAUCAUACAUACAGAUGUAUGUGGUCUGAUGAAUGUUGAGGCUCAUGGCGGAUAUCGUUAUUUUCUCACCUUCACAGAUGACUUAAGCAGAUAUGGGUAUAUCUACUUAAUGAAACAUAAGUUUGAAACAUUUGAAAAGUUCAAAGAAUUUCAGAGUGAAGUUGAAAAUCAUCGUAACAAGAAAAUAAAGUUUCUACGAUCUGAUCAUGGAGGAGAAUAUUUGAGUUACGAGUUCGGUGUACAUUUGAAAAAGUGCGGAAUAGUUUCGAAACUCACGCCACCCGGAACACCACAACAUAAUGGUGUGUCCGAACGUCGUAAUCGUACUUUAAUAGAUAUGGUGCGAUCUAUGAUGUCUCUUACUGAUUUACCGCUAUCGUUUUGGGGUUAUGCUUUAGAGACGGCCGCAUUUACGUUAAAUAGGGCACCAUCAAAAUCCGUUGAGACGACGCCUUAUGAACUGUGGUUUGGCAAAAAACCAAAGUUGUUGUUUCUGAAAGUUUGGGGCUGCGAUGCUUAUGUGAAAAAGCUUCAACCUGAUAAGCUCGAACCCAAAUCGGAGAAAUGUGUCUUCAUAGGAUACCCAAAGGAGACCGUUGGGUACACCUUCUAUCACAGAUCCGAAGGCAAGAUUUUUGUUGCUAAAUUAGGAAACUUUCUAGAGAAGGAGUUUCUCUCGAAAGAAGUGAGUGGGAGGAAAGUAGAACUUGAUGAGGUAACUGUACUUGCUCCCUUAUUGGAAAGUAGUUCAUCACAGAAACCGGUUUCCGUGACACCUACACCAAUCAGUGAGGAAGUUAAUGAUGAUGAUCAUGAAACUUCAGACCAAGUUACUACUGAGCCUCAUAGAUCAACCAGAGUAAGAUCCGCAGCAGAGUGGUACGGUAGUCCUGUUCUGGAAGUCAUGCUACUAGAUCAUGAUGACCCUACGAACUAUGAAGAAGCGAUGGUGAGCCCAGAUUCCGCAAAAUGGCUUGAGGCCAUGAAAUCUGAGAUGCGAUCCAUGUAUGAGAACAAAGUAUGGACUUUGGUUGACUUGCCUGAUGAUCGGCAAGCAAUUGAAAAUAAAUGGAUCUUCAAGAAGAAGACUGACGCUGACGGUAAUGUUACUGUCUACAAAGCUCGACUUGUUGUGAAAGGUUUUCGACAAGUUCAAGGGAUUGACUACGAUGAGACCUUCUCACUCGUAGCGAUGAUUAAGUCUGUCCGAAUCAUGUUAGCAAUUACCGCAUUUUAUGAUUAUGAAAUUUGGCAAAUGGAUGUCAAAACUGCAUUUCUGAAUGGAUUUCUAGAAGAAGAGUUGUAUAUGAUGCAACCAAAAGGUUUUGUGGAUCCAAAGGGAGCUAACAAAAUGUGCAAGCUCCAGCGGUCCAUUUAUGGACUGGUGCAAGUCUCUCAGAGUUGGAAUAAACGCUUUGAUAGUAUGAUCAAAGCAUUUGGUUUUGUACAGACUUUUGGAGAAGCCCGUAUUUAUAAGAAAGUGAGUGGGAGCUCUGUAGCAUUUCUAAUAUUAUAUGUACAUAUUGCUGAUUGGAAAUGAUAUAGAAUUUCUAGAUAGCAUAGGGAUACUUGAAUAAGAGUUUUUCAAUGAAAGACGACCUCGGUGAAGCUGCUUAUAUAUUGGGCAUUAAGAUAUAUAGAGAUAGAUCAAGACGCUUAAUUGGACUUUCACAAAGCACAUACCUUGAAAAAGUUUUGAAGAAGUUCAAAAUGGAUCAAGCAAAGAAAGGGUUCUUGCCUGUGUUACAAGGUGUGAAGUUGAGUAAGACUCAAUGCCCGACCACUGCAGAAGAUAGAGAGAAAAUGAAAGAUGUUCCCUAUGCUUCAGCCAUAGGCUCUAUCAUGUAUGCAAUGUUGUGUACCAGACCUGAUGUGUGCCUUGCUAUAAGCCUAGCAGGGAGGUACCAAAGUAAUCCAGGAGUGGAUCACUGGACAGCGGUCAAGAACAUCCUGAAAUACCUGAAAAGGACUAAGGAUAUGUUUCUCGUUUAUGGAGGUGACAAAGAGCUCAUCGUAAAUGGUUACGUUGAUGCAAGCUUUGACACUGAUCCGGACGAUUCUAAAUCACAAACCGGAUACGUGUUUACAUUGAACGGUGGUGCUGUCAGUUGGUGCAGUUCUAAACAAAGUGUAGUGGCGGGAUCUACGUGUGAAGCGGAGUACAUAGCUGCUUCAGAAGCAGCAAAUAAAGGAAUCCAGAUUUCAGAAGAGAUAUAGAUUUGCAAGAUACAUACGGAUCUGAAUGUUGCAGACCCGUUGACGAAGGGCACGGUGCCAAUGCGCGUCCUCAGUUUGUGUGAGGUGGAUUAUGACACCAUGGUGAGCGUCAUCAACAUAUGUGAUGCCAUUAUCAGGGAUUACCAACGUGACGAGGGCAGGCAAUGGUCCAAAGAGCUAGUCCGUUGGAUGGAUAUGGCACGUGAUCAUGUCAAUGAGUGCAUCUCUGAGCUUGUUGACAUGCCUGCAGUGGGGGCUCUUGUCAAUGAAAACAAUGAAUUGGGAAUGCUGGUUAAACUGAACACCGCCUUGGUAGCAGCCCGUAUGUUUCCCGAGUAAUAGGAUGUUUGUGUUUAUAUGGCAAAAAAUAUGUCGAUGAGAAAUAAAUUGUACUAUUAAUAGUUAUUACUAUAAAUAUAAUGAUAAAUGUGUUGUGGCAUCAAUAUGCAUGGUUUUCCACAAAUUUUUCAUUUUGCUAUGAUAAUUCUAGAUUUUUUGGGGCCCAUUCGUCUUUCUUUCUUCAAAGUCUUACAAUAAUGACAUCUAUCACUCGUUGUGGAACCUCUCUUUUAAAUUGGCUCUUGAAAUCCGAUUGUCAGUAUUUUUCUAAUAUACCAUUGUUAGUAUGUUAUUCUGAUGUGUUGAACUUAUCUAUCUCCCGAGUUAUCUCUAUGCGUGAAUAUUUUCAAGUAUGAAGAGCCGAGGUCAAUGUAACAGCGCAAACAAUUGCAACCACCCGUUUAGCCAACAGGCUACUACCAUCUACGUGCCAAUCCUUAUCUUUACAUAAUAUAAUAAUAAAGAACGGAGGCUUUCAUAUUGUCCAUCCGUCAUCUGUUUAUAUCCAUCGAUUUUAUGUUAACCAUAAAAAUUAACGGCUGGGAUUUAAAAAUAAAUCAACACACAUGUAAUAAGGAAAGCAAACAAACAAACGCUAUGGAACAAAGUAAAAAAAAGUCACGAACGUUGCACGUCUCUCUUGACAAUGAGAAAAAGGAAAACAAUCAUAUAUAUCAGAUCAAUUUCCUGACAAUCCCUAUUUGGCACUACAAGCGCCGGUUAUAACUGUUUUGUGCAAACCGGCGCCUGCAGCCCACAUCCCUCUGAUGCGACUGGGCCGGUCCAUGUAUCUGCUUUUAAAUUUUUUUUCUAAAGGUUCAGAAAAUGUGCGUCCGCACGAAAUCGAACUCAAGAUCUGCUCUAGUAAAUUAGCACCGCAACCAUCAGGCCACAAAAUAUCGCGGUAACUCCUCCGUUUGGGAAUCUUCCAGAACCUUCCCUAAACCGUUUUUUGGUUCGUUGGUCAUUUUAAGGUGCGAUUUUACUCGGUUUUCUUUUGUUCUUUUCCUUUUAUUUCUUAAAUGCGUUUUUUAUCAUGUUAUUUUUCAAAAUCAAUCAUGUUUUUCUCUUUCACGUAUUUAACAAAAUCGAUGAACUUUUUUCCAAAUUCGAUGAACCUUUUUAAAAAUUGAUGAACUUUUUCGAAAUACGAGUAACUUUGUUCAAAUCCGAUGAACUUUUUUUUUCAAAAUUGAUUCUACAACUAUCGCUAACGCAUAGUGAUAAAGUAAAGCAAUUACAUGGCAUUUGCAUCUCAUACAAUAAAGCGACAACCAUAAGGCAACUGCCAGUUGCCGAUAACUUUUACAAAACAUGAUCAUCUCAUACAAUAACGUAUAUCACAUCAUGUCUUGACCAUAUCACAUCACAACAUGCCCUGCAAAAACAAGUUAGACAUCCUCUACUUUGAUGUUGCAAGUUUUACGUGGCUGCUACGGGCUUCUAGCAAGAAACAUUCUUAACUACGCAUCAAAAUCACAACGGUGAUUUAUCAAGUUUGUUGUUUUAGCCUUCAACAAGGACCGGUCGCAGUCAAAUUCGAUUCAACGAAAGUGGGAGAAACAGACACCCACCAGCCACCUUUAUGCAAAACUAGUUGCAUGUCUGUCGGUGCAACAGGUCUCAUGAACGUGGUCAUGUAAGGUUGAUACGGGCCGCUUCAUCCAACAAUACCGCCGAAUCGAAAUAAGACAUUGGUGGUAAGCAUAGACCUGGCUCGGAUGCCACUGUUGGGGAACGUAGCAUGCAGUUUCAAAAAAAAUCUUACGCUCAUGCAAGAUCUAUCUAGGAGAUGUAUAGCAACAAGAGGGGGAGAGUGUUUCCACGUACCCUCGUAGACCAAAAGCAGAAUCAUUUUGACAACGUGGUUGAUGUAGUCGAACUUCUUCUCGUUUCGACCGAUCAAGCACCGAACGUACGGCACCUCCGAGUUCUGCACACGUUUAGCUCGAUGACGUCCCUUGAACUCUUGAUCCAACAAAUUGUCGAGGGAGAGUUUCGUCAGCACGAUGGUGUGGUGAUGGUGAUGGUGAAGUGAUCCGCACAGGGCUUCGCCUAAGCACUGUGACAACUAGUCAUCUACCCGUGCGUUCGCACGGGCUAUAGAAAUUAUAUAUUUACAAAAUCUUCACAAUAUAUAUUCUAAGGACAAUGGUGAUUGAUAUUAGAUGAAAUUUCAUUUUCCUAUCCUCACUGUAAUGGAUGAGCCCAAAAUUAGAAAGAUAACAAUACAUGCCAUAGCAUUAAUAAUUAACAUAGAGAACCUUUUGUUGUAUAAAUCAUUCUUAGAUUCUCGUUGACAACCUUGAAUCAUAAGAACUGGCCAAAUUAUGUCUCCGUAUAACUUGUGUUGGUAUAUUUUAGUUAGAAAUCAAUAAUACUUUUUGCUAAUAUUUGACCUGCAAAGGAGAAUGUUUUUUAUAAUUUAUACCACGAUGUAUGUCAGGAAGAACCUAUAAAUAUAAUAAAGUGGUGUUGUCUAUGUAAAAAAAGUCUCGCAUAAAUUUGAAUAUAAAGACAUUAUUUUGUUUCUUCUUGGAAUUAUUAUAUCCUCGAGUAAUAUUGUAUGAAGAAAUGUAUGACAACCCGAUUGUAUAGUUGGAUUAUUUUUAAUAUGCAGAACUCCAAAGCACGGAAGGUUCAUAUUAGAAUGUUUAAUGCAUGUAAUGUAUCAAAUUAUGCCAAAUAAAUAUUUAGUAGCUACUCGCAUUUUAGCCUAUUGGUCCCUUUGAUGACUUCGAGAGUGCUUAAAGUUACCUCACCCUUUCUACUAUAUCUUCUCUAGAUCAUGGUACAAACUCGUGCUUGCAAAUAAGAAUUACCUUUUCUACCGAAGGUUUUCCCUAAUUGUGUCUGAACGUGUACCCCUAUAGACUUCCAUCAAAUAGAAUGCUAUCCCUUUGCUUGGUACAGCUUUAUGUGUAGUAGGUAGAAUUUUCUUACGACGGAGCUAGAAAGUAACCCUUGAUCCAUUCUGAAGUAGAUUUGAAAGUCUGAUAUCAUAAUACAUUUCACAAUGACUCCAAAAAAGAUUUUGGUUGAUGGCUUGCGUGAAAUUUGUUUCAUUAGAUUUUUCACAUGAAAUAUGUUCAGAGUAUUACUUUUUGAACUUGUUGUGUUUGCAUGCUCGAGCAAAAAAUAAUGAUCAAGUUUAAUAGUAAGAAACUUAAAACGAUUAGAAACUUUAAAUAGUAUUGGGACUCAUAGAGUGCAAUUUUUAAAUGUUACCAGUUCCUCUCAUCAUGGGCGUAGUCAAUUGGAACACUUGGUUUGUUUUUCCUGUUUGCGGUUAAGAAGGUGAAUCUUACUGACUACAUAUAAUGUAUUGAUUUCUACUCCAGCACGUACGCCAUGACAAACUUGUACCUGCUGCGAGGCCCUCUCGAGCAAUCGAUACAUACAUAUGUUAGUGCGUAUACUUUCUUUUAAUGUAUAUACUUGUCUUUGCUAUAGCCUUCUUCCUACAUCUGCGAGUAAGCAGCAACCUGUUUUUUUAAUAAUUGUCACCUUGAACAUGGCACACAUGAAACCUAUAUUCCUCCAUUGCCGAACCAUCUAAAACAACUAACUUUUCCUUACUCACUGACACACGGUUUUAAGCAUCAUCCCAUACUGUUCAUUUUUCAUAUUCUAAUAUGUUUUCCAAACUGAGAAAAUGAUACAACCAAUCAUAUCUUGCGAAAUUGUUCUGCAACUUUCUUGCUUUAAGCAUGAUAUAAUUCUUCCUUGAAAUUGAUGGGAAAUAGGCUAAAGGGUAAUCUGUUUCUAUUAAAAACUACAACGCAGAAUCAGGUUUUUCGUCUUAGUUUGCAAACCCUAAACAAGAAUCGAACGAAAUUGGUACCACUGGAAAGCUUGCAACAUAUCCCAUAACUUUUACCACUGUCUUAAUUUCAGAUUAUGCAAUGUUUUAUCACAGUUUUAAACUUAACUCUACCGGCUCAGACAACCCAUGCCUAGAUAAAUACUUAGCGUCAGUCUCUCCAAUCCAUCUUUCUACUUUGCCAAUAAUGACUAAUUAGGGUUUACCUUUUCUGUGUGGAAUCAUUCUUCCAGUUCCAUGGCAAGAUCACAAAUUUUGGACGACCCAACGGAUUCUCCUUCCUCCAGAGUCUUCUUCUCCGCUCAGAUUGGCUACUGCGCCUUACUCUUCUGAUUACAUGUAUUCCCUUCUCUCUUCUGACUAAAUUCUCCCUGGUGCAAUAUGUGCAGUCUACUGCCUUGAGCUGCUCCUUGUCAUAGCCUGCUCUGCACUCCAGAUCUCUUGCUCUGAUUGGUGGCUGGAUCAAAUGCAACCCACCCAACAGUAGUUAGCUCAACAUAAGCGGCUUCAAAAAAACGCAAGGAGCAGCACGUAAACGUAAAGGUCGACGACUGAAAAUGGCAACACCAUCCUAGAGCAGUGGAGCUCACGGCUAUAGGUAGAACUUGGUGGUGGUAGUCAUGAACAGCGACCAGCACCAGCCUCCGAUAGAAGGGGGCAGUUCAUCCAUGUGCUUGAGUGUUGACGGCUGGCCAUAUUGUGAACGACAGAGUCGUCAAUUCUGACUAAGUGUAGUCUCAUGCUGAUUCUCUACUGACGCAUAGGCAUGUCCGGCGGUGGCCAGCGUGACUGCAUACUGGGUCAUCGAUCAAUGAUCCGGGCAAUUCAAUUGUAAACCCCAAAAAAGCAAAUUCAAAGCAAAUCAGUGUGAGAUGAGGAACCUGAUUUAGAUAAGGAACAAAAUUCUAAUGUGAUAACUUCAGCGAGAGCUUGGGAUCCAUGCCCUAACAUCCUUGCUCCAAUUUGAGAGAGAGAACGAUCUGUUUACCGUGUGUGAAGUAAAGAGAGACAUGAGAGAAGAGAUAUAUGAGAGUUUGAGAGAGGGAGAAACGGGAUAGAUUGAGAGAGAUAGACGAAGAGAGAUAUGACAGUUUGAGAGAGAGAAAGAGACGUGAGGGACUGAGAGAGAGAGUUUGAGAGAGGGACGUCAGAGAUUGUGAGAGACCACGAUUUCUUAGGUUGUUGUUUUUCUUUUACUUUGAGAGGAAUAGAAAGAGGUAGAUAUUUUAUGGUUUACUAUUCAAAAGUUUUUUUGGCCGAACUAAGCUGCCUGAAUGGUCAAAAAAAUAUUGUUCUCUGAAGAUUAAUCUACACCGUAAUAACUCGGUCCCACCAGAUGAACGGCUGGUAAAUUCUAAUUAACGUGGUAAUUUUUAGGGAGUCUAUAAUUAGUAUAGAAUAUAGAUAUAGAUAUAGAUAUAGAUAUAGAUAGAUAGAUAUAGAUAUAGAUAUAGAUAUAGAUAGAUAGAUAGAUAGAUAGAUAGAUAGAUAUGACUGAAGGCGUAAACUGUGGAGGGGCGCCGCACACGGCUAGGAAUCAAUGUUGUGUGUUCUAGAGGUGCCCCUCCCACAUAUAUAUUAGGUGGGAGAGGGAGGGGAGCAGCAAGGGGCGCCUCCUCCAAGUCGCCCCCCCCCCUUCAUAAGUGUUGGAGGGGGAAGGAAAGAGAGGGGGAGAGAGGGAAAGGGGGAGGCUGAAUCCUCCCCUUUCCUUCUCCCUUCCCUCCUUUCCUUCUUCUCCUAUUUUGGUCUACAUGGGGCGCACCAGCCCACUAGGGGCUGGUCUGUCCCCUGCUUGGCCCAUUAGGCCCAUAUAGUUGCCGGGGGAUGCUCAGAACCCCUUCCGUUGACCCGAUAUGUACCAGGAACCCUCGGAACACUUCCAGUGUCCAAAUACCAUCGUCCUAUAUAUGAAUCUUUACCUCUCGACCAUUUCGAGACUCCUCGUCAUGUCCGUGAUCUCAUCCGGGACUCCGAACUACAUUCGGUCACCAAAUUGCAUAACUCAUAUAAUACAAAAUCGUCAUCAAACGUUAAGCGUGCGGACCCUACGGGUUCGAGAACUAUGUAGACAUGACUAAGACACCUCUCCGGUCGAUAACCAACAGCGGAACCUGGAUGCUCAUAUUGGUUCCUACAUAUUCUACGAAGAUCUUUAUCGGUCGUACCGUAAUGACAACAUACGUUAUUCCCUUUGUCAUUGGUAUGUUACUUGCCCGAGAUUCGAUCGUCGAUAUCUUCAUACCUAUUUCAAUAUCGUUACCGGAAAGUCUCUUCACUCGUUCCAUAAUAGAUCAUCCCAAAAUUAACUCAUUAGUCACACUGCUUGCAAGGCUUAUUAUGAUGUGCAUUACCGAGAGGGCCCAGAGAUACCUCACCGAUACUCGGAGUGACAAAUCCUAAUCUCAAUCUAUGCCAACCCAACAAACACCUUCGAAGAUACCUGUAGAGCAUCUUUAUAAUCACCCAGUUCCGUUGUGACGUUUGAUAGCACAUAAGGCAUUACUCCGGUAUCCGAGAGUUGCAUAAUCUCAUAGUCAAAGGAAUAUGUCUAUGACAUGAAGAAAGUUGUAGCAAUAAAACUGAACAAUCAAUAUGCUAAGCUAACCGAUGGGUCUUUUCCAUCACAUCAUUCUCCUAAUGAUGUGAUCCCGUCCAUCAAAUGACAACACAUGUCUAUGGUUAGGAAACUCAACCAUCUUUGAUUAACGAGCUAGUCUAGUAGAGGCUUACUAGGGAAACUAUGUUUUGUCUAUGUAUCCACACAUGUAUCUAGUUUCCGGUUAAUACAAUUCUAGCAUGAAUAAUGAACAUGUAUCAUGAUAUAAGGAAAUAUAAAUAACAACUUUAUUAUUGCCUCUAGGGCAUAUUUCCUUCACUAAGAGAGGAAGGCGGUUGUCGCUCUUGUCCCUUGUUGCCAGCCUACCAUGCCGUCAUCGAUCACUGGCUCACUUAGAACACGAGCUAGUAGAUUUUGUGAUAAGAGUGAGGAGGAUGGUACCGUAGAAAAUGUGGAAAAUUGCAUUUUAUUAGAGAUGGAUUCAAAACAAAUUGCUUGAGUGAGUGGUUAAUAUAUUUUCUUCAUCAAUUCGUACAAUUUUUUGGUUAGGAUAGAGGGGUAAAUGCAUUGGUUGGGUGCUUCAAGAGUUAAUAACGGACACAGUGGCAUACCGGUUUCAUGCCAAACAACCGACAUCAUAUUUUUCUUUUUCGUAAGGUACGACAUUCAACUGUAUGUUGGCAAUGUCUAAGGACAAUCAUAUCUGCCUUCUUGGGCGUCACGGGAGGCACAUGCCUUGUUCCCCUUGAUGGAGGUGGCAGAUGGCAUGAUCACGGGGGGAGGGGAUCAGGGCAGAGAGCGGGGCGGUUGGCAGGUGAUAACCCACAAGUAUAGGGGAUCGCAACAGUUUUCGAGGGUAGAGUAUUUAACCCAAAUUUACUGAUUCGACACAAGGGGAGCCAAAGAAUAUUCUCAAGUAUUAGCAGUUGAUUUGUCAAUUCAACCACACCUGUAAGACUUCAUAUCUGCAGCAAAAUAUUUAGUAGCAAAGUAGUAUGGAAGUAACGGUAACGGUGGUAAAAGUAACAGUAACAGUUCUGUAGUAAUUGUAACAGUGGCAACAGUAAAGUAACUAAGCAAAGAUCAAUAUGUGAAAAUCUCGUAGGCAUUGGAUCAAUGAUGGAUAAUUAUGUCAGAUGUGAUUCCUCAUGCAACAGUUAUAACAUAGGGUGACACGGAACUAGAUCCAGUUCAUCAAUGUAAUGUAGGCAUGUAUUCCGAAUAUAGUCAUACGUGCUUAUGGAAAAGAACUUGCAUGACAUCUUUUGUCUUACCCUCCCGUGGCAGGGGGUCCUAUUGGAAACUAAGUGAUAUUAAGGCCUCCUUUUAAUAGAGUACCGGACCAAAGCAUUAACACUUAGUGAAUACAUGAACUCCUCAAACUAUGGUAAUCACCGGGAGUGGUCCCGAUUAUUGUCACUUCGGGGUUACCGGAUCAUAACACAUAGUAGGUGACUAUUGACUUGCAAGAUAGGAUCAAGAACUCACAUAUAUUCAUGAAAACAUAAUAGGUUUAGAUCUGAAAUCAUGGCACUCGGGCCCUAGUGACAAGCAUUAAGCAUAGCAAAGUCAUAGCAACAUCAAUCUCAGAACAUAAUGGAUACUAGGGAUCAAACCCUAACAAAAAUAACUCGAUUACAUGGUAAAUCUCAUCCAACCCAUCACCGUCCAGCAUGCCUAUGAUGGAAUUACUCACGCACGGCGGUGAGCAUCAUGAAAUUGGUGAUGGAGGAAGGUUGAUGAUGACGAUGGCGAUGGAUUCCCCUCUCCGGGGCCCCAAACGGACUCCAGAUCAGCCCUCCCGAGAGAGAUUAGGGCUUGGCGGCGGCUCCAUAUCGUAAAACGCGAUGAAUUCUUCUCUCUGAUUUUUUUUCUCCCUGAGCGUGAAUAUAUAUAGUUGGAGUUGAGGUCGGUGGAGCUUCAGGGGGCCCACGAGGCAAGGGGGCGCGCAGCCCACCCUCGUGGACAGGGUGUGGGCCCCUUGGUGUUGAUUCUUUCGCUAGUAUUUUUUAUAUAUUCUAAAAUAUUCUCCGUGAAGUUUCAGGUCAUUCCGAGAACUUCUAUUUCUGCACAAAAAUAACACCAUGGCAAUUCUACUGAAAACAGGGUCAGUCCGGAUUAGUUCCAUUCAAAUCAUGCAAGUUAGAGUCCAAAACAAGGGCAAAAGUGUUUGGAAAAGUAGAUACGAUGGAGACGUAUUAGCAGGGGAUUCCUCCUUGAUGGUCCAUGGGGUUGUAUGUUGUGAAGGAGAAAGGAGACUAUAGCGAAGGUCAAGUGAGCGUCAUCAGAUUUUAAUGUAGAGAGCACCAACGACAAAUUCCCGUUUAUGGCGGAAAAUUGAGCGAGAAGGGGACGUUCCGAUAGGAAAAGGGAAGGGUGCAUCGUCGAGUGGAGUUUUUGUGUUGGAACGGCGUGUUGGAGAUGAUGGAGGAUAAUCUGGAAAACCACAUAUCUCCCUCACAUAUAGGUUGGAUUUCGGUGAGCCUGGACUAUCUAAACGGUUGGAUUUUCGGGAGCCUUUUAGGCGCCUGUCUGAUGUCCGAACACUCUCGGACAUAUGAGAGAGAAAUGAGCUUCAACCUUGGAGAUGAUCUUAAUCAUUUGUCUUGUCUAAUUCAUUUAUAUAUAUUAUAGCCUGUAGCAACACACGGGCAUUCCACUAGUAUUAAUUAGUGCUCUGGAAGACACCCGUUAAGAUGUGCUUCCAACACUCGAAGUGGGGGGAUGUGUCUAAAUUAUGUCUUGACCAAAACGCGCCCUGCAUCAAGAGUCAGUUGUCUAGCUGUAUGCCCUAUUCGCCACGCGGAGUUUCCUCGGUAAUUAAGGUAAAUCAAACAAAAUCAUUGGACAUUUAAUGACUACACCUUAUGCAUCCCCAGAUAUUGGAUCCACCCUACCAUACUAAGCCCUUCUAUCACUUGUGUUCGAAAUUGCGCUUCAUGUUGUCCCGUGUCCUAACCUCCACUUGGACCGAACUCCAGGAUCCAUGGAACCUGCAGGGCCGAAGAACGAGGUUGGAGGGAGAGAGAGAGAAGAGACUACUAUGAUGUAAUUUUAUUUUAUAUAUACAUGACGUCCAUUCAAAGUCAUUCCAUCAACCCCUCAAACAAAUACAUCAGGUUGCAAGGACAUUGGACAUUGCCUUACCGAAUUACUCACACAUGGCGAUCGGAUCGCAAGAAGUAAUCAGUGAAGAAGACAUCGGAUCGGAUCACAAAACAAAGAGAGGAUUUCACAAUCCCUUGCAUUCAUCAGUCAUUAGUGGCAAUAUCAAUGGGAGUAUCAUAGAUUUAUAAGAUAAACAUGUUUAAACUAUGGCAUGAUGAGCAUAAAAGUAACACACGUCAACUCUUCAAGAUUAAACUUGAUCAUCCUCCAGUAACAUAGAUAGAAAUCCAAACCGUAAGGAACUAGGUUGUUUAAUGCCUAGAUAGACCUCCGCUUCUUCACAUGAAAAGUUAGUAUAGCUGUAGCGGUGGCAUGGUUAUUAUGCAAGUGUUAUUGAAGCAAAGAUAAUCAACACAAAGCUCUUGCUCACCUAGAAAAAAAUAAAAAGUAGCUUUUAUUCUAUUUAAUCUAGUUAACACUUGCUUGCGGGGAACACAUGGAAGAGAAUUUUCUUUCUUGAGCAACGAAAACAUAAAUUAAGGGAGUGAAAGUUAUGAAAAUACAACAUGGUACUAGAGUAACUCAUUAACACCCACGAGUGUCUCAUCAUUAAUUCUCUCAAGGACUUCGCUUCAAUCAUUGCUUGCUGAAACUUUUCUUGUCUAGUGACGAGAUUAUGCCAAAGAAAUUAUUCAUGCAUAAGGUUUCGCAGAGGCUUAAGCUUGAGUACUAUUGAUGAGUCCAAAUUGUGUGAUUAUUUCGACGAGUAUUUUGUGCCAACUCCAUUGGCUUUGUGGAAUGUUACUGCGUUCACACACUGUUUUUGUCGGUUUUCCCCAGGACACUUCUUUUGGAACAAAUGGAAAACUAUGGUAGGAAUCACAUGAUAUUAUGGUGGAAUCACAUAAAUCAAUGUGAUUAUACCUUACCAUAAAUAGAAUAAAAUACGUAAAGGAAAUUGGAUCUGGCGCAGUCCAACAAAGUGCAACACGGGCAACCAUACGAGCGCACGUGCUCGUGCAUGCAGCCGUAUGGCAUGCUGGUAGCUCCCUCCUGUCGACUACUUCUUCCCUAUGGAUAAAGAUUGAGGAAUAGACACACACACACACAUACACACAACCACCAGAAACACAUCCAGAAGGAGAACCCUAACUUUUUGAACCCAUCCAGAGGGGAAUUGGUAAGGAGGAGAUCGCCAUCUUCACCACCAGGUGCAAGGGGACGUCGGCAUCAUCACCACUGUCAUCAUCGUCAUAAUCCACAUCAAUCUUCAUCUCGUUGUAAUAUCAGAACUCUAGUGGAUCAUCAUGCAUGUUACUUGUUUGAUUCAUCCAUGUUUAUCAUCACCGCAUUCAUGCUAUUUUGCUUCCCCUAUGUAUGAGUAAACCCCCUAGUUCUUAGGGAUAUGGAUGAAUCUUGGUAUGUAUAGGAGCUGAAACGUUAAUAUGUGAUAUUUUCUAUUGAAUGAUUUAGUUUAAUAGACUUCGUGAAUGUUGUGAAGGCUCCUCCCUCAAAAUUAUCACCGAAAGGUCACAAAGUAUAUUACUGUCGUUUUAAGAGUUAGCGAGUGAAGGUAAUUCGAGGUGACAGCAAAAGCCUUCACCCCUAGGUUUUACAAUUGAUUAGGGAAUUACGGAGAACCUUAGUGAGGCCGCGUCCAUAGAGAGACCCUUAAUUACCGUAGUCGUAACUUGUUGCGGGAGACUACUGUAGUGGCAUGCGUGGCACGAAGUCUACCUAGAGUAGAAUGUGCUCUGUACCCGGCUAUGCCCGGUGUAAACGUCAAGAAUGGUGUAAGUGCAUCUAGUGCCUCCUUUGUGGUUAUGGACUAUUGAAGACAAAUGUGUUAAGAGACUAAUGUGUUUGUGAGUAUACAUAGGUGAAAAGUCACAGAAGAUGUUGUUUAACCAUGAAAGACGACCCCUAAAAUUGUACGUUUAGGUUGAAUAAAUUGGUGCGCCCCUUUGAAGGAAUUGACGUGACGAAUUGGAACGUGAAGAUUUUGUUCCAGUAGUUUCUUUUUUCUUAUAUUGAUUCAUAGGGAACACCAUACUGUUAAAGGGGGUCUAGGUCAUAUGUAUGCGUAUUUCCGAAGUGAUGCUCAACCUACCUAUUUCUUCGAGUGAAGACUAUGAAAAUCUCUUGAAGUGCAGUCGAGUUCCACAACAACAGAGACACAGUUCUUCUGUUCGUUGACGAAAUUGGUCUGGAGGAAGAGUUAGGAUUUCGCCGGUGUGAUUCUCCUACCGCGAGAAAUUUGAGAGUUUAAAUUUCCAACCGUUGCCGGACUAAGGCGGUGCUCGAGUCUAAGCCCGUCAUAAGUGUUGUGGCAACGGAGGUGCAAGAAGUGCUGAAGGUGGGGUAGUAUCGAUGUCAUGGAGAGCGGUCUGAGGACCGGCAUGUCAUUGUCCAGUGACAAGAGGUCCGAGGUGGUGUACAAGUCAUCCUUCAUGUGUUUCUUGGUGUAGGAUCGGAUCUAGAAGAAACACAAGGAUGCUGAACAAAAGCACCCCAUCUCAUAUGAGCUGGCGCUAGUCCAGCCUCACCGUGCUGCCGCCACCACCUAUGUUAUUUGGCUUCGCAAUCCCCUCCUCCACGGCGGGAGGCAUGGGUUUACUUGGUGUGGAGUUCGACGUCACCUGCGGCGAGAGUGGAUGUCGCAUAACUUUACAAGUGGGAUCCACCAAGAUACAGUGCCACGUAGGCAAAGUUUGCGGUUACAUGCGAGAAAUGCACCAUAUUAGCCAACUGAUUGUACCAGAAAUCGAUUUCCAUCUUUCGGCAUGAAAAUGAACAUGCAAGCCAAGUUUAGGGACCACGGGUAAAUUCAUCUCUUAAAUAAUACAAAAGGCUUUUUCAUCCUCCCACAUCCUCCCUUUUACUCGUUGGAUAUCCACACACUACAGAGGAGCUUAGUAGUAGCGCUUUUUAUAAGAAAGCGCUGCUACUAAAGAACGGUAGCGCUUGUCACCGAAGAGCACUGCUAAUAUCCAUCUAGCAGUAAUGCUUUUGUUAUAAAAAACGCUACUACUAUAGUUGCCAACGGUUGCAUGGCAGUGUAGGUAUACUAGUAGCGCUCUUAAUUAAAAAGCACUACUACUAUUGUAUAUAGCAAUAGCGUUGUCCUCUGUCGAGCGCUACUGCUAUUUUUUCAGGUGUAUGUGUGGGCUGAUAUAUAACCGUACAACUUUCUCAUGUUGCGAGUGAAAGACAUUGUGAGUUUUCCAUGAUCUUGCUUAAAUACAGGUACGACUACUGAACUGAAAUUAAUCUUAUCGUGCAUAUUCACUUGCAACUGGUACUCGUAAAUCUACAACACAUGUCAUUAAUGCAACACAGCUUGAUCAUGGAUAUAAAAAAUGAUUAUUGUUCUUUGUAUGCACAAAUGUAUUGGUGGUUCAUCAAUGCCAUAUGCAUCUUGGCUAUAGAUAUCCAAAUUGUUAGUGUUUUAUCUCCACACAAAUACGUUGAUCCUCCUAUUGGACAUGCUGGUCUUAGUGCCCUCUCAAUUCACAAAUAUGUUAAUGCUCAGUUUAGAUCUUCUCGUAUUAAUACACUUCUAGCUUCUAUUGGCUGGUGAAUGCAACAUUUCAUUUGUAUUAAUAUGUCUACUUGUUAUUGCGGGGAAUAUUAAUAUGUCUAAUGUAGCUUCAUUAAUGCAACUCAACUUGAUCAUGGUUUAAAUGAUCAUUGUUCAUUUUACGCCCUUGCAGAAAAAAGAAGGGUUCAGUGUAUGUAUAGAUAUAUUGACAUGAUACCUGUUUUAGAUAACCUUGCAUUAAUAUGUCUAAUUUCCAUUUAUGUUCUCUUUCCUCGUUCUACAGAUUUCAUAUUUGUAUUCAUUUUAAGGGUUCUUCAAGAUGCACAUAAUUUAGUCACUGGUUACAAUCUAAAUGUAAGAAAGCACAUAAUCUGUAGAAGGUGCAACCUAUGUGUUAUCCAUGUGAUAAAAUUAAAAUCAACAUCCUAGAUCAAAUGUCCAAGUCAACUAAAAAAGAGAUUUCCUUACAAGUAAUGUCAAGCCGCAUUUUCAAAUCACAAACAGUUUUGAGCAAUGAAUGAUCUCAAAAAAAAUCAUCCUGCCUGCCACCGUUUAUCUCUUUGGAUGUCCACAUAUUGUUUUUUUUCAUGGUGAGCGUCUGUGCCAAUAGAUAAACUAACGAGUUUUUCAUCUUGUGAUCGAGUCAAAGAUAUUCGAUUCUGUGUUUUUCAUGAUCUUGCUUGUACGUACGACCAUGAAACUACUAUUGUUAUCGUGUAUGAAUACUUGCAACAGGGUGCUUCAGCGCCAGCACCGACCAUGGAUGCACAUGAGUAUGCAUGGAUGCAUGCAUGUAACGACCUGAUCGCUCCUGCAGGUCAAAGUACAUGUUUCUCUUAGGUCUGUGCACCAUCAAGGCCUUGAACAGUUCCUUGAUGAGUGUCAAGUGAGACUUCAUGUCUCUAUGGUGAACAGACAAACUUCAGCGGAUAUGUUGCUCUCAUGGCACGGCAAAGACAAGAACAAUAGAUGGACUCUUGCCACUAGUAGUAUUGAUCCACGCUUGACACAUGACUACUCAUGGAGAAGACCCAUUCCUUUAUAACAUUUCCCUUUUAUUCAGUCUGUUUUGGUGAAUCAGCAGUUAGAAGAACUUCUUCUUCUGUUAAAAAUAGGUUUUCUAACCCAAAUUAAAGUUAGAUUUCACAAGGAGUGAACCAGUGGCAUUGUUGUAUCCCCUUGAAGCAGAGAAGACAAGGGUGCGACAAUCAUAUUUCCAAUUAUCCAGCUGGUAUUUUACAAGUAUCCCUUCUUGAAUACUCGGUUCAAUAAAUAAGUUGUUCACACUUCACAGCCAUCCAUGUGCAUAUACAGUAAGUUAAUAACACAAAAUCCGAGUAAAUUUAUGCCACAACAAGGUUUAUUAUUGUUAUUUCAAAUAACUGAUGCGACAACAAAUAAUAUUAAUCACGGACAUCAUAUGAUAUUAGUAAGGCGUUGUUGAGGAUGAGAAGCAUGUACAACUCCUCGUUUUCUUUGAUGAGCGCCUCCGCACCAGGCAUAUCUGGAAGCUCUAACCAACACAUGAUGAUAGGGUUGUAAUUAAUAUCCACACAGUCGAGCAGAUGCAAGAACUGUUGCCCACUCUUGUCACCUUGGUAGUCCUUGAUCAGUCCGUGGCACACGUUGAGGCGUCUCACCACACCUUCAUACUCCAUCUCACAAUAACUAAGAACGUGCAUUGCCACUGUUCCCUUCUUGGCAUCUUGCAGCUUUUGCUUGAUCUUACCACUAGCGGCAGUGACACGGCUCUUAAAGAUGUCGACAGUGACAAGCACUAAGUCACGGAGGUCCUUAGCCUCGGCACUUCGAUUGUCCGACUGAAGGGUGGACAAACAGAAUUCUUGCGUGAUAGAUUUGUUGCAGGGGUUGUUGAUCGAGGCCUUCUUGCAUGCUUCCACCAUGAGCUUGGUCGCCUUGGGCUUGCCAGUGUCAGAGCCACUAGCAUGAGUGGAAAAAAGGAAGAAUAUGAUGGUGGAGAGGACGAUGGUAGUCCUUGGCAUUGCUACCAUUACUACAGGGCUAGCUAGAAGCCUUGAAGUACUGAAGCGCUGAGAGGGAGGUGGAGAAAAAUAGACAGAGAAGGAUGUGUAUUGCAGAGAUGGAUGGGUGGAUGGAGGUGAUGUACAUGAGGCUGAGAAUUCUUUAUAAUGCCUGCAAUGGGGUAUCAUAAAUGCAGUAUGCAGCUUUGGUCCAGAAUAUGUGUACUAUCGGUGUCCAGUAAAUGUUGAAUGCCCAUUUUGGAUCUCUACAUAUUAAUGCUCUCUCUAUGUUCACAAAUACACAGAUGCUCACUAUAGAUCUUGUUGUAGUAACACAUAUCUUACUUAUAUGAAUCCAUUAAUGCAACGUAGCUUGAUCAAGGAUAUCCCAAAUGAUUAGUGUGCACCGAAUGCCCAUAGAUAUGUUGAUGCUCAUUUUGGUACGUCUUAUUUGCAUUGGUGUUUUCUAAACAUCAUUUUGUAUAACUGAUUUGUUACUUCUACCUCCCUUUGGGGGACGAUUAUAUUUUCCCUCAUCAAGUCUAUAAUUGCUCAUUUUUUCUUUGCAAUUUUCGAGUAGUUACAAAUAAUUCUCAGGGAGCAGGCACUUAGUUAACUUGGUGACACAAUAAAUAUUUUUGUUAAAAUAUCAAAGUUUUAUAUCUUAAAUUUUUUUAUUUCCAAGUCGAUUAUUGUCUGAUGGGUUGACUUUUACAACAGUUGUAUUCCCCCAGUUAAAAAUCACAACUUAUUUUAGGGAUUAAAUGAUGCCAGCCGGACUAACAUAUCAUUCGUAGGCACUGUCAAAAAAUAAGCAUGUUUACUGCCCACCGCCUAAGAAAAUAAAAAAAAAUUACCAAUACCAACACGUCACAGUAUGGGUUUAUUUGGUUUCGAUUCUCGUUACUACGUAGUAGGAAGGAAAAAAAAGAGCUAUCGAUCAUAAGGAGGUAACCUGUAUCAUAGGUACAUGAUGCGCACGUACACGCCGGUAUCUUAUAUUUUAUAUUUUAUAUCUUAUAUUUACUAAUUGGAAGCACCUUUCAAGCCUUCUCAUUAAUCAACAUUAUAAAAAUUAAUUACACCGUUGUAUUAUAGAAUUUACGUCUAAGAUGAAAGGAGAACUUACGUAACAUAAACUUGGAAGGAAAAAAGAUAUAGGGAAAGGAGAAUAAAAAUAGAAGUAAAACAAAGAAAAUAAUUUAGAUGGGCCAGCCCAUUAUUGUUUGCCUUGUGCGAAAUUCUGACUAUUUAUGGCGCUGUGCGGAAAAUAGAGUUUUUCCAGCUGCAUGGGCAGAAAAAUAAGUGGGCUGGCUUUGCUGGGCCACCGCGCGUGGCCCACGUACAACAAUUCUUUUUCUAGCAAACAAACGCAUAAGACCUUUGUACCACCUCGGGUAGAAAGAUUGUUUUUUCGACGGUGAACGGAUGAAAAUAUAGGCAAAACGCACCUUGCUUCAUUAGUAGUAGCACAUAUGCCCGUGCAUUGCAACGGGAGAGAUGUUUCUUUGGAGAAGCAAUGGGAGAGAUAAUUGAUGUAUCCACCAAAAAUGAUCUCCAUAGCGGUGUGAUAGAGAGAGGAGUUGUGGUCUUCUAGCGGGUCAUGUUUCUCCCGCCAGAUAUUGAUAGUGGUGCACUUAGUCGGCAUAGCGGCAACCAUACAACUCGUGCAUUUUUUUCCUUUGGGUCAGUCUCUGUCUCGGGGUUGUGUCUGCCUCUACGUUUGGUAGCUAUGCGGCGACCUUCAGAGCACGGUUGCUUCGACCACUCUCUCUUAUGAUGGCGUAACCGGAUGAAUUACUAAUUGUAGCGCUUAAAUCCUGUUUCAUUAGCAUAUAUAUUUAGCGCAUAACCAGAUAUCAAUGUCCCUUCUUUAUUAGGGUUUAUUUUCUUUGAUUAUUUUAGCGCUCACGUGCCCACAACUAUUUUAUUCGAGCCAAACCAACAUAUUCUCUUUUAUUGGACCAAGAAAAAAUUGCUCCCUCAGACGACUCAGUAGGGAGUGUGGUUGAGGCCCAAUACAGCCUAUAUGACGCUAGUUGCGUAAAAUAACGUGUGAGAUGCACAUCAGUUCGUGUAUGGACCAACACACUGGUAGGCGCCAAGACGACCUAUGUUAGGAAGGCACGGAAAAAUCCAAAAAAUAAUGAGUUGAAGGAUCAAAAUCAUGUCCUGAAAGAGCCGACUACGUGCUCAUUGCCACUCGAAGAAACGAGUCCUACCAACCAAUGGCCAGCUCAAACCUUUAAGAUCAUACUCCAAUGUGAGAUUGGAUACAAUUUUUUUAACUGUUUAAAAAAUAUAAAUUGCUGAAUAUUCCUGAAAACAUGAAUAAUUUUUAAAAUCACAAACACUUUUUGAAAUUCUUUACAUUUUCAGAAAUACACAACAAAAUUGGAAACCCUCAAAAUUCACAAAUUUAUUUGAAAUCAUAAACCUUUUAUAAUAACAUGAACACGUUUUGAAAAUGUGAUUUUGUUUGAAAAAGAAACAUAUUUUGAACAUUCAAAACAUUUUUUGAAAAUGUGUUUCUAUAAACUUGGACAUUACUUUGAAUUUGCGAACAUUUCACUAAAACAAAAAUAUUUUUCAUAUUUGGAACAUUUCCUAAAUGCAUUUUUUUUGGGAAAAUCUCAAACAACUUUGGAAAACACAAAGAAAAAAUGGAACAUUUUUUGAAACGUGAACGAAUUUUGGAAUGAGAACAAAGCACUAUUGGGAAAAGGCUAAUUAGUGGCGCACAUAUUUUUGCUAUUAAUGGCGCACUAUAGGUGCGCCAGUAUUACCACGCCACUAGUAACAAAUAGUAAUGGCGCAUCUAUAGUGCGCCAUUACUAUGCCUAGAAGGUGCGCCAUUACUAUCUGACUUAGUAAUGGCGCACCACAUAGAAGUGCGCCAUUACUAACAAUUUUUUUUCAAAAAAAAUAUCCAAAUUUUUUCAAAUAUUUUUCCCUUUUUUUCUUAAUCUCAGGUCAAUAUGCUUAAUCUCAAGUCAAAUCGAUCCUAUUAAACCUUAUUGAUGUCUAGGACUUUGUUCAUGUUCAUGAGUGUGAUGAAAUUUCAAACUUCCCGGUCAUAUUACGUAUCAUAUUUUGAAAUGUUACUAGUGGCGCACCUAGCAAAUGGUGCGCCACUAGCAAGUUUGAUUUUUUUUGUUUUCCCCUCUCUAGAUCCUAAAAGCCCCGUAUCUUUCAUUCUGUUAGGUUUUUGUGGAUUCUGAAAAUCUUGUAACUUUUCGAGUAGAUGCUUUUUCAUAUAUAAAACUUUUUAAUCCGAGUUCAUAUGUAAAAGUUAUGCCCAUUUUACUAAAUUCCAGAGAGAUUUUGCAAAUAAAGUCGAAAUUUAUAUUUGUAAAUUUUCCCAAAACCUAGACCACAUAUCACAUGGAAAACUUAUUUUCUUUUAUUUUUUUGACAUUUCCAUCAUUUUCUUUUUUUUUCUAAAACUGAAAAGACGGUCCAGGGGGUGGGGGUGCAAAGAAAGUUAGUAAUGACGCACCUUCACAAAGUGCACCAUUAUUAUGUGUAUGACUUGGUCAAACCUUGGUCAAAGUUAGUAAUAACGCACUUUGUGUAGGUGCGUCAUUACUAAGUUUGACAUACUAAUGGCGCACCUAUGCAAAAAUGCGUCAUUACUAAGUUUGAUCAAGGUUUGACCCAGUCAUACACAUAGUAAUGAUGCACUUUGUACAGGUGCGCCAUUACUAUGUCAACUAGUAAUGACGCACUAUCCUCUAGUGCGCCACUGCCAACAAUUUUUUUUAUUUUUUCUUCAAAACUAGUACUAGCGCACCACACACCAGGUGCACCACUAGUAAUAUGUCAAUAAUGUUGCACCUGUAUCUAGUGCGCCACUGCAUAUAUGGUGCGCCAUUAAUGUCCACAUUAGCUAUAGCCCUUUUCCUAAUAGUGAAGAUUUAAUGUUCUGAACAUUUUUCGAAAAGGAAUAUUUAUUAACAUCCCAAACAUUUUUAAAAAACGGAUUUGUGUGAUAUUAUGAGUUUUAUUGAAAAUUUUGGUUUUACGAAAAAAGGGGAGAUAAAGAAAUAAACUUGAAAGUAAAAAAGAAAAAAGAAAAGAAAAGAAAAUAGAAACCAAUGGAGAAAGAAAAAUAGAAACAUAACACAGAACAAAAAAAAACGGUUCGACCGAGCUCGAGCGCCCGAUGCGAAUUUGUGACUAUUUUGGAAUGAGAACAAAUAUUUAUAUUAUAAACUUUUUCAAAAAGGAAUAUAUUUAAAGUUCUGAACAUUUUUUAAAAAAAUUGAUUCUUAUGAUAUUAUGAAUUUUUUGAAAAUUUUGAAUUUACAAAAAAAGGGAGAAAAAUAAACUUGAAAGGAGAAAACACCAAAGAAAAAGUGAAAGAAAUGGAAAAAAAUAGAAACAUAUUUUAAAGUUCUGAGCAUUUAAAAAAAUCGAAUUUUUAUGAUAUUAUGUAGUUUGUUGACAAUUUUGAAUUUACGAAAAAAGGAGAAAAAGGUCAACUUGAAAGGGAAAAAGACCAAACAAAAGGAGAAAGAAACGGAAAAAGAAAAACAGAAACAUAACACAAAACAAAAAAAAGAAUAUAUUUCAGCCCAGCUUGGGCGCCCAGUGCGAAUUUACGACUAUGUAACGCUAAUUGCGAUAAAUAGGAUUUUUCCACCUGCAUGUACACGAAAAUAACUGGGCUGGAUUUCCUGGGCCAAUACUGUGGGCGGCCCAUGUACGAGAUCUGGCGUUUUUCUUUUCUAAUAGACAAACGGACAAAAAAAUUGUACCACCUCGAAUAGAAAAAAAAUCUUUUCGUUGGUGAACGGAUGAAAAAAUCAAAGAAACACACCUUGCUUUAUUAGUAGGUAUAGAGGUAUAGAUAUAGAUAUAGAUAUAGAUAUAGAUAUAGAUAGUAUUGAUAGAAAAAUGAAAUUUUCCAUCCAUGCUAAUCUUAACAUAAAUUGUUUAAGAAUUCGUUGGUACACAUAAAAACAUCUAAUGUGAAUAAUCUAUGGUUCUUAUAGUAUUUGCUAGGAUAUCAUGUAUGUUAAAGGAAAGUCAUGCAUGCAUGUGUCCAUUAUUGUGUAUAGAAACAAAGUAUUUAUAAUUCUACCAUUCUUCCGUGGCAAAAACAAGCAUGUAUUCCUUCUUUUAGGUUAACUAAGAAAGGCUACAAUAGAACACUCGACCUUUAUGCCUUUUAGAAACUUCUAGAUCACGAGUGCAUGAUGCACACAAUAACUUUUGCGUUUGUAACUAUGUUUUCUACCAACAUAAAAAAUAUACCCUUAUAUAACCUUCAUAAAGUAGCACAUUCUUAUUUCCACAUAUCUUCUAUAAAUUUGACGUGAUUUUCCAUCACACAGCGAUAUUUUUAUACUUUUGUCACAAAAUUGGACAUAAACAAUCAAUCACAAAAUAGUCAAAGAAUUGUAACUUCAUUGGAUCCAAUGUGCAUGUGUAAUAAUAAUAACCUAUAUCCAAAUGAUUGUUUGAUAUUUAUAAUUUGUCAAAAAUAUGUUAUAUCUGAUAUUACAAUUGCUAGCCCGUGCAGGUGCACGGAUUGACGACUAGUGAUAUGUAGAUAGAAUUAAUUAUGAUUACCACUCAAUAAUUUUUCUUUAUGGAUAUCCAAAUUUAUGUUUAGAAUCAACAUUUCUACUUCAAUUUUUUCCGGGGAUUUUUUUACUUAGUAAACAUAUGGAUAUUUAGAAAUUUUUUGUGCUAAUUGUGUGCUCUCCUUAGCCUAUGUUACAAUGCAUGGUUUUCUCGGUUAUUUUAGAAAAUGCAUGUACUUCUCUAUCGCCAACUUCUCACAGAUGGAGUUAAGUUUCGUAAAAGUUUAGAAUGGCAGCCAACAUGAAAAAAGAUAAAAGUAUCAUCAUUUGCACAUUUUUUUUCACCUUCUUCACUAUCUAUAUUUAUGGAUAUUCACUUUGCGAUUUAUAUUUUCCCAAUUCGCUACAAAAGCGCAGAACAAACAUUUUAGAAAAUAAAUGCAAAAUGUGUAAAAUAAAAUGUGUAGGUACAUAAUUAAAAAUCUUGGACGACGAUAACUGCCACACGUGUGGCAUCUAGGGGCUAUGUGCCGCACGCCCCGUGUGGCAUCGACACAGGCCCGCCCGCACGAGCACGUCCGCGUGCACCCCACCACAGCCCGCACGUUCGGUGUGCGGCGCAAUCGCCCGCACUAGCACGUCCGGGCGAGCGACCUCACGGCCCGCACGACCCGUCUCGGCCCUCGCCCCUCCCCGCCUGCGAGCCACACGCCCCGCGUGGCAGUAACCACGCGUCCCGCCGCGAUUGCCAUGGUCUGAACCCUCUUCCAUGUUCGUUUAACUGUAGUUGCCAUGUUGCUGAACUGCAGUUGCCAUGUCUGACAACUACAGUUGCCAUGGUUGCUCAACUGCAGUUGCCAUCUCAGGUCAAGUGUCGGAUGCCAUUUUUGGGCAACUGUAGCUGUUGCCAUGUAUGGUCUGGUCUACUACAGUUGCCAUGAUUUGAAAACUUUAGGAUUUACAACCUACUAACACUAGACAGUUGCCAUGUAGCACUACAAAAGCAUGGCAAAAAACAUGUUCAGGUAAAAGAGAGAGUUGCCAUCUGCUUACAAGCACACUAGGGCAGUUGCCAUGUACCCUGCAAAAACACAUGGCAACUGAUAGCUUUUGGUGUGUGGGAGAGGAGACGGGCAUGUGGGCGACGAUGGUAUCUUUAGGAGUUGCCACCUACUAACACUAGACAGUUGCCAUGUAGCGCUACAAAACAGACGUGUCAACAAUAACAUGUUCGGGGUAAAGAGAGUUGCCAUCUGCUUAUAAUCACAAAUAGGGCAGUUGCCACACACUAGCACUGGACAGUUGCCAUUUAGCGCUACAAAAACAGACGUGGCAACAAUAACAUGUUCGGGGUAAAGAGAGUUGCCAUCUGCUUACAAUCACAAAUAGGGCAGUUGCCAUGUACCCUGCAGAAAACAUGACAAAUGACAACUUGGUGUGGGAGAGUGGGAAAAAGGGCAGUCAUGGGAGAUGGGGAACAGAAGUCGUGCGCGGCGUGCGGGCGCGACAGCAGUUCCACCGCACGCCCCGACUCGCAAUCGGUCUCGUCCGAGGGAGAAACAGCGUGCGGGCGAACUACCUACACACCACACACCGGGCUUGUCCUACUUGGCACACCAAAUCCAACUUUUGGUGUCAGGAUUCAUGCAAAAAACAACCAACGACAAUCCAGGCGUGUGGGCGAGUUGAAAACGUUCCACGCGUGUAGGCGUUAGUGUUUCCGAAAAUCUUAUAUCUCCGUCUCAAACAAACAAAAGCCUCCUUCCAUAAGAAACAGCUCAUACGUGAAACUCUUCUCGCCUAUUAAAAAAAAGGAAAAGCAUCCCUCCCCGAAAAAAGAGAAAACGUCUUCACUAGCUCCUGUACUUUUUUAGGCAACCACGUCUCCUCUAUAUGGCCAGAUCUUUCAAGGCUUCUUACUAAUCAGACCACUACGUUGUAAAUUUAUAUCCAAUAAAGAAAACCUGCCGAAUCAUAGAUGGUCUCGUCCAAAAAAAUGUCAUGUGAUACGUCCAACGUUGUCAAAAAAACAUCCUCCAUUCCUUAAAGAGAAAAGAUAGCGUCCUUAGAAAAGCACUACCAAUAAAAGGAAAAGAAAGACGGAAUCCAAUUGAUGACCGAUGAAACUCCAUAAAUAAAAUCUUCUGUCGAUCGAUUUUAAAAGAAGAAACAUCUGGCUCAGUUCCUCUACAUGGCCGCAUACUCCACUUCCUCUUCAAUCCUGCUCUCCUACAUGUGGCUGGUGGUGGCGAUUUCUCUAACCGAAGGAUAUACCCAACUCGCCAUCACCAUCAAGUGCGCUCUCCCACCAGCAGGGCCAACAACAAACUGCAAAGGAACCUGACGACAGGUGCUGCGAGGUAUGAUGCAAGAUCGACUGCGACCCCAAGCGGCAAUCGAUCUUCCUCAUUGUUAUUGUCACCGCGUCUCCUUCCAUCCACCCCGGGCAUCAAAGUUCACCCUAUUUUAUGAUAAUAAAAAAGUCCAACUACCAAGUACAAGCUCUAAUAAGUUCUUCUUGGAUUCAUGCUCCGACAAGACUAUGAUCCAACUAUGAUAAUAAUGGAUUAAGGCGCAGAUUGCUAACACUUAUCUGCAUAUAUAGUACGUAUGCAUGUCUUUAUUUUGAUCUUAGAAAAAAGAGAAAAUUAGCUAUUAAAGCAUCUUUAAAUACAUACAAAUUACCGAAGUAACAAGAAAAUAUGGAUGUACCAUGCGCCACGAAGAUCUAAUAGACACACAAUUAUCUAUGUGGUAUAGGUAUGUAUACAGUAUGGAUAGAAAAUAUAAAAAAAUGACAUCCGUAUUAAAAAUAUAAGAAAUUCUUUAAGAAUUUGUUUGUUGAGACUAGAACUUAAAACCGGAAUAAUCUAUGGUGCUUAUAGUAAUGAGAAUAUACUACAAACUUUUGUUUGCCAUCACACAAUGACAAUAUUAAUGAGGUUGUCACACAAUUGGAGGCAAACAAUCAAAUAACAAAAUAGUCCGAAGCAAUGUAACACUGUUGAACCUUAUGUCUAACAAAGAUAAACAUGCAUGUGUGACAACAAUAACCCAUAUCAACAUAUUAUUAUUGGCUGACAUUUCUAAUUUGUAACAACUUUGUUGUAUGCAAUAUUAAAAGUGCUAGCCCGUGCAUGUGCACGGGUUGAUGACUAGUAUAAUAUAACUCUGAGACAUGCCUAUAUAACCUCUUAUUUGCAUACGUUCUUUUAAAACAUAGCAUAGACAAACCACAUUACAUUAUAAUAAUGAAUUUGUUUUUUCUCGGUGACAGGGUAACUGUUAUUUCUAUGUCGACCAGUUGUACCUUGAAAGAAAGUGUUAUAAAACAAUUAUGUUACUCCCUCCUCCAUCACUGUUUUCAUUGACCAGAGCCCCCACUCCACACAUAUCGACAAGCUCGGAGUCCCGCUCAUCGAUAUGAUCGUAUGCCAUAUCCACACAACUGGCGAGCUCAUUGGAGCGUAGCCCGUCCUCGUCGCCUUGGUAAUCCCUGAUCGUGGCAUCACAUAUGUUGAGGAUGCUCACCAGUCAUAAUCCGCCUCACAAAAACUAAGGACACGCAUUGGCACCGUGCCCUUCUUGCUUCAUGUGUCUGUUGUCUUGGCGCACCCAUUUCGUCCACCGCCAUCCGUUUGUGUCGGCGCGGACAGAAAAGUCGGCCCAACGCGCCGACACAAAUGGACGCGCGUCCGAUUUCGUCCGCCUGCCUAUCCAUUUCCGGCCCAUUUUUUAGCCGGAUUUGCGUCGGCGGAGACAAAAGACGGACGCACGCGCUCACCCUCUCUCCUUUCCGGGCGCGCUGGUCGGUGGCACAUUGGCCUCUCCACAUCAAACAACACACCCUCGCCCGCCUGCUUCAUCGCUGACGCCGCCGGUCAUUUUUUCCGAUAGAAAAAUGAUACAUAGAUAGUUUUAGCAUACACAGAUAAAAAAAAGAUCAACUACUCGUCGCUUUCCGACUUCGACUCGGUAAUGUCCUCCUAUGACGUCUAAAUGUAGGCGUCAGCAUGCUGAUCAUCUUCAAAGUCUCACCCCGGCGUUUCUCGUAGCUUCAGUUUCAAUUGAGCGGCCUGCUUGCGCGCACGCUUGUCCUCCCGAUAGGCGGCUCGCUCCGUCCUCCUCACCUCCUUCUCCGUCCUCCUUUGCGUGUAGAACUGGCGCUCAUUGACGAUGUCCUGCAGAAAGCGUUCGCGCCACACCACCAUGGCUUCCAUGUCCAUCUCGGUGAUGGCGAGGCGACGCUGCCGCCUCCGGUGGACACGACGAUCCUCGUCGGUGAAAUGCCGCGGGAGAGGCGCGAGAUCCUGCGCCGCUGGCUCGACACGUCAGGAAAAUUCAUAUCCCAACGAGGCCUCAGGAGGCACGACGCCGCCGCGUCGUGCGCGCGGGCCGACUCCUCUGCGGUGUUGAAGGUGCCGAGGAUGAGGCGUUUCUCGCCAAACCUGAUCUCUGAGGAGAAGGCACCAGAGCGGCGCUCGCGGACUCCGCGAAAAUUUGAAGCGCCCAGGCGGCGCAUCGACAUGGUGGCGCAGAGGCGGCGAGGCUAGUGAUAGGGGGCGACACAAGUGGGCGGCGGACAGAGUGUGGAGGGAGCGCCUUCUUAUAACGAGCGCCGGCCGCGGCGCGCGCGCGAACCUUUCCCGCGCGCUGGAGCACCGAAACCAGCACGCGCUAGGCCACUUUUCCCCCACGCGUGUGAACCUUUCCCGCGCGCUGGAGCGCCAAAACCAGGGAGACGGCAUGGCAGCUGGCAUGAUCGAAAGCGCGUGCGAUCAUGAAGUGGGUCGGACCGUUGGACGCACUGCCGACCCAAAUCUAAAAGAGGGCGGACGGCGGGCGGGCGGCAGACCCAAACGUACAAAAAGCGGACAACAACGCCGUCCAUCUGGGUCGGCCCGUUGAAGUUGCUCUUAGGGGUGAACCUCUGUCUCCCGUAGGGCCCCAUGUGUUUGACAACACAUGGGGUGGCCUGUUCAGCACGCCAGUGUGAAAAAUCAUGACACAGGCAUGAGGUAAUAGUUAGUGGUCUACUCCCUACGCCUGGGAGUUAUCACAUCAUAGGAGUAGGUAGCUCCAGUAGAUAAGUUUCCCUAUAUUGGAUAAAGAUCAAUGGAACGCCUCGUAGGUGUGAGUAGCGAGUUGCCAAAUAUAUAUGUUAUACGGAAUUAAAUUAUAGGAAUCCUGCUAGCUGAGCAGCUGUGAUUUUCCUUUUGAAAAGUAAGGAAAUGGAAUAGGGAGAAGAUUUUGCAUUUUAGAAUAAAGAAUCUGCUCAAGAUGCUCUAUAAUAUUUCCUGACUUGGGCACAUCAUUGUUUUCUUUUAUUUGAGACGCAGAUUGGAGCACAGCAUUUGCUGGUAAUUAAGCAAAUGCAUGAUGCAUGCCAACAUGACACUUGGGAAAAUAACAAGACUACACUUCCUACAGUAAUACAGAUUCACGCGUAAGGUCAAGUCUAAAAAGAUGUAUCGGGAUCAGCUUCCAUUUCAUAUACUCCAUGGUGGAAUAUGAUGUCACGCUUGUUAUCAAGGUUUUGGAUCGGGAGUGAACAGUGGACUAGACAAACCAGUGUGCCAGGGUGGUCCAAUAGUAGAAAUCUUUACAUAAAUUUAUUUAUUUUCAAAGAAAUAAUUUUUCUACUACACUAUAUACAUGCUGUGGGGAAAAUUCAGGGUGGUCCAUGUCCACCCCCUAGCUAAGCCACUACGAGCGGACCUUUUCUCUAAAGGGGCACCAAAAUUCGAGGUUACUAAGGUAACCACGAAAUACAAAAAAAUCAGACGAAAUUAGAAAUCAUUUUAAGUUGAUAUAGAUAGUUAUUUAUCUUUACCUAAUAAUAAAGUAUAAAGUGCGUCUACCCGUUCACCAUCAUCCAAAUUACCCUCGAAGUUGGCGAGAAUUACCCACUAAUGCCACCUGUAAGUGGCAAAAAUAAUUCGCUUUUUUCCAUGCUGGUUCAAUAUGAAGCUAUCUUCUUAUGUGACACAAGUACAUGCGCAUCCCACCGGCUAGAGGUUCGAUCCCAUGUUCUCCCCAUUCUAUCUCCCUUUUCUCUCUUGUUGUUAGAGGGUUGAUUGCGCCAGCCCAGCACGGCCUUCAACUCUCUUUCUUUCCUUUCUUACAGACAGUUUUUCUUUCUUUCGGCUUUAUUUCGAAAUACUUUAAAUAUUUCUAUGCAUUAAAGAAAUGUUAAACUUCUCUACAAAAAAUAUUUCCACUAUAUAUAAACAAAUGGGUAGUGUGUAUGGAAAGCAAAAUUAGGAAAAUAAUAACGUAAGUUUCUGUUUUUUUGAAAAAAAUUAAGCAUGCAUUUAAAUAAAUUUAAAUGUGUACAAAAAUUGUUUAUGAUGUAUACAAAAAUAUACAAUAUGUUUAGAACAAAGUAGACAUAAAAAAGUAUAUGUCUUCAAAAAUAUUAAUCAUGUAUUUGGACGAUGUUAACCAUGUACAUAAAAAUGAUCAUGAUGUACACAAGAAAUAUAGAAUGCGUAUAGGAAAAUUGGAAAUCAAAAAACUUAUGGUUAAAAAAAGUUGAAAACUAAAUUGGAAAAAUGUUAUACUUGUAUAUCUAAAUGUUUGUCAUGUAUACAAAAAAAAUACUGUGUUCAUGGAGAAUAUAGAGAUAAACAAAAUAUUUUACCAAAUGUUAAUUAAUUAUUUAAAAAUGUAAUAAUUUAUUUUUAAAUUUCUAAAUGUGAUAUAAAAUGUUUCUGGUAUAUAAAAAAAAUUUAUAGUGUAUAUGAGCAAACGUAGACAUAAAAAAUAUAAGUUCUCAAAAAUAUUAAUUAUAUAUUUAGAAAAUGUUAAACAUGUAUAUAAAAAUUAUUCUUGGCGUAUAAAAAAUGUAGAAAGAAAACGAACAAAAACUAUAAAAUUGAAAAAGAAACAAAAAAAGCAAAGAAAGCAAAAAAAUAGCAAAACCCGUAAAACCAAAAGAAUAUACCAAAAAAUAAGAAAGAAAAAACAAGAAUGAUAAAAACGUGCUAUCAUUAAUUACUAACAUGUACUUUGUUAUCUUCAUCACACUACAAAUAUUUGUUGGGCAUCAUCAAGGACGAACGACAACAAAUGCGUAAUGAGAUACCUCCAACUAGGUAGAUAUUUUUGUUGUCUAAUAAGUUAAAAACAUCUUGAGUACACUUCAAAAAUCAUCCCAUUUUUAUAUUUUUACACAACACCACUUAUCAUGUUAUUUGUCAUGUGACAUCGUGAAAGAUUUCAAGGGAUUUACUAAUGUCUUGAGAGUGUGUAUGAGGGGUGACUUUUUCUCCCCCGUUGAAAGAACACAAAGCCUGCCCUUCUUCGGAAAACACACACACACACACAUACACACACAAAGCAAGCCCUACCGUAUUGGCUGUUCACCCUUAGCUGCCGCUUGGUCAAACGUCGCGAGUUUGACGUUCUUACCUUUUGCAUCCUCUAAAAGAAGUAAAAAUGAAAGCGAUGAGACUCGAACCCGAGACUUGCUGCUGCGGAAAGCUUGGCUUUGCCACCUAGGCCAUGACCUGUCAUGAUGUUCAAUAAGAGAUGCCACGUAUUUAACUAUGAGGUGGGCGUUUGAAUUCAAAAGUUUCAAAANNNNNNNNNNNNNNNNNNNNNNNNNNNNNNNNNNNNNNNNNNNNNNNNNNNNNNNNNNNNNNNNNNNNNNNNNNNNNNNNNNNNNNNNNNNNNNNNNNNNNNNNNNNNNNNNNNNNNNNNNNNNNNNNNNNNNNNNNNNNNNNNNNNNNNNNNNNNNNAAGAACAUUAUUAUUAUUAUUUCAAAUGGAAGUAAUGUUGGUUUUACAUGAACAUUGUUUCUGGCAGAAAAUCUUAUAUUUACUAAUUGGAGGCACCUUUCAUGAUCUCUCAUUAAUCCACAUCAUCAAAAUUAAUUAAACUGUUGGAUUGUAAAAUUUAUGACCAGGAUUAAAAAAACAACUUGUGUAACGCAGAUGAUGCUGUCCUAUAAAAAGUGCACCUGACACGUACAACUUUUGUUAAACAAACAAAGAAAAGACUCACAUAAAAAAACGGAAGCCACAAGUAAAAAAGGGAAAGGCCCCACCAGUUCCCACAAAUUAAGUAGAAAAACAGCCUCAUGCAAGAAAAAGAGGAAAGUCCCUACCGUAUCCCACAAAUUAAGAAGCAAAAUUUUCCAUAAAAAAACCUAAUGAUAAGAUGCCAAAACAAAAUCCCAACGUUAAAGGAAAAAAAUCGACUAUCGGGCAGAUUGCCCGUGAAAUAAAAGAAAGCAAACUCGCGUAACAAAACUUAAACCUCCACCCAUCUGAACAAAUAAAAACACUAUGUACCAAACAGAUCAAGCCAAAAUGUACAAAAAAAAUAGAAGUCACGUAAAGAAAAAGGGAAAGUCCUUAGCAUCCGCGUUACUUCUCAUAAAAAAAUAGGGUUCUCACCACGUACAUAUAAUUGAAGAUUAAGCACACGCCUUCCAAAAAAAAUAGUCCUUAGCAUACACGUUACUUCCCAGAAGAAAAACAAGCUACAAAAACAGUUUUCACCACAUACAUGAAAUAAAAUCUUACAAAGAAACAUACGGCUUGAUCUUUGGUGUGGGACAUGACAAAAAAAGACACAACCUCAAAAAAUGACUUCGCAUUACGUAUGUGAAAUAAAACCUUGCAGAAAAAAAUACAUACAUGAAAUAAAAGAUUAAACAUACAUGACCAAAUAAAAACAAGGAAAGCCUCACGUCAAUCGAAAAAGCAAAGGAAAAACUCCACCCGCUGCACAAAUUAAGAAGGAAUGUCUCUGUUAAAAACUCCAAGAUAAAAUGUAAAAAAAGUCCAAUGAUAAAAAUGGAAAAAUUCCGCGAUCCAGCUGAUUGACCGUGAAAUAAAAACUAGACCCAAUGGCUCCAUCAAUAAAAUAUUCUCCCGACAAAAAUCUGUGUGGACUCAUCUGUACGGCCGAUGCCUCCUCCUCUGCUUCAAUCCUGCUGUCCUACCAAUGGCCGCCGAUCACGAUUAUUUGUCACUGAAUGUGCUUUCCCACCUGCAUGGCCAUCGGUGAACCACAAAGUGUCACAAGGGCGGCCUAAUUUAUUUUUCUAUAUGCUACAACAAAAAUACCUCUCAUGUUUAGUUGGACAGUAUAUUUUUUAAAGGGAUAUUGAAGCUGAAGUUUGUCAACCACGGAUGUGGAGCUGGUCGAGACUGGUGGCUAGAUGACAAAGGCUCCGCUCGGCAAGGAAAGAUUUGCAUUGAGCUAAGACUCAUGACUAAUUGAUAUAAUCUAAGAGAUGAUGAACCAAGAAAAUUAUAUUAGAAAUAAGUUGGAUGUUAUUUGCAUUAUUCUAUUUUGAGGAGUAAAAUUAUUUUUUUGGGAAUUAGACAAUCAAACUAUUGUUAUGAUUUCUUGAACUGGCCACAUAGGCCACAUAAAUUAUGAAAUUACUUUUCAUUGACGGAAUUUCGUUUGUGAAGAUAGCAUAGGGGCAACCGAUCAAUGUCCCCGGUAAUGAGUACUCAAUCACAUCAUGUUUGGUAGUACUACUGUAUGGGUGUUCUACAUAAAAGCAAAUGUAAGUAGACAACAUUAUAAUUAUUAAUUUUGUCCAUUAUAUUGCAAAGUAAAGGAUAUCCGUGUGGUCAAAAAAAAUUAGAUCAAUAUUGCACCACUAUAUGUCUUUUUGUCAAAUUUAAAUCCUGUUCAAGUUUAUACUGCUUUUCUUACUACUCCUAAUAAAUGAUCAGAACAAGGAAGCUUGCAGUUCUGUAGGGGAAGACCGAUCCUUGACGAGCAUUUCUAGCGUGACACAGAUAAAUAACAUUGGAUGGAGCGGCUCGACGACCUCCUCAUGUACGCUGCCGGACGCUGGCUGCAUCCGAUGACGCCGGGAGCAAGGUAGUGGUGUCGUGUAAGUUCAUUUUAGAUGCUAAGGACUAUUAUGCACAACUUAGUACUAUUCUCUUGAAAGAUAAACUACUUUGUCUGACAUGCAUACUUGCGAUUAUGUAGACUUAACAUGUUUUUACACAGGUGCAGAUUACGAACGCUAAUUAUUUGCACAUAUAGUACGGUUGCACAUCUCUUUUUUUUGUCCUGAUAAGUUAUAAAAAAUAUAACUAUUAAAGUAUCUUUAAUACACAUAAAUUUUUUUAGUAAAAAAUAAUGUGGAUGUUUCCUGCACGACAAAGAUCUCAUAUAAACAAAUGAUUAUGUAUGUGAUAUACAUAUGUGUAGCAAGGAUAGAAAGUACAAUAAACUUUCAAGCACAUUAAUCUGAAAAGAAAUCCUCUUAUGAUUUUCUUUGCACAAAUAUGAUAGUGAAAUACGAUUAAUCUAUCACACAACUCCAAUUCAAUCGUGAAAGAUUUUCUUUAAGAAUUUAUUGGUUAAUACAAGAAUAUAAAAUACAAAUAACCUAUGGUGCUUAGCGUAAUCAAGAAUUGCAGAAAUCAAACUUUUAUAUAUUAUUUGCUACAGUGUUACAUACUACUUCUCCAAAUAAUUCUUUUUAGUCUGCAUAUAAGAUUUGCCUGAAGUCAAACUUCAUAAAGUUUGAGCAUAUUUAUAUUGAAAAAUAUUAACAUGUACAAUACUAAAGUCACAGAGUAUAAAAAUUAAGAUUCAUGCCGCAUUUAAUGAUAUUGAUUACACAUUGAGAAUAUUGAUAUUUUUUCUGUAAGUUGGUCAAACUUUACGUUGUUUUACUUCAAAUAAAUCUUCUAUACAGAGUAAAAUAUCUGGCGGGAGUAUUUAAUAUUAGAAGUGCUAGCCCGUGCUGAUGCACGGGUUGAUGACUAGUAGAUUAUUAACUAUCAAAGUCAUAUGGCCCUAGCAAGACAUUGUUCAGGCCGCCCAGCUUGAUCAACUCCUCGUUAUCGUUGAUAACUGUCUGGCUUUUCAUGGGAAGCUCAUGCCGGCAGUUGCUGACAUGGUCAGUCGCCUUCUCCACACACUCGGGCAGUUCAAAGAACCACGGGCCGUCGGCGUCGCCCAUGGGGACACGGAAGUCCCUGAGCAUGGCGUCGCAGAGGCCGAGGGUACCGAUAGCAGCAUCGUAAUCCACCUGGCAAUACCUGAGGCCGAGCGCCUCCUCCGUACCUUUCUUGGCUUUCUGGAGUGCUUCCUUCACCUUGCCGCCGGCAGCCGCCAUGUGGAUCUUGAGGAUGUCAACGGCGACGAGCGACAGGUCGCGGAGGUCCUUGGACUCAGAGCUCCUUUUGUCGGACCGGAGAGUCUGCACGCAGAAUUCCUGGGUGACGUUCAGGUGCUUGUUGCGGCAGCUGCUCGAAGCGUUCUUGCAGGUUUCUACCACGAGGUCUACCACCUUGACCUUGUCGUUGCGCCGCCGGCAUGUGCGCCGAUGCACACAAAAAGGAGCAUGAUUGCAACCAAGAAGGCAGCGGUCGCCCGUGUGGUUGCCAUUGCUGCAAGGAUAGCUGCAAUUGUAUUGUAGGCUUUGUAGCUGAGAGAGAGGUGAAGAUGAAUUGAUAGUCAGAUUUUGUAGUGCAAAGAUGGAGGUGGUGUACGGUUCUUGUGACAUCUAUAUAGUGCAGCAGCAGGUUCAUAAAUCCAAUGCAGCUUAGUCACGGAUAUCCAAAUAAUUAGUAUUUCAGACACUAUAUGCGCAGAUAUGUGUUGGAAAAAUGAGCAAAUUACUACGAGAUUUAAUCCGAAUAAAUAGGAAAUAGAUCAUGACAGCAAUAGCAGAUAUUAAACUAAUCAUGCGAACUAGCAUACUAGAUGAACAGAUCACAUCUAGGACACAUACUAGAAACAUGAGUUCUACGGUGCAGCACCGCCGGCGUUGACGUUGUCGCCCAUGUCGUCGAGGAUGAGGUUGCCGAGGUCGGGGAAGAAGUCGUCGUUCGCGAAGUCGUCGCUGCCAGCAGUCGCGCGAGUGCGCUCCCCAAAAACCUGAUCGCCCCUCUCCCAUACAGGAUCACGAGAGGCAGGGUUCUAGAGGCCUGCUGUCCCUUCUCCCGGUGCACGCCGAAAGGAGGGAUGGAGAAGACUUGCUUGGCGGCGCAAUGAUCUGGAACGGUGGUCAGAAACCAUACGAAGCGGCGGCGGCUAGGAUAGACGUCUGCCUGACUAUAUAGUGCGGGCCGGGUAGGUCCUGGGAGUAAACCCCACGUCCGAGUCAUCACGAUCCAAAAGAAUCGGAAAUGGUUCAGUAAUUAAUGAGUCCAUUAAUUAUUAAUUAAUGACUCAUUAAUUUUUCCCGAGCAGCAAAAAUAUAGACAGCGUGCAUAGCUCUGUCCUCGGCUUGGCUCAAUCCCGCGGCGCGGCGGGGCGGGGCGAGGCGAGCGAGGAGGAGGAGCGCGCGUGUAGGUCUCCUCUUCUCAUGCUCAUACAAGUGGUAGAAAAGCUCACCUUAUAAAGAGGUGCAACUCUCUCUCAACUUUCGGGGUGGGACUAAACUUUAGUCUCACCCACUCCACUCACAUGUGUGCAUGAAUGGGCCAAGAGAAUUUCAGAAUUUUAGUUGGGCUUUGGGCCAAGGCCUACUAGCAAAAUUCCAACAAUCCCCCACAAAGUCUCAUUGGCACAUCUCAUCAUUUAGUUCCAAAACAUUGUUUAUAUACCGGUGCUUAGUGGAGACUGUGAAGUUGAACUUCCACUUAAAGAUUUAUGCUACACUAGAUCACAACUUGAAUAGUGGACUAUGCCUUGAACUACAAGUUUUCUGCGAAACUAGUUUCACACAAAUUCUUGACCGAUACUGGGCUGCCGCAAGGCUUCCCCGCGGGUGGAGCGUAUACGCCAUACUCCAGGGCAUUUUCAUGAAUUUAUUAGAGAACACCCAAUUCUCACAGACUGCGACGUUAACAGUCAAAUUCAUAUAGGUGUGUUCCUCAGAAGAUGUUCUGCAGGACAACAUCUCUGCUUACCCGAAUAAGCCACUUGGAACACAUUAAGAUAAGUAUCAACCUGCCAUGCAGAUCAGGAGAGUAUUGCAUCUUCACGGAGUGGGAUAGUUAAUAUAGGGAUACUCUCCUCCCAGCUGACCAACAGCUUGUCUCCCACUUCUACUUCACGGGAUCUCCGAUCACAUAGAGUGGGUUACCACUAUGGACAACUCAUGCGGUGGGUCUCAAACCCAUCUCCAUCGAUGCAUUAUCUAUCACAUUAUGUGAUAGACCCUUUGUGAAGGGAUCUGCCAUGUUUUUCGAUGUUUGGAUAUAAUCCAACGUAAUAACUCCGGAGUUCCUCAAUUUUCUGACAGAUUUUAGUCUCCUCUUCACAUGUCUUGAGGACUUCAUAUUGUCCUUCGAACUGUUUAUCUUGACAAUCACAGUUUGAUUAUCACAGUUCAUCAGGAUAGGGGGUAUUGGUUUUUCAACCAUAGGUAAGUCCAUCAAGAGUUCACGAAGCCACUCUGCUUCAACAGUGGCAGUGUCUAAUGCUGUGAGUUCUGCUUCCAUAGUUGACCUCAUUAAGAUGGUCUGCUUGCAAGACUUCCAGGAAAUAGCGCCACCACCAAGUGUAAAAACAUAACCACUCGUGGGCUUUAUCUCAUCAGAAUCAGAUAUCCAGUUUAAGUCACUAUAACCCUGCAGUACCCUUGGAUACCCGGUGUAGUGAAUCCCAUAGCUCGCGUAGCCUUUCAAAUAGCGAAUAACUCUCUCAAGAGCAUGCCAAUGAUCAUCUCCCGGUUUUGACACAAACCGACUCAGCUUGCUCACAGCAAAAGAGAUGUCAGGCCUCGUGGCACUCGCCAAAUACAUAAGCGAGCCAAUAAUCUAAGAAUACCUCAGUUGAUCUCUAGCAAUCCGUUGAUUCUUUCGAAGCAACACACUAGCAUCAUAUGGAGUUGGAGAAGGUGUGCAGUCGCUAUACCCAAAACGACUCAAGACCUUUUCCACAUAGUGAGACUGAAGCAGUGUGAUCCCACCAUUCUCAUCUCUCAACAGCUUGAUGUUUAAGAUAACAUCAGCUACUCCUAGAUCCUUCAUCUCAAAACAGCGAGAUAAGAAAUCCUUAACCUCCUUGAUUAAAUCAAGUUUGGUUCCAAAGAUCAAUAUGUCGUCGACAUAUAGACAAAGAAUAACUCCUUCACCCCCACCAUAGCAAUAGUACACGCACUUGUCACCAUCAUUUACUACAAAGCCGGCAGCAGUUAAUGUCCUUUCGAACUUCUCAUGCCACUCCUUAGGAGCUUGUUUAAGGCCAUAUAAAGACUUUAAUAACUUGCACACCUUUCCUUCCUGACCAGGUACUACAAAACCAUCUGGCUGAUCCAUGUAAAUUUCCUCCUUCAACUCUCCAUUGAGGAAAGCCGUCUUGACGUCCAUUUGAUGAACGAGAAGACCAUGUGAGGCAGCCAGUGAUAGUAGCACCUGAAUUGUGGUCAGUCUAGCCACAGGUGAGUAAGUAUCAAAGAAGUAUUCACCUUCUUUCUGGGUAUAACCCUUAGCCACAAGCCGUGCCUUGUUCUUUUCAAUCGUACCAUCAGGUCUAAGAUUCUUCUUGAACACCCACUUACAUCCUAAAGGUUUGCACCCAUAAGGACGACCAGUGAUCUCCCAGGUUCCGUCAGCUAAGAUGGAAUCCAUCUCGCUACGUACAGCUUCCUUCCAGUAGUCAGCAUCAGGAGAUGCUUAGGCUUCUCUAAUAGUCCUGGGUGUGUCAUCCACGAGGUACACAAUGAAAUCAUCACCAAAGGACUUUGUAGUCCUCUGUCUCUUACUCCUCACAGGAGUUCCAUUGUCACCCUCAACAGGAUUCUCAACGUGUUCCAUCGCAAUGGUGGGUUCAGGAAUUACAGUGAAUUCCUCACUAGAUGGAGUAGGUAUCUCCUGAUUUGAUGAACUCGACAUGUCCUUCAUAGGAAAUAUGUCCUCAAAGAAAGUUGCAUCAUUCGACUCCAUAAUCGUACCAACAUGCAUGUUGGAUACCUCAAAUUUUAUUAUCAAAAAUCUAUAGCCGAUGCUAUGAAAAGCAUAGCCCAGAAGAACACAAUCCACGGUUUUUGGUCCAAGCUUGCGCUUCUUGGGAAUUGGUAUAUUGACUUUCUCCAAACAACCCCAAGUACGUAGGUAAGAGAGUUUCAACCUUUUCCUUUCCCAUUCCUCAAAUGGAGUCAUGGUCUUAUGCUUUGUGGGAACUCGGUUUACGAUAUGACAUGCAGUCAUUAGCGCCUCCCCCCACCAUUCCUUGGAUAGACCCGAAGUGUCUAACAUGGUGUUAACCAUAUCAGUUAGAGUUCGGUUCUUUCUUUUGGCUACCCCAUUUGACUGGGGUGAGUAGGGAGGCGUCCUCUCAUGGAUUAUACCAUGUUCCGCACAAAACAGAUCAAAUUCAUUGGAAAAAUACUCUCCACCACGAUCAGACCUAAGCCGUUUAAUUUUUCGAUCAAGUUGGUUCUCUGCCUCAGCUUUAUAGUUUUUGAAGAAAGUAAAAGCCUCAUAUUUUGAUUUCAGAAGAUACACAUAACAAUAUCUAGUGGAGUCAUCAAUCAACAUCAUGAAGUAUCUUUUUCCACCUUUUGUCAACACGACAUUCAUCUCACAAAGAUCAGAAUGUAUAAGCUCUAGUGGUGCCAAGUCUCUUGCCUCUGUAGUCUUAUGGGACUUGCGAGGUUGCUUAGCUUGCACACAUACUUGGCACUUAGAGCCUUUGACAGUAGAGAUUUUCAGAAUUAAAUUCAUAUUGGCUAGCCAUGUCAUGCAACCAAAGUUAAUGUGACAAAGUCGUGAAUGCCAAAUAUCUGACUCAUUGUUGUGGCAAACAUUAUUAAUAACUUUAGUGCAAAUAUCUGACAAAGACAGGCGGAACAAGCCUCCGCUCUCAUAGCCUUUUCCAACAAAUUGUCCAUACUUAGAAAUUACAACAUUAUUGGAUUCGAAAACCAACUUAAAACCAUCUCAACAUCAAUGGGAACCGCUAACGAGAUUUUUAUUGAUGGACGGCACAUGAUGAACGUUCUUCAGACGCACGGUCUUCCCCGAAGUAAACUUCAGAUCGACCGUACCAACACCUCGAACGAUGGCAUGUGACCCGUUCCCCAUCAGCAUGGGAGAAGUCCCAGUGGCCUGGUAAGAAGAAAACUUGGAGGCGUCAGCACAAACAUGUACAUUGGCACCGGUGUCAAUUAACCAAUCAGGGGAUUGAAAUACUGAAAGGAUGGUAGGAAAAAUACCGUAUCCUGAUUCCUUCAUAUCAGUAUCACCGAUAACAACAUUAGCGGACUUGCCGCUCUUGUCAUGUUCGCGCUCCUCAAAACGGUUAGGACACUUCGGAGCCCAGUGAUUAGGAUCACCGCAAACAUGGCAAAGUCCCUUCCCCUUCUUAUGAGAAUUCUUCUUGAAGUUGGUAGAAUGUGAUGGCUUGUUCUUUGUAUCAAACUUACCUUUGCCCUGAGUUUUGUUCUUGUUGUUUUUGAACUUUUUGGGAUGGAAGUUCUUCUUCUGUACCAUUUGGGCACUAGAACCUCCCUCAGCAACUCGAGCACGUGUGUCCUUUGCUCUCGCCUUCUCUUCAACAUCAAGAGUACCAAUGAGAUCCGCAACGGAAAACUCCUGUCUCUUGUGUUUCAGGGAAGUAGAAAAAUUAUUCCACGAAGGUGGAAGCUUGGCAAUGAUGCCUCCGGCAACACACACUUGAAGUAAUCAAGUUCUUUUGCGAGUGACUGUAUCUCAUUAGCCUGCUGUACAACAAGGCGCUCAUCAGUCAUCUUGUAGUCAUAGAAUUGCUCCAUGACGUACAACUCGCCGCCGGCGUCCGAGGCACCAAACUUGGCCUCGAGCGCAGCCCACAUGUCCUUGCCAUUGUAAAAUGAGAUAUACGAAUCGAUCUUCUCAAAAGCUUCCAGCUGUGCUGGAUUAAGAUCGCCCUCAGGCUUGCCCUUGGUGGCGUCAUAGCAGCCCAUGGUCUGAAACAAGUAGACUGCUAUCGUGCGCCACCUCUUAUAUUGCGCCCCUUUAAUGGCAGGCAGCUUCAAAUGCGCAGCAAAAUACGAGAUUUAAUCCGAAUAAAUAGGAAAUAGAUCAUGACAUCAAUAGCAGAGAUUAAACUAACCCCGGGUAGGUCAUGGGACAACGUGCAUAGCUCUGUCCUCGGCUCAAUCCUGCAACCCGCGGCGCGGCACUCGUGUAGGUCUCCUCUUCUCAUGGUCAUACAAGUGGUAGAAUAGCUCACCUUAUAAAGAGGUGCAACUCUCUCUCAACUUCCGGGGUGGGACUAAACUUUAGUCUCACUCACUCCACUCACAUGUGUGCAUGAAUGGGCCAAGAGAAUUUCAGAAUUUUAGUUGGGCUUUGGGCCAAAGGCCUACUAGCAAAAUUCCAACAAUAUGUAGAUCCACAUUUUGGGUGUGCUAGUAUUAAUACGUGUGGCAUGAGUGUGUUCUUGUUUUAUGUAUUUCUAGAGUGAAUCUCACGUUAUUUCCCCAUAUCAUAAAAUGGAUUUGGGACAUUAAAGGAAGAUUAUGCGCAUUUUGCACUUGAUAAUCUAUCUAUCUUCUACGUUUAUAUAUCUAUCUAUAUCUAUCUCUAUAUUCAUCCCUAUAUCUAUACCUAUCUAUAUGUAUACUAUAUAUGUAUAUUUAUAUCUACACCUAUCUAUCUAUCUAUCUAUCUAUCUUUAUAUCUAUAUCUCUAUCUAUCUAUACCUAUACUUCUACUCCCUCCGUCCCAAAAUAAGUAUCUCAAGCUUAGUACAAGUUCGUACUAAAGUUAAUACAAAGUUGAGACACUUAUUUUGAGACGGAGAAAGUACUAAUUAGGCACUCCCUAGAAAUUACCAUGUUAAUCGGUAAAAUUCAAGAUAAUUGGAAACCCAUGCCCCUUCGUAAAUACAUGUAAUUGCUUACACCAUUUAGGAUAUGCUUGCAUGAUGGAUAUAUACGAUACACAUGCAUCAUUAUUAACCCGGAACACCUUUAAGAUUACAUUAAAAAUGGCAUCCAGGAGACACUAUAUUAAAUAAUACUGCCCAUGAUUAAAUAGGAGGAAAUCCAAUUCUCCAUCGAGGUAUAUGUGCAAAGAGUUAAACAUUGAUCAUUUGGAUAUUCAUGGGGCAUAUUGCAUUUGGAAACCCCUACUCAGUGCACUAUAUAGUAUAUAUAAGCCAUAAUCAUAGCUACGUACUCCACCUCAACCCAUCCAUCUCUGCACUGCAGUUCCAUUUGAUCCAUUCAUCGUCUCCCUCAGCUACAAUAUAAUUUUCUAGCAAGCCUGGCAGCAAUGGAAAUGGUGCAAACCACCUCCUUAGCAUUCACUGGAAUUGUCAUCAUUCUCCUUUCCAUGGCCAUCACCAUUCAAGCUUCCGACACCAAGCCCAUGCCGUCAGGCAUCACGUUGGAAGCAUGCAAGAAUGUCUCGAGUGACUUCUUCAAGGUGCGCUCCACAUAUGACUUUUGUGUAUCAACGCUCCAGUCAGACAAACGAAGCAUCAACGCGAAGGACUGCCGCAUCCUAGCUCUUGUGGACGUCGACGCCAUGAAGCCCCAAGCCACGGCCGUGAUGGCCAAGGUUGAGAACUUGAUCCAUGGUGCCACCAAGGACAAGCUCGCGACUCGCGCCCUUGGGUUCUGCCAAGUGGACUACGGUGGCAUGGUGAGCACCCUCGAAAUCUGCCAUGAUAUCAUCCAGAACUUUGAGGUUCGUAAAGGCAAUGAAGGUCCGACGCCCUACGACCUGCCUGAUUGCAUUGCGAAAACAACCAAAGCCAUCAACGAUUGCUCUGACAAAACAAAGUUUACGUCGGUUACAAAAGGGCUAACAAAGGAAUAUGAGGAGUUAUCUAUGAUGAUCAGCCUCAGCAGCUCUUUGCCACAUCUCUACAUCACAUCACCCUGAUUUUUCUGGAAAAAUAUGAUUUUAUAGCGUCGGUUUUAGGGUCUGCGAGGCCACCAGGUGGGGACAACCCACCUAGGCGCGCUUGGAGGGGGCACGCCAUGGUGGGUUGUGCCCACCCAGGUGCCCCCCUUCCGGUGGUUCAUGGCUCCAGAAAUUCUCUUUAUUGAUAUGAAAAAUCCUUGCAAAGUUUCGUUCCAUUCUUAAAACUUUUAUUUCUGCACAAAAACAACACCAUGGUAGUUCUGCUGAAAACAGCAUCAGUCCGGGGUUAGUUUCAUUCAAGUCAUGCAAAUUAGAGUCCAAAACAAGAGGAAAAGCAUUGGGAAAAGUAGAUGUGUUGGAGACCUAACGGUGGCGGCGGGAAACAAAUGAGGAAAGGGUGGCGUGUUCAUAAAACGCCACCAAUCAAUGGAAACUUAGCAUAGAAGGAACAUUGAGCUAGCACAACGUGUGUGUGCACAUUGCUCACCCAAGGCUAUGAUCCAUAUACUUGUGUGCCCAACAGAGCACACUAUUCAUAGUAAAGAAUAUUGUUAUGUUUAUCCUAGUAGAGCAGUGGCAGCAAGCGACACAAGAAGAAGUAGAUGAUGAUCAGAUGAUGGUUUAUCCUAAUUAAUUAUGCAUGUAAUAGUUUACUUUGGCGUGUGGAAAUGUCAUGUGUACUAGGAAACUAUGUAAUUGGAUGUUUAAUUUGACUGUGGAAUCAUGUCCUUAUAUCAUGAUAAAUCUUUAUUAUUCAUGCUAGAAUUGUAUUAACUGAAAACAUAAUACAUGUGUGAAUACAUAGACAAACAAAGUGUCACUAGUAUGCCUCUACUUGACUAGCUGGUUGAUCAAAGAUGGUUAUGUUUCCUAGCCAUAGACAUGAGUUGUCAUUUGAUUAACGGGAUCACAUCAUUAGGAGAAUGAUGUGAUUGACAUGACCCAUUCCGUUAGCUUAGCACCGGAUCAUUUAGUAUGUUGCUAUUGCUUUCUUCAUGACUUAUAAUGUUCCUAUGACUAUGAGAUUAUGCAACUCCUCUUUACCGGAGUAACACUUUGUGUGCUACCAAACGUCACAACGUAACUGGGUGAUUAUAAAGGAGCUCUACAGGUGUCUCCAAAGGUACAUGUUGGGUUGACGUAUUUCGAGAUUAGGAUUUGUCACUCCGAUUGUCGGAGAGGUAUCUCUGGGCCCUCUCGGUAAUGCACAUCACUUAAGCCUUGCAAGCAUUGCAACUAAUGAGUUAGUUGCGGGAUGAUGUAUUAUGGGACGAGUAAAGAGACUUGCCGGUAACGAGAUUGAACUAGGUAUUGAGAUACUGACGAUCGAAUCUCGGGCAAGUAACAUGCCGAUGACAAAGGGAACAACGUAUGUUGUUAUGCGGUCUGACCGAUAAAGAUCUUCGUAGAAUAUGUAGGAGCCAAUAUGAGCAUCCAGGUUCCUCUAUUGGUUAUUGACCGGAGACGUGUCUCGGUCAUGUCUACAUAGUUGUCGAACCCGUAGGGUCCGCACGCUUAACGUUUCGAUGAUAGUUAUAUUAUGAGUUUAUAUGUUUUGAUGUACCGAAGGUUGUUCGGAGUCCCGGAUGUGAUCACGGACAUGAAGAGGAGUCUCGAAAUGGUCGAGACAUGAAGAUUGAUAUAUUGGAAGCCUAUGUUUGGAUAUCAGAAGUGUUCCGAGUGAAAUCGGGAUUUUACCGGAGUACCGGGAGGUUAGCGGAACCCCCAGUAACUUAAUGGGCCUUAGUGGUCCUAGGUGGAAGAGAGGAGAGGAGGCAAGGGCUGGCCGCGCGCCCCUCCCCCCUAGUCCGAAUAGGACAAGGAGAGGGGGGUGGCGCCCCCCCCCCUUCUUUCUCCUCCACUCCUUCCCCCUCCCAAGUCCUAAUCCAACUAGGAAAGGGGGGAGUCCUACUCCCGGUGGGAGUAGGACUCCUCCGGCGCGCCUCCUCCUAUGGCCGGCUGCACCCCCCCCCCUUGCUCCUUUAUAUACGGGGGCAGGGGGGCAUCCCAUAGAUACAACAAUUGAUCAUUUGAUCUUUUAGCCGUGUGUGGUGCCCCCCUCCACCAUAGUCCACCUCGAUAAUACUGUAGCGGUGCUUAGGCGAAGCCCUGCAUUGGUAGAACAUCAUCAUCUUCACCACGCCGUCGUGCUGACGAAACUCUCCCUCAACACUCGGCUGGAUCGGCGUUCGAGGGACGUCAUCGGGCUAAACGUGUGCUGAACUCGGAGGUGCCGUGCGUUUGGUACUUGAUCAGACAGAUCGUGAAGACGUACGACUACAUCAACCGCGUUGUGCUAAGGCUUGCGCUUUCGGUCUACGAGGGUACGUGGCCAACACUCUCCCCUCUCGUUGCUAUGCAUCACCAUGAUCUUGCGUGUGCAUAGGAAUUUUUUUGAAAUUACUACGUUCCCCAACAAUGGCAUCCGAGCCUGAUUUUAUGCGUAGAUGUCAUAUGCACGUGUAGAACACAAGUGAGUUGUGGGCGAUAUAAGCCAUACUGCUUACCAGCAUGUCAUACUUUGGUUCGGCGGUAUUGUUGGAUGAAGCGGCCCGGACCGACAUUACGCGUACGCUUACGCGAGACUGGUUCUACCGACGUGCUUUGCACAGAGGUGGCUGGCGGGUGUCAGUCUCUCCAACUUUAGUUGAACCGAGUGUGGCUACGCCCGGUCCUUGCGAAGGUUAAAACAGCACCAACUUGACAAACUAUCAUUGUGGUUUUUGAUGCGUAGGUAAGAAUGGUUCUUGCUAAGACCGUAGCAGCCAUGUAAAACUUGCAACAACAAAGUAGAGGAUGUCUAACUUGUUUUUGCAGGGCAUGUUGUGAUGUGAUAUGGUCAAGACAUGAUGCUAAAUUUUGUUGUAUGAGAUGAUCAUGUUUUUAACCGAGUUAUCGGCAACUGGCAGGAGCCAUAUGGUUGUCGCUUUAUUGUAUGCAAUGCAAUCGACCUGUAAUGCUUUACUUUAUCACUAAGCGGUAGCGAUAGUCGAAGAAGCAUAAGAUUGGCGAGACGACAACGAUGCUACGAUGGAGAUCAAGGUGUCGCGCCGGUGACGACGGUGAUCACGGAGGUGCUUCGGAGAUGGAGAUCACAAGCACAAGAUGAUGAUGGCCAUAUCAUAUCACUUAUAUUGAUUGCAUGUGAUGUUUAUCUUUUAUGCAUCUUAUCUUGCUUUGAUUGACGAUAGCAUUAUAAGAUGAUCCCUCACUAAAUUAUCAAAGUAUAAGUGUUCUCCCUGAGUAUGCACUGUUGCGAAAAUUCUUCGUGCUGAGACACCACGUGAUGAUCAGGUGUGAUAGGCUCUACGUUCAAAUACAAUGGGUGCAAAACAGUUGCACACGCGGAAUACUUAGGUUAAACUUGACGAGCCUAGCAUAUAACAGAUAUGGCCUCAGAACACGGAGACCGAAAGGUCGAGCGUGAAUCAUAUAGUAGAUAUGAUCAGCAUAGUGAUGUUCACCAUUGAAACUACUCCAUCUCACGUGAUGAUCGGACAUGGUUUAGUUGAUUUGGAUCACGUGAUCACUUAGAGGAUUAGAGGGAUGUCUAUCUAAGUGGGAGUUCUUAAGUAAUAUGAUUAAUUGAACUUAAAUUUAUCGUGAACUUAGUACCUGAUAGUAUCUUGCUUGUUUAUGUUGAUUGUAGAUAGAUGGCCCGUGCUGUUGUUCCGUUGAAUUUUAAUGUGUUCCUUGAGAAAGCAAAGUUGAAAGAUGAUGGUAGCAAUUACACGGACUGGGUCCGUAACUUGAGGAUUAUCCUCACUGCUGCACAGAAGAAUUACGUCCUGGAAGUACCGCUGGGUGCCAGGCCUGCUGCAGGAGCAACACCAGAUGCUAUGAACAUCUGGCAGAGCAAAGCUGAUGACUACUCGAUAGUUCAGUGUGCCAUGCUUUACGGCUUAGAACCGGGACUUCAACGGCGUUUUGAACGUCAUGGAGCAUAUGAGAUGUUCCAGGAGUUGAAGUUAAUAUUUCAAGCAAAUGCCCGGAUUGAGAGAUAUGAAGUCUCCAAUAAGUUCUAUAGCUGCAAGAUGGAGGAGAACAGUUCUGUCAGUGAGCAUAUACUCAAAAUGUCUGGGUAUAAUAAUCACUUGAUUCAAUUGGGAGUUAAUCUUCCAGAUGAUUGCGUCAUUGACAGAAUUCUCCAAUCACUGCCACCAAGCUACAAGAGCUUCGUGAUGAACUAUAAUAUGCAAGGGAUGAAUAAGACUAUUCCCGAGCUCUUCGCAAUGCUGAAAGCUGCGGAAGUAGAAAUCAAGAAGGAGCAUCAAGUGUGUAUGGUCAACAAGACCACCAGUUUCAAGAAAAAGGGCAAAGGGAAGAAGAAGGGGAACUUCAAGAAGAACAGCAAACAAGUUGCUGCUCAAGAGAGGAAACCCAAGUCUGGACCUAAGCCUGAAACUGAGUGUUUCUACUGCAAGCAAACUGGUCACUGGAAGCGGAACUGCCCCAAGUAUUUGGCGGAUAAGAAGGAUGGCAAGGUGAACAAAGGUAUAUGUGAUAUACAUGUUAUUGAUGUGUACCUUACUAAUGCUCGCAGUAGCACCUAGGUAUUUGAUACUGGUUCUAUUGCUAAUAUUUGCAACUCAAAACAGGGGUUACAGAUUAAGCAAAGAUUGGCUAAGGACAAGGUAACGAUGAGCGUGGGAAAUGGUUCCAAAGUUGAUGUGAUCGCAGUCGGAAUGCUACCUCUACAUCUACCUUCGGGAUUAGUAUUAGACCUAAAUAAUUGUUAUUUGGUGCCAGCGUUGAGCAUGAAUAUUAUAUCUGGAUCUUAUUUGAUGCAAGACGGUUAUUCAUUUAAAUCAGAGAAUAAUGGUUGUUCUAUUUAUAUGAGUAAUAUCUUUUAUGGUCAUGCACCCUUGAAGAGUGGUCUAUUCUUAUUGAAUCUUGAUAGUAGUGACACACAUAUUCAUAAUGUUGAAGCCAAAAGAUGCAGAGUUGAUAAUGAUAGUGCAACUUAUUUGUGGCACUACCGUUUAGGUCAUAUCGGUGUAAAGCGCAUGAAAAAACUCCAUACCGAUGGACUUUUGGAACCACUUGAUUAUGAAUCACUCUCUACUUGCGAACUGUGCCUCAUGGGCAAAAUGACUAAAACACCGUUCUCCGAUACUAUGGAGAGAGCAACAGAUUUGUUGGAAAUCAUACAUACAGAUGUAUGUGGUCCGAUGAAUGUUGAGGCUCGUGGCGGAUAUCGUUAUUUUCUCACCUUCACAGAUGACUUAAGAAGAUAUGGGUAUAUCUACUUAAUGAAACAUAAGUUUGAAACAUUUGAAAAGUUCAAAGAAUUUCAGAGUGAAGUUGAAAAUCAUCGUAACAAGAAAAUAAAGUUUCUACGAUCUGAUCAUGGAGGAGAAUAUUUGAGUUACGAGUUUGGUGUACAUUUAAAAAAUGCGGAAUAGUUUCGAAACUCACGCCACCCGGAACACCACAACAUAAUGGUGUGUCCAAACGUCGUAAUCGUACUUUACUAGAUAUGGUGCGAUCUAUGAUGUCUCUUACUGAUUUACCGCUAUCGUUUUGGGGUUAUGCUUUAGAGACGGCCGCAUUCACGUUAAAUAGGGCACCAUCAAAAUCCGUUGAGACGACGCCUUAUGAACUGUGGUUUGGCAAAAAACCGAAGUUGUUGUUUUUGAAAGUUUGGGGCUGCGAUGCUUAUGUGAAAAAGCUUUAACCUGAUAAGCUCGAACCCAAAUCGGAGAAAUGUGUCUUCAUAGGAUACCCAAAGGAGACCGUUGGGUACACCUUCUAUCACAGAUCCGAAGGCAAGAUUUUUGUUGCUAAAUUAGGAAACUUUCUAGAGAAGGAGUUUCUCUCGAAAGAAGUGAGUGGGAGGAAAGCAGAACUUGAUGAGGUAACUGUACUUGCUCCCUUAUUGGAAAGUAGUUCAUCACGGAAACCGGCUUCCGUGACACCUACACCAAUCAGUGAGGAAGUUAAUGAUGAUGAUCAUGAAACUUCAGACCAAGUUACUACUGAGCCUCAUAGAUCAACCAGAGUAAGAUCCGCAGCAGAGUGGUACGGUAGUCCUGUUCUGGAAGUCAUGCUACUAGAUCAUGAUGACCCUACGAACUAUGAAGAAGCGAUGGUGAGCCCAGAUUCCGCAAAAUGGCUUGAGGCCAUGAAAUCUGAGAUGGGAUCCAUGUAUGAGAACAAAGUAUGGACUUUGGUUGACUUGCCUGAUGAUCGGCAAGCAAUUGAAAAUAAAUGGAUCUUCAAGAAGAAGACUGACACUGACGGUAAUGUUACUGUCUACAAAGCUCGACUUGUUGUGAAAGGUUUUCGACAAGUUCAAGGGAUUGACUAUGAUGAGACCUUCUCACUCGUAGCGAUGCUUAAGUCUGUCCGAAUCAUGUUAGCAAUUACCAUAUUUUAUGAUUAUGAAAUUUGGCAAAUGGAUGUCAAAACUGCAUUUCUGAAUGGAUUUCUAGAAGAAGAGUUGUAUAUGAUGCAACCAGAAGGUUUUGUGGAUCCAAAGGGAGCUAACAAAAUGUGCAAGCUCCAGCGGUCCAUUUAUGGACUGGUGCAAGCCUCUCAGAGUUGGAAUAAACGCUUUGAUAGUAUGAUCAAAGCAUUUGGUUUUGUACAGACUUUUGGAGAAGCCUGUAUUUAUAAGAAAGUGAGUGGGAGCUCUGUAGCAUUUCUAAUAUUAUAUGUACAUAUUGCUGGUUGGAAAUGAUAUAGAAUUUCUAGAUAGCAUAGGGAUACUUGAAUAAGAGUUUUUCAAUGAAAGACGACCUCGGUGAAGCUGCUUAUAUAUUGGGCAUUAAGAUAUAUAGAGAUAGAUCAAGACGCUUAAUUGGACUUUCACAAAGCACAUACCUUGAAAAAGUUUUGAAGAAGUUCAAAAUGGAUCAAGCAAAGAAAGGGUUCUUGCCUGUGUUACAAGGUGUGGAGUUCAGUAAGACUCAAUGCCCGACCACUGCAGAAGAUAGAGAGAAAAUGAAAGAUGUUCCCUAUGCUUCAGCCAUAGGCUCUAUCAUGUAUGCAAUGUUGUGUACCAGACCUGAUGUGUGCCUUGCUAUAAGCCUAGCAGGGAGGUACCAAAGUAAUCCAGGAGUGGAUCACUGGACAGCGGUCAAGAACAUCCUGAAAUACCUGAAAAGGACUAAGGAUAUGUUUCUCAUUUAUGGAGGUGACAAAGAGCUCAUCGUAAAUGGUUACGUUGAUGCAAGCUUUGACACUGAUCCGGACGAUUCUAAAUCACAAACCGGAUACGUGUUUACAUUGAACGGUGGUGCUGUCAGUUGGUGCAGUUCUAAACAAAGCGUCGUGGCGGGAUCUACGUGUGAAGCGGAGUACGUAGCUGCUUCAGAAGCAGCAAAUAAAGGAAUCCAGAUUUCAGAAGAGAUAUAGAUUUGCAAGAUACAUACGGAUCUGAAUGUUGCAGACCCGUUGACUAAGCCUCUUCCACGAGCAAAACAUGAUCAGCACCAAGGCUCCAUGGGUGUUAGAAUCAUUACUGUGUAAUCUAGAUUAUAGACUCUAGUUUAAGUGGGAGACUGAAGGAAAUAUGCCCUAGAGGCAAUAAUAAAGUUAUUAUUUAUUUCCUUAUAUCAUGAUAAAUGUUUAUUAUUCAUGCUAGAAUUGUAUUAACCGAAAACAUAAUACAUGUGUGAAUACAUAGACAAACAAAGUGUCACUAGUAUGCCUCUACUUGACUAGCUUGUUGAUCAAAGAUGGUUAUGUUUCCUAGCCAUAGACAUGAGUUGUCAUUUGAUUAACGGGAUCACAUCAUUAGGAGAAUGAUGUGAUUGACAUGACCCAUUCCGUUAGCUUAGCACCCGAUCGUCUAGUAUGUUGCUAUUGCUUUCUUCAUGACUUAUACAUGUUCCUAUGACUAUGAUAUUAUGCAACUCCCGUUUACCGGAGGAGCACUUUGUGUGCUACAAAACGUCACAACGUAACUGGGUGAUUAUAAAGGAGCUCUACAGGUGUCUCCAAAGGUACAUGUUGGGUUGGCGUAUUUCGAGAUUAGGAUUUGUCACUCCGAUUGUCGGAGAGGUAUCUCUGGGCCCUCUCGGUAAUGCACAUUACUUAAGCAUUGCAACUAAUGAGUUAGUUGCGGGAUGAUGUAUUAUGGGAUGAGUAAAGAUACUUGCCGGUAACGAGAUUGAACUAGGUAUUGAGAUACUGACGAUCGAAUCUCGGGCAAGUAACAUACCGAUGACAAAGGGAACAACGUAUGUUGUUAUGUGGUCUGACCGAUAAAGAUCUUCGUAGAAUAUGUAGGAGCCAAUAUGAGCAUCCAGGUUCCUCUAUUGGUUAUUGACCAGAGACGUGUCUCGGUCAUGUCUACAUAGUUCUCGAACCCGUAGGGUCCGCACGCUUAACGUUUCGAUGACAUUUAUAUUAUGAGUUUAUAUGUUUUGAUGUACCGAAGGUUGUUCGCUGUCCUGGAUGUGAUCACGGACAUGACGAGGAGUCUCGAAAUGGUCGAGACAUGAAUAUUGAUAUAUUGGAAGCCUAUGUUUGGAUAUCGGAAGUGUUUCGGGUGAAAUCUGGAUUUUACCGGAGUACCGGGAUGUUACCGGAACCCCCCGGUAACUAAAUGGGCCUUAGUGGGCCUAGGUGGAAGAGAGGAGAGGAGGCAAGGGCUGGCUGCGCGCCCCUCCCCCCCCCCCUAGUCCGAAUAGGACAAGGAGAGGGGGGCGGCGCCCCCCCCCCUUCCUUCCUUCUCCUCCACUCCUUCCCCCUCCCAAGUCCUAAUCCAACUAGGAAAGGGGGGAGUCCUACUCCCGGUGGGAGUAGGACUCCUCCGGCGCGCCUCCUCCUAUGGCCGGCCGCACCCCCCUUGCUCCUUUAUAUACGGGGGCAGGGGGCACCCCAUAGAUACAACAAUUGAUCGUUUGAUCUUUUAGCCGUGUGCGGUGCCCCCCUCCACCAUAGUCCACCUCGAUAAUACUAUAGCGGUGCUGAGGCGAAGCCCUACGUCGGUUGAACAUCAUCAUCGUCACCAUGCCGUCGUGCUGACGAAACUCUCCCUCAACACUCAGCUGGACCGGAGUUCAAGGGACGUCAUCGGGCUGAACGUGUGCUGAACUCGGAGGUGCCGUGCGUUCGGUACUUGAUCGGUCGGACCGUGAAGACGUAUGACUACAUCAACCGCGUUGUGCUAACACUUCCGCUUUCGGUCUACGAGGGUACGUGGACAACACACUCCCCUCUCGUUGCUAUGCAUCACCAUGAUCUUGCGUGUGCGUAGGAAAUUUUUUCAAAUUACUACGUUCCCCAACAGUCCUCAUAAAUGGCAUUGUACCUGCCCUACAACCUAGCUAUGAGCACUUGCCAUCGAAAGCAAAAAUAUGCUUCUCCUUCUGUGUUGUUUAUCCCAAGGAUAGGAUGAUGGAUAAAGACAUAUUAAUCCGGCUAUGGAUGGAAAGUGUCUUCGUUGCAUCAGAAACAGCAGGCCAACAAAUUUGCGAUGUUCUAUUUUGGAGAUGUUUCUUACAAGAUGUGGAUAUUGGUAGGAUGUCUUCAUACAUAAUAUACAUGAUUUCAUGCAUGAUCUUGUUGACUCUGUAAGAAGAAAUAAUUGCUUACUUAUGCAAGAAUCUUCAUCGUCCCAAGAAAUUGUGGAACGAUCUACUGAUGGGAGUUCAUUUCAAUAUGAGGUUCAACAUUCGUCACUUGAUUUUUUAGUAAUAUUGCCACUUCGUAGGAAAUUAUUGCUCCCUGUCCGCUCACGAUAUUAGUCUCAUGAGAGAAGGACUGUAUUAAGACUCCGCUGCAUAUGGUCACAUAUAAAUUCAUGUUCCUGCAAGCAUUGAAGUCAUCCUCAAUCAAAACGCACAUGGGAAACUUAAAGCAUCUUCACUACCUAGAUUGUUCUAAUUCUUGUAUGUUUGAAUUGCCUGAAUCCACUACGUACCAUCUUGCAUAUAUAGCUUCCAAAAACUAAGGCUCAACCAUCAUUUAUUCCUUUACUAGAAGAGAUGAAAUUUAUGAGAAGUCUUCGGCACAUCUUCCUUACUAACUAUGGUUGUUUGGACCACAUGCCACAAGGUAUUGGUUAAUUGAAUUCUCCGACCACAUUGAUGAAUUAUGUCAUUGAUAGUGAUUCGGGUUAUGGGAAUUGAUCAACAUGAAAAUUUGAGUCUAGGUGGUGCUCUUUCUUUUACUCAAUUGAUAAAGGUGAGUAGUGCAAAAAAGUGUUAAACAAGGCAAUAUGUCCACCAAAGCAUAAGUUGAAAUGAUUAUCACUCGAUUUGUACUGGGAUUAUAGAAGAAACUAUGGAGAUAAAGUACAUAAUAAUGCGAAAGGAAUAUUACAAGCCCUUCACCCUAAAAAAGGAUUAAAUUUUUAUUGUUAAUUAUGUUGUUAUACUGGAGCUAAAUUAUCAUCGUGGAUGCAAAACUCUACACUGUUCAAACACCUCCCUGAUUGCUAUUCAAGUAGAUGCAAGAACGGCAAGGAUCCCCACCAUUAUGGCAGCUUCCUUGCAUCAAGUAGUGGCGUUUGGAAUGCUUGAUGUGUAUAUGUGUUUGUAAUAAUGAUAAAAAAUGUGAGGAAUCCUGUAUUUCUCCACAAUCAUUCUUCCCAAAACUAGAAAACCUAAUAGAUAGCAACAUUCCAAAGCUACAGAGAUGGCACCAUGAGGUUGUGAUACGUCUCCAACGUAUCUAUAAUUUUUGAUUGUUCCAUGCUAUUAUAUUAUCUGUUUUGGAUGUUUAAUGGGCUUUAAUAUGCUCUUUUAUAUUAUUUUUGGGACUAACCUAUUAACCGAAGGCCCAGUGCAAAUUGCUGUUUUUUUUUGCCUAUUUCAGUGUUUCGCAGAAAAGGUUAUCAAAUGGAACGAAACCUUCGCGAGGAUCUUUCUUGGAACAAACGCAACCCAAGAGACUUGGAGUGGAAGUCAAGGAAGAAACGAGGCAGCCACGAGGCAGGAGGGCGCCCCCCCACCCUCGUGGGCCCCUCAUAGCUCCACCGACCUACUUCUUUCGCCUAUAUAUACUCUUAUACCCUGAAAACAUCGAGGGGAUCCACGAAACCACUUUUCCACUGCCGCAACCUUCUGUACCCGUGAGAUCCCAUCUUGGGGCCUUUUCCGGUGAUCGUCCAGAGGGGAUUCGAUCACGGAGGGCUUCUACAUCAACACCAUAGCCUCUCCGAUGAUGUGUGAGUAGUUUACCAUAGACCUUCGGGUCCAUAGUUAUUAGCUAGAUGGCUUCUUCUCUCUCUUUGGUUCUCAAUACAAAGUUCUCCUCGAUUUUCUUGGAGAUCUAUUCGAUGAAAAACCUUUUGCGGUGUUUUUGCCGAGAUCCAAUGAAUUGUGGGUCUAUGAUCAAGAUUAUCUAUGAAAAAUAUUUGGUUCUUCUCUGAAUUCUUAUAUGCAUGAUUUAAUAUCUUUGCAAGUCUCUUCGAAUUAUCGGUUUAGUUUGGCCUACUAGAUUGAUCUUUCUUGCAAUGGGAAAAGUGCUUAGCUUUGGGUUCAAUCUUGCGGUGCUCGAUCCCAGUGACAGAAAGGGAAACGACAUGUGUUGUAUUGUUGCCAUCGAGGAUAAAAAUAUGGGGUUUAUAUCAUAUUGCUUGAGUUUAUCCCUCUACAUCAUGUCAUCUUGCCUAAUGCGUUACUCUAUUCUUAUGAACUUAAUACUCUAGAUGCAUGCUCGAUAGCGGUCGAUGUGUGGAGUAAUAGUAGUAGAUGCAGAAUCGUUUCGGUCUACUUGUCACGGACGUGAUGCCUAUGUUCAUGAUCAUUCCUAGAUAUUCUCAUAACUAUGUGCUUUUCUAUCAAUUGCUCAACAGUAAUUUGUUCACCCACCGUAAUAUAUGCUAUCUUGAGAGAAGCCACUAGUGAAACCUAUGGCCCCCGGGUCUACUUUACAUCAUAUAAGUUUCCGAUCUACAAUUCUAGUUUACUAUUUAUUUUCAAUCUUUACUUUUCCAAUCUAUACAACAAAAAUACCAAAAAUAUUUAUCUUAUUAUCUUUAUCAGGUCUCACUUUUGCAAGUGGCCGUGAAGGGAUUGACAACCCUUUUAUCGCAUUGGUUGCAAGGUUCUUGAUUGUUUGUGCAUGUACUAGGAGAUUUGUGUGUAGUCUCCUACUGGAUUGAUACCUUGGUUCUCAAAAACUAAGAGAAAUAAUUACACUACUUUGUUGCAUCACCCUUUCUUGUUCAAGGGAAAACCAAUGUAUGCUCAAGAGGUUGCAGGAGAAGUAACAGAUGUAGCAUUCCUUUAGCUCAAGAUGUUAAAUAUUCGUAAUUACUCAGUGCGAGAAAGUACACCUCAGAUGCUCCCUUUGGUUGAAGAUCUAUAGGUGUUUGGAAAAAACAUUUUUCCAAUUUACCAUUAGAUGAAUUUGUGAGUGCAAUCUAAUCUUGAGUGCGAAGGUAUAUUUUGUGGAACCUACAGUCGAUUGUCUGCUUACUGAUGACCUUCAUAUCCCAAGUCAUGGAGACUAACAUGUCACUAAUGCUCAUAGGUCUGACAAAAAAAUGUGGAAUUCUUUGAAGAAGAGCUUAACAGAAUAUGCAAAGGUGGAGAUAAUAGAUCGUGACUGUGUAGUUGCUUGUUUGAUGCUAUGUGAUUCAUUUGGUUAGGUUGCUUGUUUUGAGGGCUCAUAUUAUCAAACUUGUUGAACAACCACUGCAGAUGCUUUGAUUUCUUUUAUUUGGAAAUUGUUAAUUAUUGAAUGUUGAGCAUCAAAGAAAAUUGACCGAGUACAAAAAAAUAGGGGGGGGGGAGGAGGUGGCGAACGUGUCCGUGCUCUAGCACCCUCCCGGUUGUCCACGAACAUGUUCAGACAUGCGUCCAUGGAUGUUUGACGGUGUUCAUUUGAUGAAUAGAAAAGUGUAGGAUAUGCCCUUUGUCUUCAAGGCAACUUUUAAUGCUUAAAAAUUGACUUUGAUUUUUAGAAGGGACAUAGGUUUAUUGUAAAGGUCUAUCCUCUUUAUAAUAGUUGAUUUAGGAAUAAUUAUUUCCAACCUAGUACAUAUUGAUAAUUUGUUUGAAGGUUACACGAGUAAAUUGAAAUUGAGAAACUAUUUGAAAGUUUUGUGCAUAUAUUUUUGAAACUCAGAAGUUGCAACAAUGUGUUGCGGAAUCAAUGACUUGAUGAGGGGCAAAUUGAUCAAUCCUGAAAGCCAUGUAGAAAUAUCAAAUCGGUUAUACCAAAGUAUGUAUAGAACACAUCAAUCUAGAUUUGACAUAUCAAUGCGAGGGGAUACAAACUUAGUAUCAACAUAUCUUUUUGCAUUCACUGGACACUAUUCUUUUGGAUAUCCAUGAUCAAGAUAUGUUGCAUUAAAGAAAUGGUGGAAGUCAGAUGUGUAGUAUCAACAUCAUUAAUAAAGGAUAUCCAAAUUGAGUAUAUACAUAUUUGUAUAUAGAUUUGACACUAAUCAUAUGCAUAUCCAUGACGCAACUUGCAAACUUCAUUUAUGAAACCCAACUAUACGCAUUAUAAAUAAACAUCAACCUCCCAUACAUCAUAUCCCUCCAACUCCUCACCCCCCCCCCCACGCAAAUAUCCAUGCACAUAUUAGAUAUCAUUAAAAAGGAGAUCAAAACUGAGCACUCAAAUAUUUAUGCACAGAUUAACCAAUAAUAAUAGGCAUAUCCAUGACCAAGCUCCAUACUGCAUUUAUGAACCCCACUAUACACAUUAUAAAUAAAUCUCAACCUCUCAUACAUCAUAUCCAACCAUUUUCCCCCUACACAACCAUCUAUAUCCAUUUAUCCCCACCUCUCUAGGUUGUAGUACAAUUCAACGCUUCUAACAAGCCUUGCAACAAUAUAUAUAUGGCACGAACACAGAUGGACACCAUCAUCUUUUCCGCCAUUGUCUUCAUGUUGCUUUUCGUGACCACGACGGCUCAAGCCAGUGGAUCUGGUGGUGCCAAGCCCAAGGCGACCGACCUCGUGAUAGAAGUGUGCAAGAACGCCACAUUAAACAACGCAAAUGUGGAUCCUCUCAGAGAGGAAUUCUGUUUAACGACCCUCUAGUCAGACAAUCGAAGCGCUGAGGCUAAGGAACUCCGUGACUUGCUGCAAGUCACCGUCGACAUCCUUAGGGGUCGAGUCACUACUACCAGCAGCAAGGUCAAGAAAAUGUUGGAAAACACCAAGAAGGGCACGGUGCCAAUGCGCGUCUUCAGUUUGUGUGAGGUGGAUUAUGACACCAUGGUGAGCGUCAUCAACAUAUGUGAUGCCAUUAUCAAGGAUUACCAACGUGACGAGGGCAGGCAAUGGUCCAAAGAGCUAGUCCGUUGGAUGGAUAUGGCACGUGAUCAUGUCAAUGAGUGCAUCUCUGAGCUUGUUGACAUGCCUGCAGUGGGGGCUCUUGUCAAUGAAAACAAUGAAUUGGGAAUGCUGGUUAAACUGAACACCGCCUUGGUAGCAGCCCGUAUGUUUCCCGAGUAAUAGGAUGUUUGUGUUUAUAUGGCAGAAAAUAUGUCGAUGAGAAAUAAAUUGUACUAUUAAUAGUUAUUACUAUAAAUAUAAUGAUAAAUGUGUUGUGGCAUCAAUAUGCAUGGUUUUCCACAAAUUUUUCAUUUUGCUAUGAUAAUUCUAGAUUUUUUGGGGCCCAUUCGUCUUUCUUUCUUCAAAGUCUUACAAUAAUGACAUCUAUCACUCGUUGUGGAACCUCUCUUUUAAAUUGGCUCUUGAAAUCCGAUUGUCAGUAUUUUUUUAAUAUACCAUUGUUAGUAUGUUAUUCUGAUGUGUUGAACUUAUCUAUCUCCCAAGUUAUCUCUAUGCGUGAAUAUUUUCAAGUAUGAAGAGCCAAGGUCAAUGUAACAGCGCAAACAAUUGCAACCACCCGUUUAGCCAACAGGCUACUACCAUCUACGUGUCAAUCCUUAUCUUUACAUAAUAUAAUAAUAAAGAACGGAGGCUUUCAUAUUGUCCAUCACUCAUCUGUUUAUAUCGAUCGAUUUUAUGUUAACCAUAAAAAUUAACGGCUGGGAUUUAAAAAUAAAUCAACACACAUGUAAUAAGAAAAGCAAACAAACAAACGCUAUGGAACAAAGUAAAAAAAGUCAUGAACGUUGCACGUCUCUCUUGACGAUGAGAAAAAGGAAAACAAUCAUAUAUAUCAGAUCAAUUUCCUGACAAUCCCUCUUUGGCACUGCAAGCGCCGGUUAUAACUGUUUUGUGCAAACCGGCGCCUGCAGCCCACAUCCCUCUAAUGCGACUGGGCCGGUCCAUGUAUCUGCUUUUAUAUUUUUUUCUAAAGGUUCAGAAAAUGUGUGUCCGCACGAAAUUGAACUCAAGAUCUGCUCUAGUAAAUUAGCACCGCAACCAUCAGGCCACAAAAUAUCGCGGUAACUCCUCCGUUUGGGAAUCUUCCAGAACCUUCCCUAAACCGUUUUUUGGUUCGUUGGUCAUUUCCAGGUGCGAUUUUACUCGGUUUUCUUUUGUUCUUUUCCUUUUAUUUCUUAAAUGCGUUUUUUUAUCGUGUUAUUUUUCAAAAUCAAUCAUGUUUUUCUCUUUCACGUAUUUAACAAAAUCAAUGAACUUUUUUCCAAAUUCGAUGAACCUUUUUAAAAAUUGAUGAACUUUUUUGAAAUACGAGUAACUUUGUUCAAAUCUGAUGAACUUUUUUUUCAAAAUUGAUUCUACAACUAUCGCUAAUGCAUAGUGAUAAAGUAAGUCAAUUACAUGGCAUUUGCAUCUCAUACAAUAAAGCGACAACCAUAAGGCAACUGCCAGUUGCCGAUAACUUUUACAAAACAUGAUCAUCUCAUACAAUAACGUAUAUCACAUCAUGUCUUGACCAUAUCACAUCACAACAUGCCCUGCAAAAACAAGUUAGACAUCCUCUACUUUGAUGUUGCAAGUUUUACGUGGCUGCUACGGGCUUCUAGCAAGAAACAUUCUUAACUACGCAUCAAAACCACAACGGUGAUUUAUCAAGUUUGUUGUUUUAGCCUUCAACAAGGACCGGACGCAGUCAAAUUCGAUUCAACAAAAGUGGGAGAAACAGACACCCACCAGCCACCUUUAUGCAAAACUAGUUGCAUGUCUGUCGGUGGAACAGGUCUCAUGAACGUGGUCAUGUAAGGUUGGUACGGGCCGCUUCAUCCAACAAUACCGCCGAAUCAAAAUAAGACAUUGGUGGUAAGCAUAGACCUGGCUUGGAUGCCACUGUUGGUGCAAUUUCAAAAAAAAUCCUACGCUCACGUAAGAUCUAUCUAGGAGAUGUAUAGCAACAAGAGGGGGAGAGUGUGUCCACGUACCCUCGUAGACCAAAAGCAGAAUCAUUUUGACAAUGUGGUUGAUGUAGUCGAACUUCUUCUCGUUCCGACCGAUUAAACACCGAACGUACGGCACCUCCGAGUUCUGCACACGUUUAGCUCAAUGACGUCCCUCGAGCUCUUGAUCCAACAGAUUGUCGAGGGAGAGUUUCGUCAGCACAAUGGCGUGGUGAUGGUGAUGGUGAAGUGAUCCGCACAGGGCUUCGCCUAAGCACUAUGACAACUAGUCGUCUACCCGUGCGUUCGCACGGGCUAUAGAAAUUAUAUAUUUACAAAAUCUUCACAAUACAUAUUCUAAGGACAAUGGUGAUUGAUAUUAGAUGACAUUUCAUUUUCCUAUCCUCACUGUAAUGGAUGAGCCCAAAAUUAGAAAGAUAACAAUACAUGCCAUAGCAUUAAUAAUUAACAUAGAGAACCUUUUGUUGUAUAAAUCAUUCUUAGAUUCUCGUUGACAACCUUGAAUCAUAAGAACUGGCCAAAUUAUGUCUCUGUAUAACUUGUGUUGGUAUAUUUUAGUUAGAAAUCAAUAAUACUUUUGCUAAUAUUUGACCUGAAAAUGAGAAUGUUUUUUAUAAUUUAUACCACGAUGUAUGUCAGGAAGAACCUAUAAAUAUAAUAAAGUGGUGUUGUCUAUGUAAAAAAAGUCUCGCAUAAAUUUGAAUAUAAAGACAUUAUUUUGUUUGUUCUUGGAAUUAUUAUAUCCUCGAGUAAUAUUGUAUGAAUAAAUAUAUGACAACCCAAUUGUAUAGUUGGAUUAUUUUUAAUAUGCAGAACUCCAAAGCACGGAAGGUUCAUAUUAGAAUUUUUAAUGCAUGUAAUGUAUCAAAUUCUGAAGUAGAUUUGAAAGUCUGAUAUCAUAAUACAUUUCACAAUGACUCCAAAAAAGAUUUUGGUUGAUGGCUUGCGUGAAAUUUGUUUCAUUAGAUUUUUCACAUGAAAUAUGUUCAGAGUAUUACUCUUUGAACUUGUUGUGUUUGCAUGUUCGAGCAAAAAAUAAUUAUCAAGUUUAAUAGUAAGAAACUUAAAAUGAUUAGAAACUUUAAAUAGUAUUGGGACUCAUAGAGUGCAAUUUUUAAAUGUUACCAGUUCCUCUCAUCAUGGGCGUAGUCAAUUGGAACACUUGGUUUGUUUUUCCUGUUUGCAGUUGAGAAGGUGAAUCUUACUGACUACAUAUAAUGUAUUGAUUUCUACUCCAGCACGUACGCCAUGACAAACUUGUACCUGCUGCGAGGCCCUCUCGAGCAAUCGAUACAUACAUAUGUUAGUGCGUAUACUUUCUUUUAAUGUAUAUACUUGUCUUUGCUAUAGCCUUCUUCCUACAUCUGCGAGUAAGCAGCAACCUGUUUUUUUAAUAAUUGUCACCUUGAACAUGGCACACAUGAACCCUAUAUUCCUCCAUUGCCGAACCAUCUAAAACAACUAACUUUUCCUUACUCACUGACACACGGUUUUAAGCAUCAUCCCAUACUGUUCAUUUUUCAUAUUCUAAUAUGUUUUCCAAACUGAGAAAAUGAUACAACCAAUCAUAUCUAGCGAAAUUGUUCUGCAACUUUCUUGCUGUAAGCAUGAUAUAAUUCUUCCUUGAAAUUGAUGGGAAAUAGGCUAAAGGGUAAUCUGUUUCUAUUAAAAACUACAACGCAGAAUCAGGUUUUUCGUCUUAGUUUGCAAACCCUAAACAAGAAUCGAACGAAAUUGGUACCACUGGAAAGCUUGCAACGUAUCCCAUAACUUUUACCACUGUCUUAAUUUCAGAUUAUGCAAUGUUUUAUCACAGUUUUAAACUUAACUCUACCGGCUCAGACAACCCAUGCCUAGAUAAAUACUUAGCGUCAGUCUCUCCAAUCCAUCUUUCUACUUUGCCAAUAAUGACUAAUUAGGGUUUACCUUUUCUGUGUGGAAUCAUUCUUCCAGUUCCAUGGCAAGAUCACAAAUUUUGGACGACCCAACGGAUUCUCCUUCCUCCAGAGUCUUCUUCUCCGCUCAGAUUGGCUACUGCGCCUUACUCUUCUGAUUACAUGUAUUCCCUUCUCUCUUCUGACUAAAUUCUCCCUGGUGCAAUAUGUGCAGUCUACUGCCUUGAGCUGCUCCUUGUCAUAGCUUGCUCUGCACUCCAGAUCUCUUGCUCUGAUUGGUGGCUGGAUCAAAUGCAACCCACCCAACAGUAGUUAGCUCAACAUAAGCGGCUUCAAAAAAACGCAAGGAGCAGCACAUAAACGUAAAGGUCGACGACUGAAAAUGGCAACACCAUCCUAGAGCAGUGGAGCUCACGGCUAUACGUAGAACUUGGUGGUGGUAGUCAUGAACAGCGACCAGCACCAGCCUCCGGUAGAAGGGGGCAGUUCAUCCAUGUGCUUGAGUGUUGACGGCUGGCCAUAUUGUGAACGACAGAGUCGUCAAUUCUGACUAAGUGUAGUCUCAUGCUGAUUCUCUACUGCCGCAUAGGCAUGUCCGGCGGUGGCCAGCGUGACUGCAUGCUGGGUCAUCGAUCAAUGAUCCGGGCAAUUCAAUUGUAAACCCCAAAAAAGCAAAUUCAAAGCAAAUCAGUGUGAGAUGAGGAACCUGAUUUAGAUAAGGAACAAAAUUCUAAUGUGAUAACUUCAGCGAGAGCUUGGGAUCCAUGCCCUAACAUCCUUGCUCCAAUUUGAGAGAGAGAACGAUCUGUUUACCAUGUGUGAAGUAAAGAGAGACAUGAGAGAAGAGAUAUAUGAGAGUUUGAGAGAGGGAGAAACGGGAUAGAUUGAGAGAGAUAGACGAAGAUAAAUAUGACAGUUUGAGAGAGAGAAAGAGACGUGAGGGACUAAGAGAGAGAGAGUUUGAGAGAGGGACGUCAGAGAUUGUGAGAGACCACGAUUUCUUAGGUUGUUGUUUUUCUUUUACUCUGAGAGGAAUAGAAAGAGGUAGAUAUUUUAUGGUUUACUAUUCAAAAGUUUUUUUGGCAGAACUAAGCUGCCUGAAUGGUCAAAAAAAAUAUUGUUCUCUGAAGAUUAAUCUACACCGUAAUAACUCGGUCCCACCAGAUGAACGGCUGGUAAAUUCUAAUUAACGUGGUAAUUUUUAGGGAGUCUGUAAUUAAUAUAAGUAUAGAUAUAGAUAUAGAUAGAUAGAUAGAUAUAGAUAGAUAGAUAUAGAUAGAUAGAUAUAGAUAUAGAUAGAUAGAUAGAUAGAUAGAUAGAUAGAUAUAGAUAGAUAGAUAUGACUGAAGGCGUAAACUGUGGAGGGGCGCCGCACACGGCUAGGAAUCAAUGUUGUGUGUUCUAGAGAUGCCCCUCCCACAUAUAUAUUAGGUGGGAGAGGGAGGGGAGCAGCAAGGGGCGCCUCCUCCAAGUCGCCCCCCCCUCCCUUUCAUAAGUGUUGGAGGCUGAAUCCUCCCCUUUCCUUCUCCCUUCCCUCCUUUCCUUCUUCUCCUAUUUUGGUCUACAUGGGGCGCACCAGCCCACUAGGGGCUGGUCUGUCCCCUGCUUGGCCCAUUAGGCCCAUGUAGUUGCCGGGGGAUGUCCGGAACCCCUUCCGUUGACCCGAUAUGUACCAGGAACCCUCGGAACACUUCCAGUGUCCAAAUACCAUCGUCCUAUAUAUGAAUCUUUACCUAUCGACCAUUUUGAGACUCCUCGUCAUGUCCGUGAUCUCAUCCGGGACUCCGAACAACAUUCGGUCACCAAAUCGCAUAACUCAUAUAAUACAAAAUCGUCAUCAAACGUUAAGUGUGCGGACCCUACGGGUUCGAGAACUAUGUAGACAUGACUAAGACACCUCUCCGGUCAAUAACCAACAGCGGAAACUGGAUGCUCAUAUUGGUUCCUACAUAUUCUACGAAGAUCUUUAUCGGUCGUACCGUAAUGACAACAUACGUUAUUCCCUUUGUCAUUGGUAUGUUACUUGCCCGAGAUUCGAUCGUCGAUAUCUUCAUACCUAUUUCAAUAUCGUUACCGGCAAGUCUCUUCACUCGUUCCAUAAUACAUCAUCCCAAAAUUAACUCAUUAGUCACAUUGCUUUCAAGGCUUAUUAUGAUGUGCAUUACCGAGAGGGCCCAGAGAUACCUCACCGAUACUCGGAGUGACAAAUCCUAAUCUCAAUCUAUGCCAACCCAACAAACACCUUCGGAGAUACCUGUAGAGCAUCUUUAUAAUCACCCAGUUCCGUUGUGACGUUUGAUAGUACACAAGGCAUUACUCCGGUAUCCGAGAGUUGCAUAAUCUCAUAGUCAAAGGAACAUGUCUAUGACAUGAAGAAAGCUGUAGCAAUAAAACUGAACGAUCAAUAUGCUAAGCUAACCGAUGGGUCUUUUCCAUCACAUCAUUCUCCUAAUGAUGUGAUCCCGUCCAUCAAAUGACAACACAUGUCUAUGGUUAGGAAACUCAACCAUCUUUGAUUAACGAGCUAGUCUAGUAGAGGCUUACUAGGGAAACUGUGUUUUGUCUAUGUAUCCACACAUGUAUCUAGUUUCCGGUUAAUACAAUUCUAGCAUGAAUAAUAAACAUGUAUCAUGAUAUAAGGAAAUAUAAAUAAGAACUUUAUUAUUGCCUCUAGGGCAUAUUUCCUUCACUAAGAGAGGAAGGCGGUUGUCGCCCUUGUCCCUUGUUACCAGCCUACCAUGCCGUCAUCGAUCACUGGCUCACUUAGAACACGAGCUAGUAGAUUUUGUGAUAAGAGUGAGGAGGAUGGUACCGUAGAAAAUGUGAAAAAUUGUAUUUUAUUAGAGAUGGAUUCAAAACAAAUUGCUUGAGCGAGUGGUUUAUAUAUUUUCUUCAUCAAUUCGUACAAUUUUUUGGUUAGGAUAGAGGGGUAAAUGCAUUGGUUGGGUGCUUCAAGAUUUAAUAACGGACACAGUGGCAUAUUGGUUUCAUGCCAAACAACCGACAUCAUAUUUUUCUUUUGUCGUAAGGUACGACAUUCAACUGUAUGUUGGCAAUGUCUAAGGACAAUCAUAUCUGCCUUCUUGGGCGUCACGGGAGGCACAUGCCUUGUUCCCUUGAUGGAGGUGGCAGAUGGCAUGAUCACGGGGGGAGGGGAUCAGGGCAGAGAGCGGGGCGGUUGGCAGGUGAUAACCCACAAGUAUAGGGGAUCACAACAGUUUUCGAGGGUAGAGUAUUCAACCCAAAUUUACUGAUUCGACACAAGGAGAGCCAAAGAAUAUUCUCAAGUAUUAGCAGUUGAUUUGUCAAUUCAUCCACACCUGUAAGACUUCAUAUCUGCAGCAAAUUAUUUAGUAGCAAAGUAGUAUGGAAGUAACGGUAACGGUGGUAAAAGUAACAGUAACAGUUCUGUAGUAAUUGUAACAGUGGCAAUGGUAAAGUAACUAAGCAAAGAUCAAUAUGUGAAAAGCUCGUAGGCAUUGGAUCAAUGAUGGAUAAUUAUGUCGGAUGUGAUUCCUCAUGCAACAGUUAUAACAUAGGGUGACACAGAACUAGCUCCAGUUCAUCAAUGUAAUGUAGGCAUGUAUUUCGAAUAUAGUCAUACGUGCUUAUGGAAAAGAACUUGCAUGACAUCUUUUGUCUUACCCUCCCGUGGCAGGGGGUCCUGUUGGAAACUAAGGGAUAUUAAGGCCUCCUUUUAAUAGAGUACCGGACAAAAGCAUUAACACUUAGUGAAUACAUGAACUCCUCAAACUAUGGUAAUCACCGGGAGUGGUCCCGAUUAUUGUCACUUCGGGGUUACCGGAUCAUAACACAUAGUAGGUGACUAUUGACUUGCAAGAUAGGAUCAAGAACUCACAUAUAUUCAUGAAAACAUAAUAGGUUCAGAUAUGAAAUCAUGGCACUCGGGCCCUAGUGACAAGCAUUAAGCAUAGCAAAGUCAUAGCAACAUCAAUCUCAGAACAUAAUGGAUACUAGGGAUCAAACCCUAACAAAAAUAACUCGAUUACAUGGUAAAUCUCAUCCAACCCAUCACCGUCCAGCAUGCCUAUGAUGGAAUUACUCACGCACGGCGGUGAGCAUCAUGAAAUUGGUGAUGGAGGAAGGUUGAUGAUGACGAUGGCGACGGAUUCCCCUCUCUGGUGCCCCAAACGGACUCCAGAUCAUCCCUCCCGAGAGAGAUUAGGGCUUGGCGGCGGCUCCGUAUCGUAAAACGCGAUGAAUUCUUAUCUCUGAUUUUUUUCUCCCCGAGCGUGAAUAUAUACAGUUGGAGUUGAGGUCGGUGGAGCUUCAGGGGGCCCACGAGGCAAGGGGGCGCGCCCCCCACCCUCGUGGACAGGGUGUGGGCCCCUUGGUGUUGAUUCAUUCGCCAGUAUUUUUUAUAUAUUCCAAAAUAUUCUCCGUGAAGUUUCAGGUCAUUCCGAGAACUUCUAUUUCUGCACAAAAAUAACACCAUGGCAAUUCUACUGAAAACAGGGUCAGUCCGGAUUAGUUCCAUUCAAAUCAUGCAAGUUAGAGUCCAAAACAAGGGCAAAAGUGUUUGGAAAAGUAGAUAUGAUGGAGACAUAUUAGUAGGGGAUUCCUCCUUGAUGGUCCAUGGGGUUGUAUGUUGUGAAGGAGAAAGGAGACUACAGCGAAGGUCAAGUGAGCGUCAUCAGAUUUUAAUGUAGAGAGCACCAACGACAAAUUCCCGUUUAUGGCGGAAAAUUGAGCGAGAAGGGGACGUUCCGGUAGGAAAAGGGAAGGGUGCAUCGUCGAGUGGAGUUUUUGUGUUGGAACCGCGUGUUGGAGAUGAUGGAGGAUAAUAUGGAAAACCACAUAUCUUCCUCACAUAUAGGUUGGAUUUUGGUGAUCCCAGACUAUCUGAAUGGUUGGAUUUUCAGGAGCCUUUUAGGCGCCUAUCUGAUGUUCGAACACUCUCGGACAUAUGAGAGAGAAAUGGGCUUCAACCUUGGAGAUGAUCUUAAUCAUUUGUCUUGUCUAAUUCAUUUUUAUAUAUUAUAGCCUGUAGCAACACACGGGCAUUCCACUAGUAUUAAUUAGUGCUCUGGAAGACACCCGUUAAGAUGUGCUUCCAACACUCGAAGUGGGGGAUGUGUCCAAAUUAUGUCUUGACCGAAAUGCGCCCUGCAUCAAGAGUCAGUUGUCUAGCUGUAUGCCCUAUUCGCCACGCGGAGUUUCCUCGGUAAUUAAGGUAAAUCAAACAAAAUCAUUGGACAUUUAAUGACUACACCUUAUGCAUCCCCAGAGAUUGGAUCCACCCUACCAUACUAAGCCCUUCUAUCACUCGUGUUCAGAAUUGCACUUCACGUUGUCCCGUGUCCUAACCUCCACUUGGACCGAACUCCAGGAUCCAUGCAACCUGUAGGGCCGAAGAACGAGGUUGGGGGAGAGAGAGAGAAGAGACUACUAUGAUGUAAUUUUAUUUUAUAUAUACAUGACGUCCAUUCAAAGUCAUUCCAUCAACCCCUCAAACAAAUACAUCAGGUUGCAGGGACAUUGGACAUUGCCUUACCGAAUUACUCACACAUGGCGAUCGGAUCGCAAGAAGUAAUCAGUGAAGAAGACAUCGGAUCAGAUCACAAAACAAAGAGAGGAUUUCACAAUCCCUUGCAUUCAUCAGUCAUUAGUGGCAAUAUCAAUGGGAGUAUCAUAGAUUUUAUAAGAUAAACAUGUUUAGACUAUGGCAUGAUGAGCAUAAAAGUAACACACGUCAACUCUUCAAGAUUAAACUUGAUCAUCCUCUAGUAACAUAGAUAGAAAUCCAAACCGUAAGGAACUAGGUUGUUUAAUGCCUAGAUAGACCUCCGCUUCUUCACAUGAAAAGUUAGUAUAGCUGUAGCGGUGACAUGGUUAUUAUGCAAGUGUUAUUGAAGCAAAGAUAAUCAACACAAAGCUCUUGCUCACCUAGAAAAAAUAAAAAGUAGCUUUUAUUCUAUUUAAUCUAGUUAACACUUGCUUGCGGGGAACACAUGGAAGAGAAUUUUCUUUCUUGAGCAAUGAAAACAUAAAUUAAGGGAGUGAAAGUUAUGAAAACACAACAUGAUACUAGAGUAACUCAUUAACACCCACGAGUGUCUCAUCAUUAAUUCUCGCAAGGACUUCGCUUCAAUCAUUGCUUGCUGAAACUUUUCUUGUCUAGUGACGAGAUUAUGCCAAAGAAAUUAUUCAUGCAUAAGGUUUCGCAGAGGCUUAAGCUUGAGUACUAUUGAUGAGUCCAAAUUGUGUGAUUAUUUCUACGAGUAUUUUGUGCCAACUCCAUAGGCUUUGUGGAAUGUUACUGCGUUCACACACUAUUUUUGUCAUUUUUCCCCAGGACACUUCUUUUGGAACAAAUGGAAAACUAUGGUAGGAAUCACAUGAUAUUAUGGUGGAAUCACAUAAAUCAAUGUGAUUAUACCUUACCAUAAAUAGAAUAAAAUACUUAAAGGAAAUUGGAUCUGGCGCAGUCCAACAAAGUGCAACACGGGCAACCAUACGAGCGCACGUGCUCGUGCAUGCAGCCGUAUGGCAUGCUGGUAGCUCCCUCCCGUCGACUACUUCUUCCCUAUGGAUAAAGAUCGCCGAAUAGACACACACACACACACACACACAUACACACAACCACCAGAAACACAUCCAGGAGGAGAACCCUAACUUUUUGAACCCAUCCAGAGGGGAAUUGGUAAGGAGGAGAUCGCCAUCUUCACCACCAGGUGCAAGGGGACGUUGGCAUCAUCACCACUGUCAUCAUCAUCAUAAUCCACAUCAAUCUUCAUCUCGUUGUAAUAUCAGAACUCUAGUGGAUCAUCAUGCGUGUUACUUGUUUGAUUCAUCCAUGUUUAUCGUGCAUAUUCUGCUUCCCCUAUGUAUGAGUAAACCCCCUAGUUCUUAGGGAUAUGGAUGAAUCUUGGUAUGUAUAGGAGCUGAAACGUUAAUAUGUGAUAUUUUCUGUUGAAUGAUUUAGUUUAAUAGACUUCGUGAAUGUUGUGAAGGCUCCUCCCUCAAAAUUAUCACCGAAAGGUCACAAAGUAUAUUACUGUCGUUUUAAGAGUUAGCGAGUGAAGGUAAUUCGAGGUGACAGCAAAAGCAUUCACCCCUAGGUUUUACAAUUGAUUAGGGAAUUACGGAGAACCUUAGUGAGGCCGCGUCCAUAGAGAGACCCUUAAUUACCGUAGUCGUAACUUGUUGGGGGAGACUACUGUAGUGGCAUGCGUGGCAUGAAGUCUACCUAGAGUAGAAUGUGCUCUGUGCCCGGCUAUGCCCGGUGUAAACGUCAAGAAUGGUGUAAGUACAUCUAGUGCCUCCUUUGUGGUUAUAGACUACUGAAGACAAAUGUGUUAAGAGACUAAUGUGUUUGUGAGUGUACAUAGGUGAAAAGUCACAGAAGAUGUUGUUUAACCAUGAAAGACGACCCCUAAAAAUGUACGUUUAGAUUGAAUAAAUUGGUGCGCCCCUUUGAAGAAAUUGACGUGACGAAUUGGAACGUGAAGAUUUUGUUCCAGUAGUUUCUUUUUUCUUAUAUUGAUUCAUAGGAAACACCAUACUGUUAAAGGGGGUCUAGGUCAUAUGUAUGCGUAUUUCCGAAGUGAUGCUCAACCUACCUAUUUCUUCGAGUGAAGACUAUGAAAAUCUCUUGAAGUGCAGUCGAGUUCCACAACAACAGAGACACAGUUCUUCUGUUCGUUGACGAAAUUGGUCUGAAGGAAGAGUUAGGAUUUCGCCGGUGUGAUUCUCCUACCGUGAGAAAUUUGAGAGUUUAAAUUUCCAACCGUUGCCGGACUAAGGCGGUUCUCGAGUCUAAGCCCGUCAUAAGUGUUGUGGCAACGGAGGUGCAAGAAGUGCUGAAGGUGGGGUACUAUCGAUGUCAUGGUGAGCGGUCUGAGGACCGGCAUGUCAUUCGCCAGUGACAAGAGUUCCGAGGUGGUGUACAAGUCAUCCUUCAUGUGUUUCUUGGUGCAGGUUCGGAGCUAGCAAAAACACAAGGAUGCUGAACAAAAGCACCCCAUCUCAUAUGAGCUGGCGCUAGUCCAGCCUCACCGUGCUGCCGCCACCACCUAUGUUAUUUGGCUUCGCAAUCCCCUCCUCCACGGAGAGAGGCAUGGGUUUACUUGGUGUGGAGUUCGACGUCACCUGCGGCGAGAGUGGAUGUCACAUAACUUUACAAGUGGGAUCCACCAAGAUACAGUGCCAUGUAGGCAAAGUUUGCGGUUACAUGCGAGAAAUGCACCAUAUUAGCCAACUGAUUGUACCAGAAAUCGAUUUCCAUCUUUUGGCAUGAAAAUGAACAUGCAAGCCAAGUUUAGGGACCACGGGUAAAUUCAUCUCUUAAAUAAUACAAAAGGCUUUUUCAUCCUCCCACAUCCUCCCUUUUACUCAUUGGAUAUCCACACACUACAGAGGAGCUUAGUAGCAGCGCUUUUUAUAAGAAAGCGCUGCUGCUAAAGAAUGGUAGCGCUUGUCACCGAAGAGCACUGCUAAUAUCCAUCUAGCAGUAACGCUUUUGUUACAAAAAACGCUACUACUAUAGUUGCCAACGGUUGCAUGGCAGUGUAGGUAUACUAGUAGCGCUCUUAAUUAAAAAGCACUACUGCUAUUGUACAUAGCAAUAGCGUUGUCCUCUGUCGAGCGCUACUGCUAUUUUUUCAGGUGUAUGUGUGGGCUGAUAUAUAACUGUACAACUUUCUCAUGUUGCGAGUGAAAGACAUUGUGAGUUUUCCAUGAUCUUGCUUAAAUACAGGUACGACUACUGAACUGAAAUUAAUCUUAUCGUGCAUAUUCACUUGCAAUUGGUAUUCGUAAAUCUACAACACAUGUCAUUAAUGCAACACAGCUUGAUCAUGGAUAUAAAAAAUGAUUAUUGUUCUUUGUAUGCACAUAUGUAUUGGUGGUUCAUCAAUGCCAUAUGCAUCUUGGCUAUAGAUAUCCAAAUUGUUAGUGUUUUAUCUCCACACAAAUAUGUUGAUCCUCCUAUUGGACAUGCUGGUCUUAGUGCCCUCUCUAUUCACAAAUAUGUUAAUGCUCAGUUUAGAUCUUCUCGUAUUAAUACACUUCUAGCUUCUAUUGGAUGGUGAAUGCAACAUUUCAUUUGUAUUAAUAUGUCUACUUGUUAUUGCGGGGAAUAUUAAUAUGUCUAAUGUAGCUUCAUUAAUGCAACUCAACUUGAUCAUGGUUUAAAUGAUCAUUGUUCAUUUUAUGCCCUUGCAAAAAAAAGAAGGGUUCAGUGUAUGUAUAGAUAUAUUGACAUGAUACAUGUUUUAGAUAACCUUGCAUUAAUAUGUCUAAUUUCCAUUUCUGUUCUCUUUCCUCGUUCUACAGAUUUCAUAUUUGUAUUCAUUUUAAGAGUUCUUCAAGAUGCACAUAAUUUAGUCACUGGUUACAAUCUAAAUGUAAGAAAGCACAUAAUCUGUAGAACGUGCAACCUAUGUGUUAUCCAUGUGAUAAAAUUAAAAUCAACAUCCUAGAUCAAAUGUCCAAGUCAACUAAAAAGAGAUUUCCUUACAAGUAAUGUCAAGCCGCAUUUUCAAAUCACAAACAGUUUUGAGCAAUGAAUGAUCUCAAAAAAAAAUCAUCCUGCCUGCCACCGUUUAUCUCUUUGGAUGUCCACAUAUUGUGUUUUUUUUAUGGUGAGCGUCUGUGCCAAUAGAUAAACUAACGAGUUUUUCAUCUUGUGAUCGAGUCAAAGAUAUUCGAUUCUGUGUUUUUCAUGAUCUUGCUUGUACGUACGACCAUGAAACUACUAUUGUUAUCGUGUAUGAAUACUUGCAACAGGGUGCUUCAGCGCCAGCACCGACCAUGGAUGCACAUGAGUAUGCAUGGAUGCGUGCAUGUAACGACCUGAUCGCUCCUGCAGGUGAAAGUACAUGUUUCUCUUAGGUCUGUGCACCAUCAAGGCCUUGAACAGUUCCUUCAUGAGUGUCAAGUGAGACUUCAUGUCUCUAUGGUGAACAGACAAACUUCAGCGGAUAUGUUGCUCUCAUGGCACGGCAAAGACAAGAACAAUAGAUGGACUCUUGCCACUAGUAGUAUUGAUCCACGCUUGACACAUGACUACUCAUGGAGAAGACCCAUUCCUUUAUAACAUUUCCCUUUUAUUCAGUCUGUUUUGGUGAAUCAGCAGUUAGAAGAACUUCUUCUUCUGUUAAAAAUAGGUUUUCUAACCCAAAUUAAAGUUAGAUUUCACAAGGAGUGAACCAGUGACAUUGUUGUAUCCCCUUGAAGCAGAGAAGACAUGGGUGCGACAAUCAUAUUUCCAAUCAUCCAGCUGGUCUUUUACAAGUAUCCCUUCUUGAAUACUCGGUUCAAUAAAUAAGUUGUUCACACUUCACAGCCAUCCAUGUGCAUAUAUAGUAAGUUAAUAACACAAAAUCCGAGUAAAUUUAUGCGACAAUAAGGUUUAUUAUUGUUAUUUCAAAUAACUGAUGCGACAACAAAUAAUAUUAAUCACGGACAUCAUAUGAUAUUAGUAAGGUGUUGUUGAGGAUGAGAAGCAUGUACAACUCCUCGUUUUCUCUGAUGAGCGCCUCCGCACCAGGCAUAUCUGGAAGCUCUAACCAACACAUGAUGAUAGGGUUGUAAUUAAUAUCCACACAGUCGGGCAGAUGCAAGAACUGCUGCCCACUCUUGUCACCUUGGUAGUCCUUGAUCAGGCCGUGGCACACGUUGAGGCGUCUCACCACACCUUCAUACUCCACCUCACAAUAACUGAGAACAUGCAUUGCCACUGUUCCCUUCUUGGCAUCUUGCAGCUUUUGCUUGAUCUUACGACUAGCGGCAGUGACACGGCUCUUAAAGAUGUCGACAGUGACAAGCACUAAGUCACGGAGGUCCUUAGCCUCAGCACUUCGAUUGUCCGACUGAAGGGUGGACAAGCAGAAUUCUUGCGUGAUAGAUUUGUUGUAGGGGUUGUUGAUCGAGGCCUUCUUGCAUGUUUCCACCAUGAGCUUGGUCGCCUUGGGCUUGCCAGUGUCAGAGCCACUAGCAUGAGCGGAAAAAAGGAAGAAGAUGAUGGUGGAGAGGACGAUGGUAGUCCUUGGCAUUGCUACCAUUACUACAGGGCUAGCUAGAAGCCUUGAAGUACUGAAGCGCUGAGAGGGAGGUGGAGAAAAAUAGACAGAGAAGGAUGUGUAUUGCAGAGAUGGAUGGGUGGAUGGAGGUGAUGUACAUGAGGCUGAGAAUUCUUUAUAAUGCCUGCAAUGGGGUAUCAUAAAUGCAGUAUGCAGCUUUGGUCCAGAAUAUGUGUACUAUCGGUGUCCAGUAAAUGUUGAAUGCCCAUUUUGGAUCCCUACAUAUUAAUGCUCUCUCUAUGUUCCACAAAUACACAGAUGCUCACUAUAGAUCGUGUUGUAGUAACACAUAUCUUACUUAUAUGAAUCCAUUAAUGCAACGUAGCUUGAUCAAGGAUAUCCCAAAUGAUUAGUGUGCACCGAAUGCCCAUAGAUAUGUUGAUGCUCAUUUUGGUACGUCUUAUUUGCAUUGGUGUUUUCUAAACAUCAUUUUGUAUAACUGAUUUGUUACUUCUACCUCCCUUUGGGGGACGAUUAUAUUUUCCCUCAUCAAGUCUAUAAUUGCUCAUUUUUUCUUUGCAAUUUUCGAGUAGUUACAAAUAAUUCUCAGGGAGCAGGCACUUAGUUAACUUGGUGACACAAUAAAUAUUUUUGUUAAAAUAUCAAAAUUUUAUAUUUUAAAUUUUUUUAUUUCCAAGUCGAUUAUUGUCUGAUGGGUUGACUUUUACAACAGUUGUAUUCCCCCAGUUAAAAAUCACAACUUAUUUUAGGGAUUAAAUGAUGCCAGCCGGACUAACGUAUCGUUCGUAGGCACUGUCAAAAAAUAAGCAUGUUUACUGCCCACCGCCUAAGAAAAUCAAAACAAAAAUUACCAAUACCAACACGUCACAGUAUGGGUUUAUUCGGUUUCGAUUCUCGUUACUACGUAGUAGGAAGGAAAAAAAAGAGCUAGCGAUCAUAAGGAGGUAACCUGUAUCAUAGGUACAUGAUGCGCACGUACACGCCGGUAUCUUAUAUUUUAUAUUUUAUAUCUUAUAUUUACUAAUUGGAAGCACCUUUCAAGUCUUCUCAUUAAUCAACAUUAUAAAAAUUAAAUACACCGUUGUAGUAUAGAAUUUACGUCUAAGAUGAAAGGAGAACUUACGUAACAUAAACUUGGAAGGGAAAAAGAUAUAGGGAAAGGAGAAUAAAAAUAGAAGUAAAACAAAGAAAAUAAUUUAGAUGGGCCAGCCCAUUAUUGUUUGCCUUGUGCGAAAUUCUGACUAUUUAUGGCGCUGUGCGGAAAAUAGAGUUUUUCCAGCUGCAUGGGCAGAAAAAUAAGUGGGCUGGCUUUGCUGGGCCACCGCGCGUGGCCCACGUACAACAAUUCUUUUUCUAGCAAACAAACGCAUAAGACCUUUGUACCACCUCGGGUAGAAAGAUUGUUUUUUCGACGGUGAACGGAUGAAAAUAUAGGCAAAACGCACCUUGCUUCAUUAGUAGUAGCACAUAUGCCCGUGCAUUGCAACGGGAGAGAUGUUUCUUUGGAGAAGCAAUGGGAGAGAUAAUUGAUGUCUCCACCAAAAAUGAUCUCCAUAACGGUGCGGUUAGUCGGCAUAGCGGCAACCAUACAACUCGUGCAUUUUUUUCCUUUGGGUCAGUCUCUGUCUCGGGGUUGUGUCUGCCUCUACGUUUGGUAGCUAUGCGGCGACCUUUAGAGCACGGUUGCUUCGACCACUCUCUCUUACGAUGGCGUAACCGGAUGAAUUACUAAUUGUAGCGCUUAAAUCCUGUUUCAUUAGCAUAUAUAUUUAGCGCAUAACCAGAUAUCAAUGUCCCUUCUUUAUUAGGGUUUAUUUUCUUUGAUUAUUUUAGGGCUCACGUGCCCACAACUAUUUUAUUCGAGCCAAACCAACAUAUUCUCUUUUAUUGGACCAAGAAAAAAUUGCUCCCUCAGACGACCCAGUAGGGAGUGUGGUUGAGGCCCAAUACAGCCUAUGCGUCGGAGCAAUGUUUUUCUUGGGCCAAGUAUGUGGGGGCUACUAUAUGACGCUAGUUGCGUAAAAUAACGUGUGAGAUGCACAUCAGUUCGUGUAUGGACCAACACACUGGUAGGCGCCAAGACGACCUAUGUUAGGAAGGCACGGAAAAAUCCAAAAAAUAAUGAGUUGAAGGAUCAAAAUCAUGUCCUGAAAGACCCGACUACGUGCUCAUAGCCACUCGAAGAAACGAGUCCUACCAACCAAUGGCCAGCUCAAACCUUUAAUAUCAUACUCCAAUGUGAGAUUGGAUACAAUUUUUUUAACUGUUUAAAACAUAUAAAUUGCUGAAUAUUCCUGAAAACAUGAAUAAUUUUUAAAAUCAUAAACACUUUUUGAAAUUCUUUACAUUUUCAGAAAUACACAACAAAAUUGGAAACCCUCAAAAUUCACAAAUUUAUUUGAAAUCAUAAACCUUUUAUAAUAACGUGAACACGUUUUGAAAAUGCGAUUUCGUUUGAAAAAGAAACAUAUUUUGAACAUUCAAAACAAUUUUUGAAAAUGUGUUUCUAUAAACUUGGACAUUACUUUGAAUUUGCGAACACUUCACUAAAACAAAAAUAUUUUUCAUAUUUGGAACAUUUUCUAAAUGCAUUUUUUUUGGGAAAAUCUCAAACAACUUUGGAAAACACAAAGAAAAAAUGGAACAUUUUUUGAAACCUGAACAAAUUUUGGAAUGAGAACAAAGCACUACUGGGAAGAGGCUAAUUAGUGGCGUACAUAUUUUUGCUAUUAAUGACGCACUAUAGGUGCGCCACUAUUACCACGCCACUAGUAACAAAUAGUAAUAGCGCACCAUUACUAUCACAGAUAGUAAUGGCGCACCUAUAGUGCGCCAUUACUAUGCCUAGAAGGUGCGCCAUUACUAUCUGACUUAGUAAUGGCGCACCACAUAGAAGUGCGUCAUUACUAACAAAAUUUUUUCAUAAAAAAAAUUUCUAAAUUUUUUUCAUAUAUUUUUUCCCUUUUUUUCUUAAUCUCAGGUCAAUAUGCUUAAUCUCAAGUCAAAUCGCACUCCGUGGUCAAACUUGCCGGAAGGUCACCCAUCCUCACACUACUCCGGCCCGAGCACGCUUAACUUCGCAGUUCUAUCCAACCCCAGCACCAGCUUACUUAACAUGCACUUGUUGAUAUAUAUCUAUCAUAUCGAUCCUAUUAAACCUUGUUGAUGUCUAGAACUUUAUUCAUGUUCAUGAGUGUGAUGAAAUUUCAAACUUCCCGGUCCUAUUACGUAUCAUAUUUUGAAAAAAAAUUGAAACCAAUUUUUUUUCUGUUACUAGUGGCGCACCUAGCAAAUGGUGCGCCACUAGCAAGUUUGAUUUUUUUUCUUUUCCCCACUCUAGAUCUUAAAAGCCUCGUAUCUUUCAUUCUGUUAGGUUUUUCGGGAUUCUGAAAAUCUUGUAACUUUUUGAGUAGAUGCUUUUUCAUAUAUAAAACUUUUUAAUCCGAGUUCGUAUGUAAAAGUUAUGCCCAUUUUACUAAAUUCCAGAGAGAUUUUUUAAAUAAAGUCGAAAUUCAUAUUUGUAAAUUUUCCAACAACUAGACCACAUAUCACAUGGGAAAUUUAUUUCCUUUUUUUUUUGACAUUUCCAUCAUUUUCUUUUAUUUUUUCUAAAACUGAAACGGCGGUCCAGAGGGGUGGGGGUGCAAAGAAAGUAAGUAAUGACACACCUUCACAAAGUGCACCAUUAUUAUGUGUAUGACUUGGUCAAACCUUGGUCAAAGAUAGUAAUGGCACACUUUGUGUAGGUGCGUCAUUACUAAGUUUGACAUAGUAAUGGCGCACCUAUGCAAAGUGCGUCAUUACUAAGUUUGAUCAAGGUUUGACCCAGUCAUACACAUAGUAAUGAUGCACUUUGUACAGGUGCGCCAUUACUAUGUCAACUAGUAAUGACGCACUAUCCUCUAGUGCGCCACUGCUAACAAUUUUUUUAUUUUUUUCUUCAAAACUAGUACUAGCGCACCACACACCAGGUGCACCACUAGUAAUAUAUCAAUAAUGACGCACCUGUAUCUGGUGCGCCACUGCAUACAUGGUGCGCCAUUAAUGUCCAAAUUAGCUAUAGCCCUUUUCCUAAUAGUGAAGAUUUAAUGUUCUGAACAUUUUUUGAAAAGGAAUAUAUAUUAAAAUCCCAAACAUUUAAAAAAACGGAUUUGUGUGAUAUUAUGAGUUUUAUUGAAAAUUUUGGUUUUAUGAAUAAAGGGGAGAUAGAGAAAUAAACUUGAAAGGAAAAAAGAAAAAAGAAAAGGAAAGAAAAUAGAAACCAAUGGAGAAAGAAAAGUAGAAACAUAACAUAGAACAAAAAGAAAUGGUUCAACCAAGCUCGAGCGCCUUAUGCGAAUUUGUGACUAUUUUGGAAUGAGAACAAAUAUUUAUAUUAUAAACUUUUUCAAAAAAGAAUAUAUUUAAAGUUCUGAACAUUUUUUUAGAAAAUUGAUUCUUAUGAUAUUAUGAAUGUUUUGAAAAUUUUGAAUUUACAAAAAAAUGGGAGAAAAAUAAACUUGAAAGGAGAAAACACCAAAGAAAAAGUGAAAGAAAUGGAAAAAGAAAAAUAGAAACAUAUUUUAAAGUUCUGAGCAUUUAAAAAAGUCGAUUUUUUAUGAUAUUAUGUAGUUUUUUGACAAUUUUGAAUUUACGAAAAAAGGAGAAAAAGGUAAACUCGAAAGGGAAAAAGACCAAACAAAAGGAGAAAGAAACGGAAAAAGAAAAACAGAAACAUAACACAAAACAAAAAAAGAAUAUAUUUCAGCCCAGCUUGGGCGCCCAGUGCGAAUUUACGACUAUGUAACGCUAAUUGCGAUAAAUAGGGUUUUUCCACCUGCAUGUACACAAAAAUAACUGGGCUGGAUUUCGUGGGCCAAUACUGUGGGCGGCCCAUGUACGAGAUCUGGCGUUUUUCUUUUCUAAUAGACAAACGGACAAAAAAAUUGUACCACCUCGAAUAGAAAAAAAAUCUUUUCAUUGGUGAACGGAUGAAAAAAUCAGAGAAACACACCUUGCUUUAUUAGUAGGUAUAGAGGUAUAGAUAUAGAUAUAGAUAUAGAUAUAGAUAUAGAUAUAGAUAGUAUGGAUAGAAAAAUGAAAUUUUCCAUCCAUGCUAAUCAUAACAUAAAUUGUUUAAGAAUUCGUUGGUACACAUAAAAACAUCUAAUGUGAAUAAUCUAUGGUUCUUAUAGUAUUUGCUAGGAUAUCAUGUAUGUUAACGGAAAGUCAUGCAUGCAUGUGUCCAUUAUUGUGUAUAGAAACAAAGUAUUUAUAAUUCUACCAUUCUUUCGUGGCAAAAACAAGCAUGUAUUCCUUCUUUUAGGUUAACUAAGAAAGGCUACAAUAGAACACUCGACCUUUGUGCCUUUUAGAAACUUCUAGAUCACGAGUGCAUGAUGCACACAAUAACUUUUGCGUUUGUAACCAUGUUUUCUACCAACAUAAAAAAUAUACCCUUAUAUAACCUUCAUAAAGUAGCACAUUCUUAUUUCCACAUAUCUUCUAUAAAUUUGACGUGAUUUUCCAUCACACAGCGAUAUUUUUAUACUUUCGUCACAAAAUUGGACAUAAACAAUCAAUCACAAAAUAGUCAAAGAAAUGUAACUUCAUUGGAUCCAAUGUGCAUGUGUAAUAAUAAUAACCUAUAUCCAAAUGAUUGUUUGAUAUUUAUAAUUUGUCAAAAAUAUGUUAUAUCUGAUAUUACAAUUGCUAGCCCGUGCAGGUGCACGGAUUGACGACUAGUGAUAUGUAGAUAGAAUUAAUUAUGAUUACCAUUCAAUAAUUUUUCUUUAUGGAUAUCCAAAUUUAUGUUUAGAAUCAACAUUUCUACAUCAAUUUUUUCCGGGGAUUUUUUUUACUUAGUAAACAUAUGGAUAUUUAGAAAAAAUUUGUGCUAAUUGUGUGCUCUCCUUAGCCUAUGUUACAAUGCAUGGUUUUCUCGGUUAUUUUAGAAAAUGCAUGUAUUUCUCUAUUGCCAACUUCUCACAGAUGCAGUUAAGUUUCGUAAAAGUUUAGAAUGGCAGCCAACACGAAAAAGGAUAAAAGUAUCAUCAUUUGCACAUUUUUUCACCUUCUUCACUAUCUAUAUUUAUAAGGAUAUUCACUUUGCGAUUUAUGUUUUCCCAAUUUGCUACAAAAGCGCAGAACGAACAUUUUAGAAAAUAAAUGCAAAAUGUGUAAAAUAAAAUGUGUAGGUACAUAAUUAAAAAUCUUGGACGACGAUAACUGCCACACGUGUGGCAUCUAGGGGGUAUGUGCCGCACGCCCCGUGUGGCAUCGACACAGGCCCGCCCGCACGAGCACGUCCGCGCGCACCCCACCACAGCCCGCACGUUCGGUGUGUGGCGCAAUCGCCCGCACUAGCACGUCCGGGCGAGCGACCUCACGGCCCGCACGACCCGUCUCGGCCCUCGCCCCUCCCCGCCUGCGAGCCACACGCCCCGCGUGGCAGUAACCACGCGUCCCGCCGUGAUUGCCAUGGUCCGAACCCUCUUCCAUGUUCGUUUAACUGUAGUUGCCAUGUUGCUGAACUGCAGUUGCCAUGUCUGACAACUACAGUUGCCAUGGUUGCUCAACUGCAGUUGCCAUCUCAGGUCAAGUGUCGGAUGCCAUUUUUGGGCAACUGUAGUUGUUGCCAUGUAUGAUCUGGUCUACUAUAGAUGCCAUGAUUUGAAAACUUUAGGAUUUGCCGCCUACUAACACUAGACAGUUGCCAUGUAGCACUACAAAAACAUGGCAAAAAACAUGUUCGGGUAAAAGAGAGAGUUGCCAUCUGCUUACAAGCACACUAGGGCAGUUACCAUGUACCCUGCAAAAACACAUGGCAAUUGAUAGCUUUUGGUGUGUGGGAGAGGAGACGGGCAUGUGGGCGACGGUGGUAUCUUUAGGAGUUGCCACCUACUAACACUAGACAGUUGCCAUGUAGCGCUACAAAACAGACGUGUCAACAAUAACAUGUUCGGGGUAAAGAGAGUUGCCAUCUGCUUAUAAUCACAAAUAGGGCAGUUGCCACGUACUAGCACUGGACAGUUGCCAUUUAGCGCUACAAAAACAGACGUGGCAACAAUAACAUGUUCAGGGUAAAGAGAGUUGCCAUCUGCUUACAAUCACAAAUAGGGCAGUUGUCAUGUACCUUGCAGAAAACAUGGCAAAUGACAACUUGGUUUGGGAGAGUGGGAAAAAGGGCAGUCAUGGGAGAUGGGGAACAGAAGUCGUGCGCGGCGUGCGGGCGCGACAGCAGUUCCACCGCACGCCCCGACUCGCAACCGGUCUCGUCCGAGGGAGAAACAGCAUGCGGGCGAACUACCUACACACCACACACCGGGCUUGUCCUACGUGGCACACCAAAUCCAUCUUUUGGUGUCAGGAUUCGUGCAAAAAAUAACCAACGACAAUCCAGGCGUGUGGGCGAGUUGAAGACGUUCCACGCGUGUGGGCGUUAAUGUUUCCGAAAAUCUUAUAUCUCCGUCUCAAACAAAAAAAAGCCUCCUUCCAUAAGAAACAGCUCAUACGUGAAACUCUUCUCGCCUAUUAAAAAAAAGGAAAAGCAUCCCUCCCCCAAAAAAAGAGAAAACGUCUCCACUAGCUCCUGUACUUUUUUUAGGCAACCACGUCUCCUCUAUAUGGUCAGAUCUUUCAAGACUUCUUACUAAUCAGAACCACUACGUUGUAAAUUUAUAUCCAAUAAAGAAAACUUGCCGAAUCAUAGAUGGUCUCGUCCAAAAAAAAUGUCAUGUGAUACGUCCAACGUUGUCAAAAAAACAUUCUCCGUUCCUUAAAGAGAAAAGAUAGCGUCCUUAGAAAAGCACUACCAAUAAAAGGAAAAGAAAGACGGAAUCCAAUUGAUGACCGAUGAAACUCCAUAAAUAAAAUCUUCUGUCAAUCGAUUUUAAAAGAAGAAACAUCUGGCUCAGUUCCUCUACAUGGCCGCAUACUCCACUUCCUCUUCAAUCCUGCUCUCCUACAUGUGGCUGGUGGUGGCGAUUUCUCUAACCGAAGGAUAUACCCAACUCGCCAUCACCAUCAAGUGCGCUCUCCCACCAGCAGGGCCAACAACAAACUGCAAAGAAACCUGACGACAGGUGCUGCGAGGUAUGAUGCAAGAUCGACUGCGACCCCAAGCGGCAAUCGAUCUUCCUCAUUGUUAUUGUCACCGCGUCUCCUUCCAUCCACCCCGGGCAUCAAAGUUCACCCUAUUUUAUGAUAAUAAAAAAGUCCAACUACCAAGUACAACCUCUAAUAAGUUCUUCUUGGAUUCAUGCUCCGACAAGACUAUGAUCCAACUAUGAUAAUAAUGGAUUAAGGCACGGAUUGCUAACACUUAUCUGCAUAUAUAGUACGUAUGCAUGUCUUUAUUUUGGUCUUAGAAAAAAGAGAAAAUUAGCUAUUAAAGCAUCUUUAAAUACAUACAAAUUACCGAAGUAACAAGAAAAUAUGGAUGUACCAUGCGCCACGAAGAUCUAAUAGACACACGAUUAUCUAUGUGGUAUAGGUAUGUAUACAGUAUGGAUAGAAAAUAUAAAAAAAUGACAUCCGUAUUAAAAAUAUAAGAAAUUCUUUAAGAAUUUGUUUGUUGAGACUAGAACUUAAAACCGGAAUAAUCUAUGGUGCUUAUAGUAAUGAGAAUAUACUACAAACUUUUGUUUGCCAUCACACAAUGACAAUAUUAAUAAGGUUGUCACACAAUUGGAGGCAAACAAUCAAAUAACAAAAUAGUCCGAAGCAAUGUAACACUGUUGAACCUUAUGUCUAACAAAGAUAAACAUGCAUGUGUGACAACAAUAACCCAUAUCAACAUAUUAUUAUUGUCUGACAUUUCUAAUUUGUAACAACUUUGUUGUAUGCAAUAUUAAAAGUGCUAGCCCGUGCAUGUGCACGGGUUGAUGACUAGUAUAGUAUAACUCUGAGACAUGCCUAUAUAACCUCUUAUUUGCAUACGUUCUUUUAAAACAUAGCAUAGACAAACCACAUUACAUUAUAAUAAUGAAUUUGUUUUUUCUCGGUGACAGGGUAACUGUUAUUUCUAUGUCGACCAGUUGUAGCUUGAAAGAAAGUGUUAUAAAACAAUUAUGUUACUCCCUCCUCCAUAAUCUAGUGCGUAUAGAUUUUUUCUAAAAGUCAAACUUUCCAAACUUUGACCAAGUUUAUUGCAAAAACAAAUUAUAUCUACAAUAGCAAAUAUAUUUAACAUGAAACUACAUCUUAUGGUGAAUCUAAUGAUACACAUUUGUCAUUCUAGAUGUAAAUGUCUUUCUUCACAAAUUUGGUCAAACUUUGUGAGGUUUGACUUUUCAAAUAAAUUAUAUUCACUAUACUACGGAACGGGGGUAGUAUAUUUUAGGUAUAGAAGUUUUCAACACACAUUUUCACAAAUUCUAAGAUUAAAAUUGCAUAUUAUUUGUUAAAAAAUUAACUAUCUAAUUCUCGUUCAACAAAGAAUCAAUAGUCUAGGAAAAUGCGAGCACCAUUGUCAAGUCUAGGACAUGAAGCCUGAAGGGCUGCGGAUACCAUUGUCCUCCUUACCAUUCAACCAGAGGUUGGUUCACGUUGGCUCUCACAUGUUGACGGUCGUGUGCAUCGGUAUGAAGUUUUAUUUCGGACAAAUUUCCUAUGACAGGCCGGCUACUAGAAUUAUCGUUACCCUAGAAAAUGUUGCCAUGGUUCAAAUAAAUCAAAUUCAAAUAAUCCAAAUUUCAAGUAAGAUAUAGAUGAUAUUAUUGACACAAAGAUGGUCAUGGCCUCUUGGCUACACAUGAUUGUUUGCUAGAGAGGGUCGAGGAAUUGAAUUCCGUUUUCCCACCAAUUUUUUUGCGAUGUUACUUUGGCUGCCCAUCGGAUCUUCGCGCUUGAAAAGACUGCAUCCAUAGAGGUAAUGGGAGAGAUAAAUAACUUCAAAACAUCAGAAGAACACAAUGACAACAACAGAAUUUCAGGAGCCAUUUUAAAGAUAUGUUCCACAGGGAGGGACCGAUGGCAUCAUUUUUAGCCUUUGAAGCAAAAAAGACGGAUGACCCCAAACAAGUCUCCAAUUAUCCUAGAAAAAUAAAGAAUUUAUUCAAAACCAUGCAUAUUAAUAUAUCAACAGACAAAAUCAGAGUAAAAUCAAUGCCAUGAUAACUUUAUUAUUAUUAAGAGUACAAUUAAUUUCACAUCAACAUAUUUUCUUAGAAAAAAACAAACAUUAUAUAGUCGAGAAACAUCACAUCUGGUGCUACCAAGGCAGUGUUCAAUUUAACCAGCAUGCCCAGUUCACUGUUUCCAUUGACCAGAGCCCCCACUCCACGCAUAUCGACAAGCUCGGAGUCGCACUCAUCGACAUAAUCAUAUGCCAUAUCCACACAACUGGCGAGCUCAUUGGACCGUAGCCCGUCCUCGUCGCCUUGGUAAUCCUUGAUCAUGGGAUCACAUAUGUUGAGGACGCUCAACACAGAGUCAUAUAAUCCACCUCACACAAACUAAGGUCAACUCCACCGUGUGACUUCAAAUGGACGUCCGUUUUACCCGGAUUCUGUCCGUUUGGAUAGGGCAAUGGGGUCGCGUCCGGGCGGGAUGCGCUGGCCGUUCGCCCAACACGCGGACGCAUCCCGGCCGCAUCUUGUCCGCAUAGAUUUUUCUUUGUAAGCCCUUAACUUUUUUUCAUCAUUCAUUUUUGAUACAUGGAAUACAUCACCAAAUUUUGAAUAGAAAAAUAAGACCAAAAAAAUAAGAACCACAAAAAUACAUUUUAGAAGAUAUUUAACUUCCAUAACUGCUCCUGUAAGUUGGAUUAGUGCCUUCUCGAUGCAUUCAUUGUUUAUCUGCAGAGGAGGCUCGAUCUUGCGUGCUUCUUUCUUCUUCGAGUCUAAAGAAGUAGAGGUUGCUUUCUCGCAUCUAGUCUCAUGUCUAGCCUCUAAUCUAGCAACAAGUGCACUAGUCUCAUCUCUAGCCUCUAUGCUAGCUAAAAGUGCACGAACAUCUAAUAAAUUGCGCUCUAACAAUAUAUCGAUGUACUCUUCUUCCCAAUACCAAAACUUGCAUCCAUGCUACACAAUAAAAUUUUAAGUUAGCACGCAACUAGUCAAAUCUAAGAGCACAACCGAACCUAAAAAGAGCACAUACCCCAUCAUUUAAGCAUUUGAUGAACACCCAUCCUGAAUGUUCCGGCGUUGUAGACAUGCGGCCAACGACCUUCUUUGGGCGGUGGUCGCACUUAAUUAGUGGCAACGGUGCACCGACGAGCUUUUUGGCUAGCACCGAGCCCGGCCGAGCGUCAUAAGUGUAUCUGACGGCAGACCACCAACGGUGUAGAUCCGAGUGGCUAGAGGAGGAGCCACUGCCUGCAUGCGGCCUUGCGGCCCUGCCAGGGCCUUCCGGCCCAGUGCCCAGCCAGUCCAUGGCGCGGCGCGGCCUCCCACAGCCGGGCGAGCUCGAGGCUGACCGGAUCUGCCCCAAAUCCGGCCGGCGGGUGCGCAAAUCAGGUGGCCGUGAUUGGGUAGCUCGGGGGCGCCGAGGGGAAGGGGUUGGGCGAGCGCGCGUCCAAGCUGCACAGCUACAAUGGCAGCGGCGGCGGCGAGGGGAAGAGUGGGGAAAAGUGGAGAAGAGUGGAGGGGGUGCGGCUGGAGGAAGGGAGGGGGGCAGAUAGAAAAAGGUGUCCUUGUGCCAUCAACGGGCGGGCCAGGGAAGGACACGCGCAGACGCCCCGCCCGUCCGCGUGCUGUCCCUUUCACCCCAAAAGCGGCGCAAAUAUGGGCCGGGGAUGGGUCGAAAGCGGACAGAAAACGGAUAAAAAUUUUGCGUCCGCGGUUGGGCCGUCUGGUUCGUCCGUUUUAUCUCAAACGGACGCAUGCGGACAGGAGGGGGGCGCGUGGUGGAGUUAGCAUAAGGACACGCAUUGGCACCGUGCCUUCUUGCUUCAUGUGUUUGUUGUCUUCGCACAGGAGCUCUAGCACAGACGUUCUUAGGGUCAACCUCUGUCAACACAUGGGGUGGCCUGUUCGGCACGCCUGUGUAAAAAAUCAUGACACAGGCAUGAGGUAAUAGUUAGGGGUCUACUCCCUAAUAGUAUAUAGGACAAAGAUCAAUGGAACGCUCAUUGUUGUGGGCAGCGAGUUGCCAGAAACAUUUCUUCCUGCUCUGCUCUGCUCGCUCCUCCUCCAGGCGACAGACUCCUCUUCCCGGGAACGCACCCACAGUCGCCGGUGAAAGAUCCGAUAACAAGCGUGACAUCAUAUUCCACCAUGGCGUGGGUGCCGAGCAUAGUGCCCAUCGCAAGGCUAGCCUUCACCGCGCUCGUCGGCGUCGCCAACGCCGUGCUCAAUGCCAGCAUGAUGGCUGCCGCGUUUCACAUUCACCGUGCUGCCUUCCAGGUGUUUGAUUAAAUGAGCGAACCAAAUAUAUGUUAUAGGGAAUUAAAUUAUAGUUGUUCUUCUUUUUUAGCCCUAACAGUAGAACAAUCGUUAUACAAUAUUUUCAUUAAUAAAGAAAAGUUACAAAAUACAAAUAUUAACAAUGUAUAGACCUCUCAGCCUAUCCCUGUUCUAGGAAUUGGAAGUCAUGCCAUUAUAAAACCAAGUCAGACCAUUGUUUUAUCUUGCUUGCCUUUUCUUCUUUUGCCCGGAGUUGAACAGCCCAUAGUCCUUCCUCCAAAUAAAAUUUCCAUGUAUCUGUACUAGAAGGUGCUGAUUUGAAGAUGUUAUCAUUUCUCACUGACCAGAUGCUCCAACAACUCAUAAUGAUGAUGUCAAGUGCAAAGUCUUUAGGUAACUGAUUGGCAAUGAGAAGGAAUUCAUCAAAAGUAGAGAUGCCUCUGGUUCUUCCUAGUGCUAUAAUAUCCCAACAUGAGAGUGCAAAUGGGCAAUUCCAGAACAAAUGGAUCAAAGUUUCAUCCACAGCAUCACACUACUAAGGAAAACUUUAUACACAGAGAUAUAGAAGUAGCGCUGGACAAAAUGAAGCGCUACUGCUACUUAGUAGUAGCGCGUUGCGGUAAAAGGCGCUACUGCUAUCCUUUUAGCAGUAGCGCGUGUUAGCAAAACGCGUUGCUGCUAAGUUUGAACUGGGCGCACAUGGCUGGCCCCACUUAGCAGCAGUGCGUUAUGCAUACCUAGUGCUACUGCUAUGCUCCAUACUAGUAGUGUUUUUCAUGAACCCGCGCUACUACUAACCCUACCUUAUCGUUCCCGCGUGGCCGACCCUCUCCCUCUCCCUCUCAGUCACUCUCCCCAGCACCCCCCCCUCAUUGUCCGCCACCGCCGCCGUUCCCCAGCCACCGUCGUCGCCGCCGGCACGGACGCUCCUACUCCUCCAAUGAGGUAGCCCCUCCAUCCCUCCUCCUCCCUCCUCCCAUCCCUCCUCCUCCCUCCGCGCCCUCCUCCCUCCGCGCCCUCCUCCCUCCUCCUNNNNNNNNNNNNNNNNNNNNNNNNNNNNNNNNNNNNNNNNNNNNNNNNNNNNNNNNNNNNNNNNNNNNNNNNNNNNNNNNNNNNNNNNNNNNNNNNNNNNNNNNNNNNNNNNNNNNNNNNNNNNNNNNNNNNNNNNNNNNNNNNNNNNNNNNNNNNNNNNNNNNNNNNNNNNNNNNNNNNNNNNNNNNNNNNNNNNNNNNNNNNNNNNNNNNNNNNNNNNNNNNNNNNNNNNNNNNNNNNNNNNNNNNNNNNNNNNNNNNNNNNNNNNNNNNNNNNNNNNNNNNNNNNNNNNNNNNNNNNNNNNNNNNNNNNNNNNNNNNNNNNNNNNNNNNNNNNNNNNNNNNNNNNNNNNNNNNNNNNNNNNNNNNNNNNNNNNNNNNNNNNNNNNNNNNNNNNNNNNNNNNNNNNNNNNNNNNNNNNNNNNNNNNNNNNNNNNNNNNNNNNNNNNNNNNNNNNNNNNNNNNNNNNNNUCUGAUCCCACCGCCCUCCUCCUCCUCCUCCCUCCUCCCUCCUCUCUCCUCCCUCCUCCCUCCAUCUAUUUUUUUUUCUGUUUUUUACUGUAGUUUUUUUUACUAUUGUAUGUAUAGAUAUAUUGAUACAUGUUUUAGAUAACCUUGCAUUAAUAUGUCUAACUUCCAUUUCUGUUCUCUUCUCUCGUUCUACAGAUUUCAUAUUUGUAUUCAUUUUAAGAAUUCUUCAAGAUGCACAUAAUUUAGUCUCUGGUUACAAUCUAAAUGUAAGAAAGCACAUGAUCUGUAGAAGGUGCAACCAAUGUGUUAUCCAUGUGAUAAAAUUAAACUCAACAUGCUAGAUCAAAUAUCCAAGUCAACUAGAAAAGAGAUUUCCUUACAACUAUUGUCAAGCCGCAUUUUCAAAUCACAGACAGUUUUAAGCAAUGAAUGAUCUAAAAAAAUCAUCCUACCUGCCACCGUUUUUCUCUUUGGAUGUCCACAUAUUGUUUUUUUUUCAUGGUGAGCGUUUGUGCCAAUAGAUAAACUAACGAGUUUUUCAUCUUGUGGUCGAAUCAAAGAUAUUCGAUUCUGUGUUUUUCAUGAUCUUGCUUGUACGUACGACCAUGAAACUACUAUUGUUAUCAUGUAUGAAUACUUGCAAAAGGGUGCUUCAGCGCCAGCACCGACCAUGGAUGGACAUGAGUAUGCAUGGAUGCGUGCAUGUAACGACCUGUUGGCUCCUGCAGGUCAAAGUACAUGGUUCUCUUAGGUCUUUGCACCAUCAAGGCCUUGAACAGUUCCUUGAUGAGUGUCAAGGUGAGACUUCAUGUCUCUAUGGUGAACAGACAAACUUCAGCGGAUAUGUUGCUGUCAUGGCACGGCAAAGAACAGAACAAUAGAUGGACUCUUGCCACUAGUAGUAUUGAUCCACGCUUGACACAUGACUACUCAUGGAGAAGACCCAUUCCUUUAUAACAUUUCCCUUUUAUUCAGUCUGUUUUGGUGAAUCAGCUGUCAGAAGAACUUCUUCUUCUUGUUCUUCUAUUAAAAAUAGGUUUUUAACCCAAAUUAAAGUUAGAUUUCACAAGGAGUGAACCAGUGGCAUUGUUGUAUCCCCUUGAAGCAGAGAAGACAAGUGAGCGACAAUCAUAUUUCCAAUUAUCCAGCUGGUCUUUUACAAGUACUAGAAGAACGCCCGUGUGUUGCAAAGGGGUCACAUUACCUUUAAGAGUUCAAUAUUAAUAUUCUCAUACAUAUCAAGUGACAUUGGCGACUUUUUUUACCAUCAAAUCCUCACACACACACACUCUCUCCCUCCCUCUUCCUCACUCUCUCCCCCCCCCCCUCUCCCUCUAUCUCUCUCUAACNNNNNNNNNNNNNNNNNNNNNNNNNNNNNNNNNNNNNNNNNNNNNNNNNNNNNNNNNNNNNNNNNNNNNNNNNNNNNNNNNNNNNNNNNNNNNNNNNNNNNNNNNNNNNNNNNNNNNNNNNNNNNNNNNNNNNNNNNNNNNNNNNNNNNNNNNNNNNNNNNNNNNNNNNNNNNNNCACAUACACACACACAUAUUCAUCUUAUUGGGUACGGGACCAUAAUCCAUCUAUUUCACACACACACACACACGAUAGUGCAUAACUAUAUGGAUGUGUAUUAUAUUUGCCAUCACAACUGAGGGAAUUAAUUUCAUGUAAAUCGACCAGCCACAGCUCCAAGAAUACGCGGAGGAGGUGGCCCGGGUCGGCAUCGGCGGAUGUCCGGCACGGGCCACGGGCCCGCUUCCAUGCGCGUCUGUGCGCCGGCCACCCACGCCGGGUCCUUCAAGUGCCGCUUCCACCGCACCAAUUCCUAGGGCCACGGCCACGACCACGGACAGGGAAGCCGCCCUUCUUUGCCCCCUUCACCGGCCGCGGCGAACGCGGUGCCGCGGCAUCCGACCUCGCCGUCCUCGUCCUCCGGCACCGCCGCGAUCCAGUGACGCAGCCCAAUCAUCGGCCUCGAGAAUCAAGAACGCUCGACAACGCAGAGGGAAGGGAAGAUCAUUACAUGUCAUAAGAAAGGGAGUUUAUUUACUGCUCCCUCGAUGUAUUGUUUCCUUUGUUUGGAGAUUGAUUACCAUCCGUGAGUUAAGGUAAGGUUAAUGUGAUUGAGCGAUUUUUCUGAAAAUCAAAUAUUUGUUUUCUAAUUAAUGUGAUUGAGUGAUUUAAGGUAAGGUUAAUUAAUUUAGAUUUGAUCUUUAGAGAUUGUUCGUGAUUGAUUCUACAUUACUAAAUAACUUGCGUCAGUAUGGAAAGUUCUGAUCUGUUUAGAUUUCUUUCGUUGUGUGAGAGGGUGACGCGAAAAUAAACCGAUGAAGUGGGGGGGGACGAAAAAAAAUCUAUGAAAAAAAUCAGCGAAGGUGGGAGGAGGUACCAAAAAAACCAUGAAAGGUGGGACGAAAAAAACCUGAAAGCGAGACUACCAACUGCUCCAUUAGGAGUAGAGAUCCCUUCUUGAAUACUCGGUUCAAUAAAUAAGUUAUUCACACUUCACAGCCAUCCAUGUGCAUAUAUAGUAAGUUAAUAACACAAAACCCGAGUAAAUUUAUGCCACAAAAAGGUUCAGUAUUAUUAUUUCAAAUAACUGAUGCAACAACAAAUAAUAUUAAUCGCGGACAUCAUAUGAUAUUAGCAAGGCGUUGUUGAGGAUGAGAAGCAUGUACAACUCCUCGUUUUCUUUGAUGAGCACCUCCGCACCAGGCAUAUCUGGAAGCUCUAACCAACACACGACGAUAGGGUUGUAAUUCAUAUCCACAAAGUCGGGCAGAUGCAAGAACUGCUGCCCACUCUUGUCACCUUGGUAGUCCUUGAUCAGGCCGUGGCACACGUUGAGGCGUCUCACCACAUCUUCAUACUCCACCUCACAAUAACUGAGAACGUGCAUUGCCACUGUUCCCUUCUUGGCAUCUUGAAGCUUUUGCUUGACCUUACCACUAGCGGCAGUGAUACAGCUCUUAAAGAUGUCGACAGUGACGAGCACUAAGUCACGGAGGUCCUUAGCCUCGGCACUUCAAUUGUCCGACUGAAGGGUGGACAAACAGAAUUCUUGCGUGACAGAUUCGUUGUAGGGGUUGUUGAUCAAGGCCUUCUUGCAUGCUUCCACCAUGAGCUUGGUCGC
rnacentral:lncRNA from 1 species